rnacentral:lncRNA from 1 species
CAAGAGACAAAGAGUGAAGAGAUAAAGAAAAGAAAACACAUCCCAUAAUGUGAAAUGAACACAUGAUAACACUACUCAAUACCAAAUUGCACAGUGUGAUUUGCUAUCUUAUGAAGUCAUAAACAAAUACAGAGAGAUAUAGAAGAAAAGAAAUUACCUUACAGCUUUACGCAAUUUCUUGAUCGAUGUCAGUGGCUUCCUCUUCACACCUCUUUGAAACCCGUCGUUGCAAUAAACCCAAAACCCUAAACAAAUUAAAAAUAACGAGAAUAAAAGAAUGAGAACUAACAACCCAUCUAAAAUUUCUCCACUUUCUAAUCCCAAAAUCUUAUUACCUGCAGCCCGCUCCGGCGGGAAAGAACUUGACAAGUACAUCGGUGGACAUGUCAAGGAGAGCAUCUAAAUCAGCGCCUCUAAAACUGAACUUCUUGAAAGCUCUCUUCUUUGGCUACCCUCUCGCCACUGUUACUCCCGUCUCCACACCCACCUGACAUUUAUAUUUAAAAAAAAAAGAUGAGAAAGGAAGCCAUUGAAGGAAGCAAGCGAGAGCAAAGGAGCGGAGAUUAGAAAAAAAAUUUGGACCAUUUCUCGAUUUGUGCGUGUCAUCCUUGCGCAGGGGCCAUGCUAAUCUUCUCUGUAUCGUUCCAAUUUUAUCGGAUGUCCCCGAAGGGACAGUCAAUAGUUCUCCGCUUCGCUUACUUAAAUACGUCAUGUGUUCUCUAACCAGACGAUGUGGGAUAUCUAGUCCCGUUGCGACUACACGUUUCGCUCAGUUGGGUUGGCUCUCAACUUGAUUACGUCACCAGCAGUAAGCAAUUAAUGCGCCUUGACUUGGGGCGAUGAAAUAGUUUUAGGUGUCGUGUCACCCACCAGUGUCGACGCCUUUUCCCAAAUGGCACAGUAACUACCGGUUUAAUAAAAAAAUAAAAUUUACUUAAUUAAGUUUAAAACAUAUUAAAAUCAGUUUAAACAAUAAUUUUUUUCGAUGUUCAUAACAAAUAUCCUUUUAUUUUGGUCUCAAUUCUCAAUAUUAUGUUAUUAUCUCUAUAUAUAAUUUAUUUUUAAAAAGUAACACAUCAAAAUAAAAAAUAAAAAAAUUUAUUAGCUUCAAAGUUGAAGAUUGUUUAUGAAAAACAUUUUCUUAAUUUUAGUUAUAUUUUCUAGUUAUGCAAAUAUCAUAGAUAGUGUUUAUUUAUUGUUUUAGAAUAAAAUACAAUAACAUAUUUAGUUAAAAAAACGUGGAUAAAAAUAUAAAAUAAAUACAUCUUUAUAAUAGUUUUGAAGUAAAUUUUUAAUACUUUCAAAAUAAAAAAUAUAUAGAAACAUGUUUCUUUUGUCUUCAUUGUUUUUAUUUCUUCUAUUCCAAGAAAAUGAUGAGUUAUCUAUUAGAUCGUUGGUCUGAGCUAUACUGCGGGUUGGAUAAAAAACAUUUAAAGUAAAAAGAAACAAUCAGGAUUAUUUAACAUUUUUCUAGUGAAAAAAAGUUUAAACCAUAUAAGAGUUGAUUCGACGAAUCUAAAGACAACUUGGACGACCAAUAAAAACAUAGUUUGACUCAAAUAAAUUUAAAACGAUAUCUUUUUAAAAAGUUAUUAAAACGACAAUAUAUCAAAUCCGCAACUCAGGUCAUGAGACUAUAGUAGCCCUAUAUAAAGCAAAUCAGAACAAAUUAUAAAACUCAAUUCUUAAUCAAUCCAAUAUUAAAAGAUAAAAUUAAAAAAACAUGAAUAAAAAAAACAACCAAAACCAACUCUAUAAAGUCAAAAAGUGUUUAUUGGCCAGUGUUUAUUGGCCAACCCUCUUGAUCCUUAAGAUCGAAAACUGUUAUUGUAUUAAGUUCAUAUAUUCAUACCUUUUUUUCUUAAUGAUUUUCUUGAAUGAUCCAAAUAUAAUAUCAUAAACUUUAUGUAAAUAGGUUUUAUGUAAAUAGGUUUUGAGUUCGAGACAAGUUAAUUUUUGAGCUCUUAUUAAACAAAAAACAAGAAGUAGUACGAGCAGCGAACAAAGUGAAAAUAAAAUCCGCAUAUUCUACAAACACAAUUGUAUUUGCAACAGCUUGAAAUGAUAAUAAGAUCUCAAAUGCAAUCGCAUAGCUUCUCUGGAUAUGCUAAUGUAAUCAUCACAGGUUCACAACAACAAUUCAUCGAAAAACUAAUUAGAGAAAGAAAAAAGGUGCAGAAAAAUCCACAGCCACCCAAAUUAAAUGUCCCAUUUGACUUGAGAGGAAUGAAUCUGGAAGUGUGUGUCCAGGUCUUCCAUGCAUAACGGGCUUGUAAGAAACUGAGAACCCAGCAAGAUAAUGGCAAAUCAUCUCGGGCACAAUGAUCAUAUUUCUAAGAUGAGUCCUGAAGGGCUCUCUGGCUUCUCACCAUCUGGGGCCUCCCUUUUCGGUUCCAAGCCACCAAAAAACAGAGUAGACCACAGACUAUAAUCAAAAUAUACCAUACGAUGAGGGUUUAACCAGAAAUUUAAAUUUUUCUUGUAAGGCAACUUGAUUUAGGGGCCAGCUUUAGAAUCUUCUCUUUUCUAAAUUGUCACAGUUUGAUGCAUUUGUCACAAACAAGUCUCGAAUGCAGCAAUCUUUAAAAUUCGGUGACCUGCACAUACAUGCUUGCAAGCAUGAAAGGGCAUGGAAACAUGCACACUGAAACUUGCACCCAAAAUAACUUUUGCAGAAGUUACACCACAGAGGCAGUCAUCAGAACUCUAUUCAAUUAGUAGCUAAACAUAUCGUUUCUAACUUCUAUUGAAUAAACCAACCUUUCUGUUAUAAACCCAAGAGCUUCUUCUUUAAGUUUUCAAAGUUCUUAAAAGCUUUUAAUUAUCCGGCAAUGCAUCAUUCUUUAGGAUGAAAUUGUUUCCUCAUGUAAUCGAACAUUUAUGGCUGAGAGAAACCAUCAUGAAAGCGAAGCAUAAUUUCCUCAAAAUUCUAUCUAACUGAUUCCAGCAAAUUAACCAAUGAUUGAUGGUCCAGAACGUUACCAGCUGAUUUAUUUAUUUUUAUUUCAUUUUUUGUCACAACUGCAGCCUUAACGCCAUAUCCAUUCUAUGUCAUGUACUAGCCACGAUUUUCAAGCCACAUGAUACUAAAGCGUAAACAUACAAAAGAAAAUAAAAAAAUCACCAACAGCAGCAAAUCCAAAUCUCGAGCACCAUGAUUGCAAUUGCAGAUCAAACUUGAUAAACACAAACAAGAGACAAAAAGUGAAGAGAUAAAGAAAAGAAAAUACAUCCCACAAUGUCAAUUCACUACUCAAUACCAAAUUGCAGUGUGAUUUGCUAUCUUAUGAAGUCAUAAACAAAUACAGAGAGAUAUAGAAGAAAAGAAAUUAUCUUACAGCUUUACGCAAUUUCUUGAUCAAUGCCAUUGGCUUCCUCUUCAAACCUCUCUGAAACCUAUCAUUGCAAUAAACCCAAGACCCUAAACAAAUUAAUAUCAACAAAAAUAAAAACAUGAGAACUGAACUUCUUCAAGGAGAGCAUCUAAAUAGCGCCUCUGAACUGAACUUCUUGAAAGCUCUCUUCUUUGGCUACCCUCUCGCCACUGUUACUUCCGUCUCCACACCCACCUGACAUUUAUAUUAAAAAAAAAAAAAGAUGAGAAAGGAAGCAAGCGAGAGCAAAGGAGCGGAGAUUAGAAAAAAAAUUUGGACCAUUUCUCGAUUUGUGCGUGUCAUCCUUGCGCAGGGGCCAUGCUAAUCUUCUCUGUAUCGUUCCAAUUUUAUCGGAUGUCCCCGAAGGGACGGUUCUUACGUCUCAGCUUCGCCAAUAUAAAAACUUCAUGUGUUCUCUAACCAGACGAUGUGGUAUAUCUAGUCCCGUUGCGACUACGCGUUUUGCUUAGUUGGGUUGGCUCUCAACUUGAUUACGUCACCACCAGUAAACAAUUAAUGGGGCUUGACUUGGGGCGAUGAAAUAUUUCAGCCCAGCCUUGUUUUAGGUGUCACCCGCCUGUAUCGACGCCUGUUACUUAAUUAAGUUUAAGAUAUAUUAAAAUUAGUUUAAACAAUAAAAUUCUCAAAAACAAAUAUUCUUUUAUUUUGGUUUCAAUUCUUAAUAUUGUGUUCUUAUUUUGACUUUAGGUGCUAUUAUUUUGAAUGAUACGAUAUAUGUGAGAUAUUGUAGAAAUAUAACUAAAACGAAGAAAAGAGUGUUCGGAGUAUACACCAAAAUAUGAUUUCUCUUUUCUUUUCAAGAAUCAAAGAGGGCUAGAAACCAUUUUAAACUUUUGAUUACAGAUUUUUAACUGUUAUGAGACUAUUUAGCAAACAGAAAACAGAACUGUGUGUAUGUUUUGGAAUCUAUUUAGCACAAAAUCAUAUAUAAGAUGGUUUUUUUUUUGUUCGGAACUCAAAAUUCCCUAGCAUGAAAAUAUAGAAAGAAGAGUUUUUUUGUUUUUUUUCAAAUGUAGUGUUGUUUCCUUCUAUUCUAAAAUGUCUAAACACCAUUGCUUUUUCUCUCCUUCCCUGCAUGAUUGCGACAUUUCUUGUUCGGUUGCUUGCAGUUCAAUUGUACUUCAACAGCAGAAAAGAGCAACUCUUUCGUUUCUUGACAGAGGUACAUACAAUGUGUCUGGAACAAGAAAUCUACAAUGGUUGCCAAUAUAAUAUGUUAAAGAUGCUUCAGUACUGUCCAGCUUUUGGCCACACAGAUUUGUUCAUAUUGUUACGUACUACUGAAACUACAUAAUUUUGCAGAGAUUCACGUCCUUCUUCGGAUCAUCAGUAUGAAGAGGGUUGCAUCGCCAGGGAAGAAGGCUGUAGCAGUCAAGCCGAAGAGUGUGAAAUCGCCGACGGUGAAGAAAGGAGUGAACAAGAAGGCGAAAAGUGAAGAUAUUCAUUUGGGGUUUGUAGAGAGGGUAGUGAUUGUAAAUUUGAUGGAUAAUGGAGGAUAGUGAUGCUAGUUCCUUAGCGGUAACAGAAAUGUUAUUUUUCAGGCUAUUUUUAAUCUUCAUUAUAUUUGGUUUUUUUAUUCAAUGUAAUUUUAGUGUCUUUAUAUAUGUAUGUAUAUAGCGAAAAAAUGUCAUUUUCUGAUGGUGUUCUUCAAUGGCGUUUUGUCUAAUGUGCGCUCCGUUUGUCAGCGUGCUGCAGCGAACAGUGAUUGCUGAUACGCAAAGGAAUGUCAUUUAAAAAUAAUGGUUUUGAUUUUUUAUUAAAAGAAUUGUAAUUUUAAUAAAUUUUUAAUGAAAGGAAUUCAUUUUUGUUCUUUAUAAACGAACAUGUCUGCAUGAGGGCAAAUGAUAUUUUUAUUAAGAAAAUGCAUAGUAAAAAUAUCUCCUAGAAAAGAUGGGUCUGGUCUUCCGCAGUGGCUCUCCUUCAUGCCAAGUACAACUUCUGCGUGUUGUUGCUGAGGGAAUUAAAGCAAAGCCUUUAUAAGCCACCUGAUUGAUUACUUGGACAGCUGCAGUCUGGGCUAUCCUUGCAGUUGCAGAUGAUCAAAUUAGAACAAACAGUAGAUGACAUCUUGAUCUGCGACUACUAAAAAUUCAUUAAUGGCCUCGUCAUCGUUGGAUUCAAGUGCUUAAUUGGUAUGCCUGAAUAGGGCUUGCUCCUGUUGAAGACUCCAGCCCCGAAAACUGUCCGAUAUCAUGGCCUUCAAGAGUUUGGAAUUCCUUGUUUAAACCAAGGGCGAAUUCCUCCGGCCGAGCUCCACCACUUCGUAAGUAAUCUGCAAUCUGCAUCAUAAGCCCCAAUCUUGCAUUUACUUUUUAAUAACAAUUAUCUUAGGGCAACUAAGGCUAUGAACUUUGAGUUCAAAACUCAUAUUUUAUGUGCAUUGGCAAACGAUAAGCAAAAGGGAUAAUCAUGCUGCUGUUGUUGCUUACGUGAUUGGCAAGAGCCAUCCCACUCAAGGCUGCAGACUCCAAAUUUGAACCCAGCAGCCAGUCACCACAUAUACCUGCCCUUCCAUGAGGAUCGAAUAUGCAUGGGAUUCCUGGAGUGUUCGUUGGAAGGGCUGCACCCCUGCACCACAAAGAAGAUAGAGGAUAAAUUUAGCCCACUUAAAAGGACCAACAUUUCCAUGAUAUUCUGAAUUUGACGAGAACUCCCGCUUAGCACACGGAGAGAAGCGGUCAAAUUAUUCCCAAAUGGCAGUGGCAUAAGUUCAUUUCUCCAGAAAAGCUGUAAGGUCCUCAAAUUGCUUCAAACGGUUGGCAAAUAUCACAAGCUUUACAAUGGUGUCUCAAUGAAGUUAUGCAAAUGAAACCCCGCAACUUCUACUAAGCAUGGUAUCCAUAAGAAAGUUUUAUUACCAUAGCUGGACACGAGAAUAAAAGGGCUGUUGAAGUGAGUCUUUUGGUAGUCCAAGUGCAGCUUCAACACCCUCAAGCAUGCCCGUCUUCACCUUUUCUGCUGUUGCAGUUGGGAUAUUUUCCUAAAUAUCACAUUGGUGGCAAUUACCACAAUCAGGAAAAAGUUCACUCAUCAUAUACAAUCCUUAAUACUCCAAUAAGAAAUACAUAUGGCUUAAUUCAAAUUUCAUUUGGACAAUUAGAGAGACUACUCAUAUAUGUUAAUGUUUCCGGUCUUGAUUUUCCACUUUAUUGAAUGUCUCUACCCAAAGCUGAAGGCUAGAUUUCCAAAAUUUAGGCUUGCAUAAUUCAACCAUUGCACAGAGGCUUAGGUCAGGUUGAAUGCUUGAAUUCUCUUCGUCAUGUUUUAACAUGCAUUUUUCCUGAUGGAAGAAAAGAAGUAGAAGAGCCUAACCUGUGGAACCUUGUUCCUCUUUCCGUAAGCUGCAGUGCUAAAAAAGGUCCAACAGUGAGGACUAUUGGUUUUAGAACCCAAAAGCUUUGCAGAGUUGUUCCCCAUCCAUGAGAGAGAAUCAACUCCUUUCACAAAGGCUCCCUCAAAGGGAGUUGCACCAGUUGGAAUAGGAAGGGGAUCCUCAAAUGCUGCUAGCAGGGCCCAUAUGGAGCUCAAUCCUAGCGUCUACAAAACCAGAAAGGUCAAAUCAAUAUUUCAAAACUUGUAGGCAAUAUAGAAGUUAAUAAAGACGAAGCAUAGGCUACUUUACAGUGAAUAAACAAGACUGUUUAAAAUAUACCUUCAUUUGUCUUGCAAUGAGAGGCAAGCCUGAUGAUGCAAGCAAUCGAUUUGCACAUUUUCCUGUCAAUUCGAUAAACAAGUUAUUGCUCCCGAAAGCCAUGGGUCUAUUGUACAGAAUGAGAGCAAGCAAUUAAAGAUGGUAAACAGUGAUUGACAGUUCAUGAACCACCAGGAAAUAAGAUUUAUAGAUUCAUUAAGAUCCAGGAACCAAGUAUUACCAAUGAAAAAGUAGAGAACAGCAUGCUUUCAAAUCUUCAAUGUGUGCUUAACACAGAACAGAAAGGAAACUACACUCAAACUAAUUGAUUUUAUAUUGAUAACUGAACAAAUGAUGCAAGCACACUGUUAUCAGUAUAUGGGAUUGCAAACUGUGAAACACAUUCAUCAGUAUGCCCGAUUCACCUGUUCUAACCAAUAAGGUUUCAGUUCAGUUCCUACUUAUUCCACCCCAUAUUCUUCACUAGAUGAAUUUGAAUGAUGAAACCACAUGUCACUUAUUCGCUUGUGAUUUUGUCCAGUUUUUUCUUCAACUCUUCAGAAGAAAUACAAGUGAAAACAUUAGAUGCUUGCUUGGCUCUUUAAAAUACUUGCCACAUUAGGAGAAUAUCAAAAUCCCGUUGCUCAGUAUGCAUAGUUGUGUAACUAUGCAACCAAUCAGUGUUAAAUAUGUCACAGUUUACAGCAAAUACAUUGGGCCCAGUCUAAACUGAUUCUUAACUCCAAAUACCAUUUCACUCACGAACUCAUAGAGAACUUUUCUCACUUUCUUCCUUGAAAAAUUAAUCUGUCUACACCACGUUUACAACUAUUACAAAGCCAAUCUGGGACAUGGACCAAGGUAGAAAGUAUUGCCAUGUUGUCAGCCAGUGCAUACCCAAAGUAGCACUUCACAAUCAUGACCCACAUGGGGCCAAAAAAACCCGACCAAAAUUAGUUUUAUCACACUUUCACUAACUUUGAAGCGACCCAGGGCUGAACAAAAUGCAAUUACCUCCAUCUGUUAAAGCUACACUUUCCAGACAAAGAGACAUUCAGGCUAGUCCUAAUGUCCUAUCUCUAAAUAGAAAAGAUAUCAAUAAUCUUCAUUUCAAGACACUCAAGCAACAGAAAUGCAUUAGAAAAAUCAUUGAAUUCAUGUGUUGGCCAAAGUAGAAUAACACAUCUACUUUAGCAUGAAGAAAACACAGUACAGCACUAAUAAGUCUUCAAAAUGUACUUAUUUUCUCUUGCUCCAAAGGUACCCCUUCUACUUAUCGGGCUGUCACCCGUGUGAUAACAUGUCAGAAAUUUAAUGAAGUGCGGAAGCUUUUUAUUUUUCAGUAAGAAUAAUAAAAUGCUGAGAUAUGGCCAGAAUAGAUAAAUGAAGGAGUACAAAAGCAAAUGAGAGAGAUGUUGAUUCACCAUUAUGUGCUAUAACAAUGAUAUCAAACUGCCCACAAGGUUUUCCAUUCUCGCUCAAGUGCCACAUCCCAUUAAAUGGUUCAAGUUUACUUAUCCAGCAAGGUCUCACCACAUUAACCAUGCAAGUCUGCAGCAAGAAUCAAGAAUCUGCUUAGCAGUGACCUCAAGGAUAUCAUAGAUAGAGAAAGAGCAGUACUAUAAGUACCAAAGAAACUAUGUUAAUGGCUGCUGCUUUAUUUGUUCAAUAAAAUUUCACCUUUUCAUUCUCAUGAUAAGAGUAGAUGAAAGCUGAUGAGAAAGCAACAAAAUGACGAGUAGUUAACAAAUUGACGAGAAAGCAACAAAAUGAUCAACCACCUGAGAUAAUAUUGAGUCAGCAAGAGAGCGCAUUCCGUUAACACUAAUAUAUCUUGGGGUUGAAGAAGGAAAUGGAAGAAAUUGACCUCCCACUUCAAGCUCUCCAAUUAUACCUUGCCACUGUCGAACUAGACCUUUCUCCAACCAGUCAUCAACCAACUCGGAAAAUCGAGGAUCACUCACAGUAAAGAACUGCGCCGCAUGAUCAAAUAUCAAUGGUUGUGGAUCAAUUACUCUAGUUCCCAUCCUCCCUCCCAAACCAUGAAUCCCCUGAAAUAGCAUAGCUUGUGAAAAACCCAACAUUGCAAUAACUUUCUUUUUUUUUAUCUGCAGGAAAAUAGAGUCCAAAUGUCUACUGAACUGAAAUGUGUGUCAAAUAAGAAUGAUGUUGUUUUCAUUUCUGCAAAGCAAAAGCAUAAACACAAAUGCAAUAACAUUAAUCCAAAUAUUAAACCAUGCAGCUACGACUAUCAGAACUUAAAUAAUUACUAUUGAUCAUUUGAUUAUUACAACAAUUAUUCAUUCUAGAAGUUAUAAACAAAAAAAAAACAUAGAAGUUUUUUUUUUCUUUGUUUCAAUACAUUUAGCAUGCAAUUAAGUAAAGGAAUGUUACUGCCUUACCUUUAUACAAAUACAUUAAUCUCCUUCACAGAAAAAAAAAAUUCAAAUUCUAAAAUGCAAGUAUGCAGCCUUUCUUGUAAGCAUUCACAACACAAAAUAUCCACAAAGUGAUAAAAAAAGAAAACCCAAAUUGAGAAAAGAGUGCUAAAAGGAAACAACUGACCAACCGUGUCAAAAACAGUGGACUUGACCCCUCUUUUCUCCAAACUCAAAGCACAAAGCAAACCAGCCAUUCCACCUCCAAUAAUCCCUACAUGAGGAUCGCUUGAUAAUUGAGAAGUGAAAGUAACCUGCUCUUGAAUGAAUGUUUUCUUGAGAACUGACCUUCUAGAGGUACCAUAUGAUGAUUUCCUGGUUUUCUUAGAUGUGGGUUUGCGACCAUCCAUGGUGGGGCUUUUGUUGUUUGGUUUAGAAGUGGUGCAAGUUAAAGUUUUUAUGGGUUCGGAGCGUGAAGUUGAGAGUGAUUUUUUAUGGGUUUUGAUUUUGAGAGGUUGGAGAGUAAGAGAAGAGAGAAAGGAAAUGGAGGGGAUUGAGUGAACCAGAGUGGCCAUAGUUUUUGGAGGGAGAGGAGAGAGAUAUGGAGAGGCCACAAAAGCUUAACAAGAGGCAUCAAGUACAUAAGCAUAUACUUAUAUAUUUUAAAGUUAGGAGUUUUAUCAACCGUCUCUUGUCCUAAAAUUUUAAACUCAAGGAAAAACUACCUUGGAUAGUUGCCUAGCAUGUCCAUGUGUUUACCCCUUAAUAAUUUUCAGAAAGCUACCACGUUAAAUUUUAAUAUUUGGUGUGGAGAUUAAAUCAUCCUUUUAAAAUGAUUAGAGGUUUGAAGUUGAUUAUUCUGAUGAAUUUCUUACCCCUUACUGGCGAGGAUGGCCUGCUUUUUUUAUCCAAUUGGAGAGAUGCUCUUGGAAGUUCAAAGAUGCCUACCACAUAGCUGUAAAAGCAUGUAUUAACAAGACUCUGUGACUAGAGACUGCUCAUUGCUCAACGUAUAUGCAGAUGGCCGCAACCAAAUCCUCUGCAAGUCCUGUUACGGAAUCACCCAAACCCACCUCGUGUGUGCAUCGACACUAGUCAGAAUAUUGAAUGGUAAUGCAACCAAAGUCAACUCUGGGAAUGUGGAUAUUACUUGCAGCAGAUUCCAACAUUGUAUCAGUUCUACGUCUAGACUAUACCUCCGAAGUUUACAACGGUUGAUAUCCGUCAGCAAUCAAAUUUUCAAAGCACGGCAAUGACAGAAUAUAAGAUUACAGAUAGAACAGCCUAUGGAUAGAAACUUCAUUCAAACAUCAAGAACCUCGCACCGUGUACAAUAUAAUAUAGCAGUUACGAAAGUAGAGGUUCUACAAGUUACAUGUUUCAAAAUGAAGAAAACAACCAACUAACCAGACCAAAACUAGUGCCUUGAGUUUCCAAAUAACAUACGCAGGAAAACCUCUUGGGUGAUAAUACAUCAGAAGAAAACAACAGAUUCGGUCCAUAUUAGAAUCAGUAACUCUUUUGAUAACAUGAUAUGUACUGAUAUAACUUACAUAACAUAUACAAUUCACAGACACAAACCGUUUGGAAAGGGGGAAAAAAGUAAAAGAAGAAGAAGAAGAAAAGGUCAUCUCAGCUGAAAAGUAGGCUAUCUCCUCUCCAAACAUCCAAUAUGAUGAUUAAAGCAAAUUCAAGAUGUUUUCCCACUUAAGAGUUAGUAAAAACCAGCAGUUCAUGACUGAACAGAUAUGUCUGCAUUUGUUGGCCCAGCAAUCUUCUCGGGAUCUGCUUUUGUUGCAACAUGAUCCUGUUUAGAUCGGUCUUUGACUUUGCGGAUGCCAUUAGCAGUCUGUGAACUUAUCUGAACCUUAGCUUUGGCAGUGUUGGCACCAGUUGAAUCCUUGUGGCUACCGAUGCUGUGGCGAUGGCGAGCACAAUGUUUGCCCACUUCCUCCUGAGAUGUUCGAACCGCAUCACUGCAGCUUUUUCUCCGGUUUAGUUUCGGUGAUUGUGGUCGAGUCAAUGGUAACUGGAACCAAACAAAAACAAGAAUUGAAUUAUAUUGGCAUUAAAAAAAAGCUGCCAGUAGAUUUAAAUCAGUAGCCUUACACAAGUGUGCAUCACACCAGAAAAUAACAAAAUCAUAAACAUUUUUAAUUUCUGGCAGUUCCGAACUAUGAAGCUUGAGACACCAUGGCAGAAUGCUCUGAGCCUUCAAACUAUUCCCCCUGAACAAAAUGCUAGUUGCAUGCCACCUUCCCUCGCUUUUCUUAUACUGUCCAAAGGUUUUAAACAACUGUGGUCUUGAACAAAAUUAAGACUCGGUUCAAAGAAGAACAGACUUCUUGCCUGAAUGCUCUGAAUAAAAUAUUGUUUCAUGGAAAUAGGUAAAUUGCAUUCUGAAUGAACUAAUUAGACCAAUGCAUCUGGUAUCCUCUAUUCGCAUGAUUUAUCUAUGAAGUGCUGCAUAGAUUUUUGCUAGUUUCAUUUACAUGUUUAAAUCAAGAACCAGCAGAGAACUAAGAAUAAUAUCUGGCAGAAUACCUUCUUGAGUUCAACUUGGGGUGGAGGUGGCUCAUGGUAGAAACUAGGCACUGGAUUUGCUUUGUACAGCAUGCUCUUUCUAAGCUGCUUGAUGGCUGCUUCUUGCUCUUCCUAGAAUGAAGGCAGAGAAAUUCACUGGGUUAUUAAUUGAAAAAAAAAAAAACAUCAUAGUCAUUGACUACCUGUCCACAAACUUGCAUAAAGAAAAGAGUAUACCUUGGUCCUUGCCUCAGCCUGGCUUCGCUCUUUCUCCAAUGCUCGGUGCUUCUCUUCCAAUUUCGAAUAAUACUAAAUAACAAAAAUAUGAAGAAAACAAAAUCAAUAGAAAUCCAUCAGUUAAGAAAAAGAAGAGCAGACAAAGUUUUAUAUAACCAUUAUGUUAGGAAGAUACCUCUUUCCGCUUCGCUGCACGUUCAGAAGACCUAAAAGUUGGGGCAGUUCCAACAGUUACAGAUUUAACAGUUCGUACAGAUGCAGAAGUGCUACACAUAGCUAAGGAUGGCCAAUUGGUAAAAAUAUAUAGCCAGAAUAUAGUUGGAUUUAUUUUAUAAAAUUUCAAGCGGUUUUAAUUUUUUGGCAGAAAACACAGUUUAAAACCCUAAAAAUAUCAAGUGCCUUAAAUCAGACAAAGGAUACGAUGAAGUCACGGACCAACUAUCUUCUUCAUCAUGAUGCUUCUUGUUAUCAGGAUGCAAAGGCUUCCUUGCUGUAGAAGGUGAAUUUUGCUGAAGGAGAGCAUGAUUCCAAAUAUCAGUGAAAAUGUCAAAUACAAAUACAUGACAAACAAGCUUUUUUUUCAUGUGAAUUUGUGUGUCCGGGUGGGGUGGGGUUGGUCAAUAGUGCUCUCCAAAUGCCAAAAUGAAUUAAGCUGCAUGGUUUUUCGUACCAGUUAACUUGAAGGUAUGCAAAGGAAGUGAAUCAUAUUUAUAAGCGAGGGUUUGAGAUAUAUUAGCUAUAUAUAUCUUACUGAGAAACCCGUUGUCAGGUAACAAGCUCAACAAAAUUAUCCAACGAGUGGACAACCCCAACUAAAUUAAGUAACGAUGUAUGCAAUCGCACCCACAAAAUAUCACCAGGAAAAGCAAGUAGAAAAUGGCAUGUGCAUUGAAACAGAAACAGAAAGUCUCACUAGUUCUCCAAGCAUGUGUUCCAAAUAUCUUAAAAGAUAAUCUCUUCAUUCCAAAAGAAAGAUGUUUUCAAAAUUUUGAAAAGAGAUUAACACGAGCUGUAUUCUGCUUAGAGAAUUACACUGUCGCUACUCGCUAGAGUUUACUUCAAAAUGAUAGAUUUUCCUUUUCCCUAACCCUACAGCACAAGGUAAGCAUGAAUGUAGCUUAUCUACAUGUCAGGUUUAUUUCCAAAUUCCACUUAUAAAGAUAGAGUUGGCUUAAUCUGACAUGGAAAGAUAAUGAGUUCAUUAUAGCAGUUAUUAUCAGUUUCAACCAAAUCAUGGAGUAUGACAACAGCAUCCACCAAAUGCAAUGUCGAAAGUUCCAAUUACCUGUGAAUUUUUCAUACUAACAGGGGACUGUGUUUUGUUCGAAUUUGUGGAACUGUUCCCACCGACAUGCUUGUCAGUUGCCAGAGCAAAUUGCUGGGGGACAGUUUGAUGAGCACGAUGAGCAUGUUUAUUUCCAUUAACACCAAUUUUUUGUGAGGGAGAACUGGAAUUUUUAUCAUCACUCAAUUUCUGAGCUCCAGGUUUCUCAUCUUUUCCAUCAGAUGGGUCAGCAUCAAAAUUUGUGCUUUUGACACCAAGCACAUCUUGCUUCUCUGAUUUUUCAGCAGUUUCUUUCUCCACAUACUCCUUUGCUUCAAUGACAGCUUUUGAAAGUUUUGGAGAAAUAUGUACUUUAUCAUGAGAUACGCCAUGAAACUUCGCUGCAAGACCAUUUGGCUUCUUCUCCAUGUCUGCACGCUGAAGUUCUCGCCCCAUCAAACUGCACGAAAAAAUAAUCCUGAUAUCAUGAUGCUUCACAAAGAAGACAUUUUUAAUUCAUGAAAAAGAAUCACUUCCUUAAAAUAAAACCAAAACAGCCUGUAAAGCAAGAACUAUUUGCAUGUGGUGCCAAAAGGUUUCAAAUUCUGUUAUUGCUUUGAACAAUUUUUUUGAAACAAAUAGAAACUGCCAGAUGUGUAAAAUUCAACCAAGAAACCUGAACACUUCUAUCCGAUGAUGGUGCAAGACAAAUCUCAGUGUUUUAAUUGAAGAAAAGAUGGCAUAUCUCAUUGCAAAAACAAUGCAUAUUUAAACAGUCAAACAGAUACGCCAAGGAAAAAAAAAGAAAGAAAGAAACAGAAAGUUAAAGCUGGAAAGAGAAGAUCUACAAAUAACUAACCAUAAAAAAAUAAGUACAGGAGGAUUAAGACAACCAGUUUAGAACAGGAUAUAAUGUGCAGAGAACUCUUGAAUCCAAAAAAUAUAAAUUAUAACUCAAAGAGCCCCAAAAAAUUAUGUGAAAAGUGAAAUUCCUUGUAAAGCUAUGAACAUCAGCACUCUUUAUGUAUGCUCUAGUAGGUAUCGGUUAGUUGUCCAACUAGCUUGAUUUUUAUCAAAUUCCAUGCCUUGACAUCAACCACCACAUCUGCUUAAGGAUAACUAACUUAUCGUCUAACUAAUUAAAAAAUUAUUUUUCUUUAAAAAGUAAAUAAAAUACUCUUUACACUGUAAUUUCAUCAAAACUUAAGCGGGUGAUUAAACUGCAAAGAAAAUAAAGGAUCAAACCGCAGCAAACCGGCACAGUAUUUUUUUCCCCCAGACAGAACUAACUCUAUAUAAUUAUAAAAUUCAAGAAACAGAAAAGAAAAGGGUAUGUGUUGAAACCAAAAAACAAAUCAAUUGAAGAUGAGAGAAAGAAAGCAGAUGCAGAGGGCCAAAAACAGGUUAUCAAUUUUUCUUCGUUUAAAAAAGAAAAACAUUUCUCGUGUUAGGAAGACUCUUUAAAAAGAGAUACAAAGAGGAGGUCCAAUUACCAUAUAAAUAAUCAGACAACUCAAAAUAACACCAUAGCCACCACCAACUUCAUUCAAUAACUAGAAAAAGAAGAUCAUUAAGAUCCCAAAAUCCCCAUAUUCCUACAAAAAAAAAUAAAAAAAGAAAUGCAUGCAAAACAAAAGGAACACGUCAUAUAUAUGAAAGAAAAGAGAAAAUAAAAACAGCAAGAAGAAGAAGAACAGAAACACCAGCAAAGGACUCAAACUUUAUAUCAUCAAAACCAAAACAAAUAGUCUCAUAACUUGGAAACCACCAGAAAAAUGUAAGACUAAAUAUUGCUAAGAUCUCUCUAUUCUAACUAACCAACAAAACCCCUUUAAAAAUGGACUAAAAUUGAUAAAGACAACAUUUUUUAACCCAAAAAAAAAACCCGAAAGGCAGAAAUUCAAGAGGAAACCAUUUGUGAGGAGAAAAACCUUAAAGAAGCAGUGAAUGAAAAAGAUCAAAGAAACAACCUUUUAGAUCAAGCUACAUUGUUUUUUGUUUACAGAAACAGAAACACAAGACACAAACCCAGAUGAAACAACUAGAAUGUGAUAAGAUUUCAUACAAUUCAGGUCCGAUCUGGCAAGAUCUUGAGCUCCCCACCUCUCUCGCUCUCUCAAAAUAAAAAACAAAGCCAAAAUGUUUUCUGUGAUUUUGCUUUUUAAUAGCAAAGAAAGGCUCUUUUUUUUUUAAUGUUGAGCUGUUGGAUUUCAUACGUAGAUAGCAGUUUUUCCGUUUUGACGACGUUACUUGACGGCAUGGUUAAAUUUUCUGUGAUUUUAUUUGAAAAGGGAGAGAGAGAGAGAGAGAUGGAUAAUGAGAUCUUACUAUGUCCAUGCCUUCGAUAAAUCCGUGAUUAAUUUUACUAAUUCUAUAAAUGAAUCAGUGUCUUCUUUUUUUACAAAUAAGUCCCUAAACAAUAUUGGUAAUGUUCAUAAUUGAUUAGUGGACUUUGAUGUUGUUGUUUUGAAAAAGAAAUUCUAGCUUUCUCAAACUAUUGGCAUGAUAUACUUCUAUUAAAAUAUUCCCAUGGAUAGAAUUAAAUAUCAUGAUAUUACAACUUAAAAUCAAAUUCUCAUACACGGAAAUAAAUUUUGUCUUAAUUGUAAAUAAUAUUAUUAGAAUUUUCACACCUUUUUAUAAAAUAUUAUUUAACUUUAUUGCAUGAUAUAUGUGUAUAAUCUUAGCUUGUGUAAUUUAGUUUAAACCUAUAUAGUUUGAGCUUACUCAACGCCUUGCAAUAUUUGUUAUAUGUGAUUCUAGUUUUAAGAAAUAUAAAAUAUAAAAAAAUAAAUAAUUACUAGUUACUCGAUGUUUAAACGAUAUAUAUUAACUGAUUACUAGAUAUCUCAACUCUUUGAUAAAUAUUUUGUAAUAAUUUAUAAAACAUAUGUAUACAUACAUUCUAAUACAUUUUAAGUGUGUAUCUAUAAAUUUAUAAACUUAAUGUGAAAAUAUAAUUAUUCAUAAAUCUAAAUUUUAAAUUUCACAUGCAAUAUUAUAAUUUUUUAAUCAUAAGAAAUAACAAGGAGAAGAAUUCAAGUUUACAUAGAACUAUAUUCAAGCCUCCUGGGGAAUUUGUAAGAAGAAAAGGGAUGGAAUUUUCAAAAUUUCAAAAUUCAUGCCCUGGAUUGAAAGAUGUCCUAAAUCUCAUUUUCAUUUUCUUUUUGGUCCACAGGGUUGACUGCAACAGAGUCAAGUAAACGGCGUUAGAUGACGGCACAGUUGCGCCGACGUGGUGGUGGCGACACAUAGCGCCAAAAAGUCCAAAGUCCGCAGCACAAAUCUCAUUCAAAGAUUUUCGGUUCCUUCUUCUUUUGUUUUUUCCAUUUAUUUUUACUUUAAUUUAUCUAUUUAUAUAUUCCUCAGGGGCUGUUUGUCGGAGAUUCUUCUUCCAAGGAUAAUAAUUUAUUUUUUGCCCUUUAUCUUUAGGGCUUUUUUCUAGCCCUUCUUUUUUGGGUUCUUUCAUCGUUAUAUUUUUCAUUGCAAUCAAGGUUACAAAGUAACUCCAAGGGAUAGGAACUUUUUGAUUUUUUUUAUAUUUAAUUUUUAUUUUUUAUAUUAAUAUUUUAAAAUCACCUAAAAAUAUAUAAAUUUAAUAUUAUUUUUUUCGGACAAAACAACAAUAAUAAUAAUAAGCCUUUGAUUUAAACAUGUUGGACGAGGCAUGUAGGCAUUGCAUGCACGUACUACAGCUACUGUUAAACAAGCAGAUGCUCCUGCAGCUCGUAUAGUUUAAUGCUAGUGAUUGUGCUGAUAGAUUCUUCAUUUAGUGCUGGUGGCACCCAUGACAUACACAUCUAUCAAUGGCAGAAUAUCAUGGCAGGUAGCAGGAUUCAAUUUGGGAAGAAUGGAGGGAAUUAAGAAAUGGGGUAUCUCACUAAAUGUAGGGAGAAGAUGGUGCAUGCCUUUGAUUCUGACAAGGAAAUUUUGACCUAAUUUGUACGGCCGGUCGGUACGGUCGGUCAAACUUGAGUGGCAUGUCAUAAGCUUCGUAAAAGAUACACUUUGAUCAUUGAACUUUAAAAAUCAAGUAAAUUAUAUAGUUUAAGUACCUCAAUAGUUUUUUCAAUUCCAUUUUGGUACAAAAGAUCAUUUUUGUUAUUUUUUAGUUCCUAGUUGAGAUAAGAGAGAGAGAGAGAGAGGUCGUGCGGAUUCUGGGGUUAGAGAGAGAAAAGUGUUAUUGACACCUAUUUAAACCACCAAAACGAAUGAUACUUGUGUCAAAUAAUUUUAUUUGAUGAGGGGAGUUUAUAUUAGGUGUUUUUUUUUACCUUUAAAGUCCAUAAAAAAACAUAUACGAGUCCAAGUCGAUUUUUGGAUUUAAGUUGAUUUCAGUUUUUGGGCGGUUUUUUACGGUCCCUACGGUGUUUUUGGUUAAAAUGAGUUUUUUGAAAGAAAAUAAAACUUGAGCCUCAAUUUUUCAACUAGAACAGUGACCAGAAUCUGAGCAAAUCAAACAAUGCAUCUUCUAAAUUUGUUUUUUCAAAAAACUUUGAGGCAGACAGCAUGUUAUCCACCGCAGUUACAAAACAAAACAAAAAUUAAGAAUCCAAUCACGCGGGCCCUGAGAAAAUGGCCUAGGUGGGCUGGCCUGGCUUGCUAGGCUCAAGCAGCACCUUACCUUUGCUCUCUUUUUUUCUAAAUUUUUUUAAAUUAAUGAUUUUUUGAUAUAGUUUUUUCUCUGAUUUUUUUUAAAUUUAUAUUUAAAUUAGUAUCCAUUCUUUCUUUCAUUUUAUUUGAAGAGCCUUUUUUAAAUGACAAUUAUUUUUUUAGUUGUGUAUUUAAAUUUAAAGAGUUGUUUUUUUUUUAUAAAUUUUUUUAUUUUUUGUAUGAAUGAACUUUAUUUUUUGAAAUUAAUUUUUUUUUUAAUAUAUGUAGUCUUGCAUGAUGUUUUUUUUUCCUCUUUUAUUUUAUUCGGUCAAUUUAAUUUGUGUCUCUAUUUCUAUUAUCGUUUGCUUAGAUAAAAAAAUUAUUUUAAUAAACAAAUUUAGCAAAUACAUCCGAGUAAAUGUCCCGUCUUUCAAUAUUAAAUAUCUUGAUCUACAUCUAUCUCUCGAUUUUUCAAGAUUUAUUUUUAGGUAUCAUUAAUGAUUUUUUAUUUAUUUAUUCGCACACAUAGUUCUCGAUUUAUUUGAUUAUAUAUGUACACAAAAAAUUUUUAUUUGAAAUUAGAUUUUUUUAAACUACAGAAAUGCGUUGAAAAAACUUGCAUGUAUAAUUUUUUUUAUAGAAAAUAAAAAUAUUUAACCCACGACGAAGCGUGGAUCAUAUUACUAGUGUGAGCUAGAACUCAAGAACAAAAACAUAAAGGAUAUGCACAACAAGUAGAAUUUAUUUGGGCAAAAAAAUGGCUAAAUUCUAUCUAGCUUCAACCUUGGAUGCAUAAUUUGUCAUGGCAAUAACAGAAAUGUUAUAACAAUAGAAAUGCCUAGAAUUUUCCAAUUUCACCCUUUGCUUGAGCUGCAGGGUCACCCUUGAUUACUUCUAAAUUUAGCAAUGCAAUUAAGCACAUCAAAAUCUUGGUGGUGAUGUUGAAUAUUUUGGCCUUGUUAUGUGAAGUAAUUAUUGGCUUAAAAUAGCGAAUUAAAUGGAUCACAUUUACUAGCUACCAGCUUUACGAGACGUGCAUGAUAGUCAAGGACGAUUGUUUUCAUCUGUCUGCUUUACCUUGCUCUCGCUGCAACUUGGAAAAAAAUAAUUGAAUGGAAAAAAAUAAUAUCAGAGUGUUUUUUUGAUAUUAUUAUAAAACCAAGUACUAUAAUAAUUUAAAUUUUAAACAUACUGAUCCAAUUAUUUGUUCAAUCAGAUUUUAAAUUAAAUUAUAUAGUUCUUAUUGAUCAUUGAAUAAAUUUAAAGAAAGAAAAAUCAAUUCAAUAUUAAAAAGUAACAUUAAAUAAAAAAAAAUUAUAUUAAAUGAUAGAAUUGAAAAAAAAAAUUAACAUUAUUUUUGGUGUUUGGGCAUAGAUUAAAAAAAAAUAUUAAUAUAUAAUAUUAAUAUAUUUUUAUUGCAUGUUUAAUUAUCUCUAAUUUUAGCAUUAGUUUUGGUGUUUGAAUAUAUUUAAUUCAUAAUUUCAAUUCAACAAAAAUAUAAAAGAAUUAACUUAGUAGAAAAACCUGGAUUAACCGAUCAUCAUGGUCCGGUCAGCCCGGAAAAAAUCUAAUUAAAACUUGUUUAUUUUUUUAAUUUUUAUUAGAAUAAUGUUAUUUUAUUUUUUUUAUAAAAAAAUUAAAUUAAUCUUGAAUUAACUCAAAUCUGGGAGAAACUUCUCUGUAUCAAGCCCUAUGCGAGGUUUAAAAACUUUGAGAAAAACUACUAAAAAAUGGAUCACUUCUGUGCAUGCUUCAAUGGACAUCAAUCUUCGCAGGACACGUAAACGUUUUGGAAAGGGAAUCGUCCCGAUUCUUAGUUAAUUAAGAAAAUGAUUAAUGCAUUCCUUUCAACUUGGAGAAUGAAUGAUUAACUCUUAGUCUCUCCACACCAGAGAACAUCAUGGCUUUACCUCAAAGUCUUAAAGUAAGACUGUUCCAUGAUUUCUAUAACAACUUCAUGUCAUUGGUUAUUUAUUAUGAACAAAAAUAAGAAAAAAUUAACCUCGUAUUUACGUGAUUCAGACAUGGAAAUAAAAACAAGUAAAAUUCUCUUUUUUACGCAAUUCAGACAUGGAAAAUAGAUUAAAAUAGAAUAUUUAAGUGAGAUUAUUUUCACUUAAAGUCAUGGGAGCAAAAAAGGUCAGUCAUAUUGAUCUAAUUCUUGGGAUUAAAGCCACUGGAGGAGCUAGCAUAGGUAGGUAUUGCUUCCUUUUCACUGACUUUUACCAUGAUCAGCUCAAAACUUCCUUAAUCUUUGAUCAGUGCUUGUAAGAAAAAAGUGCAGUUAAAUGAUAAUUAAUGCUUUGGGUUUAAGUCAAAUAUCGAACGACAAGAUUUGAAGUGUGACCUAUCAAAAUCAUUAUUAAGGCAUGCAUGGGGAUCUUCUUCUUCCUUUUUUUCUUCUGGUUCUGUUACUCUCGAUCGUGAGGUCGACUGGCCUCCGAAUUAUUCAAUAGGACAUUCCUUCCCCAUCAACAAAAUUGAUAAAACCAGAUGAAGGUGAUUGGCCUUCCACUUAAGAGUUAGUGCUGGGCCAUGCUCGUAAUGUCCAAUCUUAAUCACCAUAUUAAGACUAGAGCAUCUUGCUCCAUUAAAGUCAUGGUCACUAAUGUUGUCUUUGGUGAAGAUUAAGAUAUCUUGAUAGAGGAUAGGCGUUAAGAUCGAUGAUCAGUCCAAUCAGGCACGCAAAGGCCGCCUUAUGGAAUAAUUUUUUCAGGUUUUCAAGUUGCAACUAUCAAUUCAUUUGAAAAUAUAUUAAAAUAUAUCUUUUUAAAAUUCAAAUUAAAAAAAAAUGAUUUUAAGCGUAUUUUCAAAUAUAAACUUUGUUUCACUGUUUAGACAGACGAGUAUCUUUUUCCCCAGGAAAUUUCGUGAAAUAUUGUCCUGUCGAUGUGCUAGACAUCUAUUGCAUGUAGAUGUUGUGGGGCAUAAAGAUCCAUCGUAUAAUCUGUACAUAAUCUGCCUUGUAUUUUAGUACACGAAAAAAAUGCGUUGAUUGUUUCCCUACACAGAAACUUCCCUCAGCAUCCACUCGUCCUGUUCAUUUUUAUCUUCUUCACCAGCUAACAGGAUAUAUAGGAGGAAUUACGUACUUUUCUCUCUCUUUUUUUUUUUUUUUGAUUUACGUGGGGUGUCCGGGCCAGCUUACGCGCACCACGACUAUUCCCCACGGCCCGCUGGACAUCCUGCAAGCCCAGGAGCAGGUAAGGCACCGCGGGGGUGACAGACGUACACAUAGAGGGUCGAACCCGGGACGGGGACGGAACAAGUCACACGAAUUGACCACAGCAGUUAAACCCUCAAGUGCUGGGUACACAUGAGAACUCGAACCAGGGCACUCAGGCAGGGCAAAGCCUGCCAAGGCCACUGAGCUACAAGCCCCGUGUGUACUUUUCUCUUCUUAUUUGCGCCAGCCAUGGAUGCAUGUGACAUUGUAACUCGUAUGUUUUACAUGGUUAAUAUUUACCUGUUUGAGAGGGGCCGGUGAGUGGGGGAAUAAGGAGAUAUUUCGUCAAUAAUUUUGCAGUUCAAUUGACAUUUGUAUAUUUUCUUUAUUCAAAAUGGAUGCAUUAGCUUGGGGUUUUUUUGCUCUUGUUAGUCUCGAUUCUGCUCUCUAUAUUUAUAAUUCUAUCAAUUUUAUGCUAAUUAGAUGUCUAAUUUAAUCUUAUUAAUCUUUUAGACCAGUUGAGAAUCUUAAUUUUCUUAUUUUUAAAUUAACAAUAGCUGAUAUAACUUACUAUAAAUAUAUUUGUCAAGCUACGUAAAAGUUUUAAAAGACAAAAAAACUUUAAUAGAUUUCUUGAGAAUUCGAUGAUUUGAAGUGGAUAAUAAGAUAUAAGAGUUAUUUUUUAAAAUAUUUUUUAUUUAAAAACAAUAAAAAAAUUAAUUCAAAAUUUAACCAAUUUCUAUUUGAAACACAAUAUCAAAUAAGGAAUAAAUGUUACUUGUAAUAUGUAGUUAGGGUUAUGUAUCCUUGCCUCUGUGUAUACUGGUAUUUUUUUUAAAUACGCAGACUUACCUUGGGUUCUCGUUUUGUAAUUUUCUUGAUAGUUGCAUGGCUAUUUUGUAAUUAAGAAACAAGCCUUACAUCAGAAGCACACUUGAAAGCUUUUCUUGAUACAUGAAGGUAGCUUCCACAUCAAGAAAACAGUAUGAUAAGAAGCCUUCGUAGUUCCCCAUACGACCCGUAUAUUUCAAGAAAAAUAGAUAAAUGCACUGCCCAUGUCAUAGUGUGCGUGCGUGUGUGUGUAUAUAUAUAUAAUAUCUUGCUGUAUAUGGUACAAAAAUAAUUCAAUCUUGACCUGAAGGUGUAGCUCAAUUGAUAAAGUUAUAAGUUUGCUCUCUAAAAAUCACCAGUUCGAGUCUUCUAAACCUCAGGAUCACUGAAAGCUUAUAUAAUUGUUAAAUUCAUGGCAUGUGAGAUUAGUCAAGAUGUACCUAAGUUGACUUGUAUAUCCAUGUUAAUAAAAAAAAUUUAAAUCUUGAACCAUGUCAUAUACUCAUGAUCAUAUAUAGCAGAUAGACGACGAAGACCAGAAAAAAAUAAUUAAAUUCUCAGUUUCGAUGCUUGGAGGAGUUCUCAUAUAGGUCAGGUUCCUUUCAUUUUCUAAGUUGAAUCUUGUCCGUUAGCAUAAAGUUCUGUCAUCUUGUCAUUCAACAAUUUUGAAAAUAAUUUCUUCCAAUUUAAUGUAUAUCUUUUUGUAGCAUAACACGUCACCAAUAAAAAUUACAUGGUGGGAAAUUCUUUCAUUAAUAUUGUCAACGAAGCAAUAUUGAUCUAGUAAUAAUAAUAAUAAAAAAUAAAGUUCUGAAGGCUUAAGAGUCAAGUAUCUUGCACUAUAGGUUAUAAAAUUCCCCAAUCCCAAACCAUAUUAAAUAAUGAAAAAGUGCUUGUUUACAUCAUGGCGUAAAGCACAUUAAUCCCUUGUAAGUGUUUAAAAAGGGUGAUAGCUUUUAUUUUUGGAUUAGUUUAAUAUUACGAUUCAUUUAAAAAAUAUCAAAUUAUUAUAUUUUUAAUGUUUUUUUUUGUGAUUUUGAUAUACCAAUAUUAAAAAAUUUAAACAGUGUUUGGCACAGCGGUUAGAAAGUGUUUUUGAAAAAAAAUUAAAUUUUUUUUUGUUUUAAAUUAUUAUAUUUUUGAUAUGGUUGGAAAGCGUUUUUGAAAAAUUUAAUUUUUUUUUUGUUUCAAAUUAUUAUAUUUUUGAUGUUUUCAUAUCAUUUUAAUGUGCUGAUGUUAAAUAUAAUUUUUAAAAAAUAAAAAAAUAUUAUUUUAAUAUAUUUUAAAACAAAAAAUACUUUAGGGGGAAAAAACUUUACAAUUUGCUAGGACCAUUCUUAACUUUCCUUCAGCUUUUGCUAGGAGUUGGUUUUUUCUCUGAUAGUCCCACAGGAGAAACUGAUAAUUCAUGAGAUGCGACUGUCCCCAAUAGAUUUGCAAUGGAAUCAUUUAAUAGUCAGCAAAUGUCACCCUCAAGCACCGACAAUUUAUUUCAUGUGUGAUCAUCAAUGGAAUUAUCGAAUUUGUUAUUAAAAAGAAAAAGAAAAAAAGGGAGGCCUCUUCAAGCUCAAUCUGCAAUUUAAUAAUUACAAACCCAUGAGUGAUUCUGUUUCCUGCGGACAAGAAUUAAUGAUGUUAGAACAUAGGGCCAUAGCAAUUUGCAUCGUGGAAUCCUAUUUUUAUAUAUAGAAAAUAAUCAAAUAGCAUCUGGGUUGUAGACUUGUAGUUGGCAAAGGCAAACCCAGAGAAGAUGACCAUUUGGGCUCAAUCUUUAUCCCUUUUUUUUUUUUUUUUUGACAAAGACAAGGAAAAUGACGUAUCCCUUGCUUCUCUUUUUAAAGAACCUCGAGGAUAACAAAAUUUGCUUUUAAUUAUUGUUUCUGUAUAAAAAAAUUUGUGUUUCAAAAAAAUUUAUUUAUUUUUAUUUUUUUACUUUAAAUUAAUUUUUUUUGGUGUUUUUAGAUCAUUUUGAUGUGCUGAUAUCAAAAAUAAUUUUUAAAAAUAAAAAAUAUUAUUUUAAUACAUUUUCGAGUGAAAAAUACUUUGAAAAAUAACCGCAACCAUACUCCCAAGCAGGCUCAAUUUGAAAAUAAAAUUUAUAUAAUAACUUUUUUAUAAUAGUUUUAUAAUGAAUUUUUAUUAUUUUAAAAUAAAAAUAACAUAAAACAUAUAAGUUUUAUUUAUUUGUUUUUGUUUUGAGAUAGUAUCCGAACAUUAUUAUGAAUGUGGGAUUUAGAAUUCAAGAUUCUAUUUAAGAAAACAUCUCAUAAGAGUCCUGAAUCAAAAGGUGGGAGUUUUUAGAAAUCUCAGCAUCUAGUGGUGAUAUUCAAAACUCAAUCCAACUAGCUACAAUCAGCAUAUAUAGCUCAAAAUUAAAUACCAAUUAUUAUCCAAAAAAAUCUAAAAAAGGAUUAAUCAUAAGCACUUUGUGAUUAAACUAGAAUUGGUGAUCGUAUUUUGCCGUGGGGUUGGAUUAUUAUUAUUUUUUUGAAAAAAAUAAUGAUUAGAUGCCAAAAUAAGGUAAAAAAAUAACAUAAAACACCGGUCAUGACAAGCAUGUAAUAUGGGCAAUUAGAGCUGAACCAACCUGUGAUAUCCUGUCAAAUCGGAUAAAAAUUAGAAUUGAAUGAUAAAAUUAAAAAAAUAAUACCAUCAAUUUAAAUUGAAGGAUAAAAUUAAAAACUACUAAAACUCCUAUAAAAUGGCUAAGGAUAAAAACUAAAAAUUCAAAGAAUAAGGAUCACAUUGGAGAAUAAAAUAUUUGGUAAAUUGGAAUUGAAGAUUAAAAUUAGAAAUAAAUAAAACUUCAACAAAAAGAUCAAGACCAAAAAUUAAAAAUUAAAAGAAUAAGGACUGAAGUUGAAAUCCUCAUAACUAAGAGGGCCAAGUUGUAAUUUUUAGGGAAGGAGAGAGAAAGAAAAAGAAAAGAAAAAACUCACCAGCACCAAACUUGGCCAUCAAUUGAGAAACACAUUGUACCAACAAGAAAAUGAGAUGAUGACGCUUUUAAUGACAUGAUAUAAUGAUAUUUUUAGACAUUGGGAGGCAACACACACUAUUGGGUGAGCCACACGUGUGCCCUCUUUUUUGUUUUGUUUAGCUAAAUACAAACUUGCUCUUGAGUUAGCUUUUCAAUUACAAAAAAAUAUCAUUGUGAAAAACUCAAAAUGCCCAUUAACCUCAUUUGAAUUUUUUGAUUUAAGGGUAUUUUCAUAGUUUCACUAUUUAUUUGAAUUGUUUAUUAUUUUUUAUAUUUUUAUAAAAAACAAAUUACCCCUCAACUUUGUUUAUAGUAAUAAAAAAAUUAUUGUAAAAAUAUAAAAAUACCUCUUGAUGUCAUCAUUGUUUUUUUACUUCAAAGAUACUCUAAUCAUUUUAGUAUAUAAUCAAGAUUAAAAAAUAUUUAUUUAUCCAUGUUAUUUUUUAUAAUAACAAAUAAGCCAUGAAAAAAAACAUCAAGACCCCCUGAAAACAUGUUUUAAGAUUUUUUUGAAUGAAAAAAUAAAAUUAAUAUUACAUUGCCAAACACACUCUAAGUUUAGAGCUAGAGUAAUUUUCCAUGGUCUAGCUUGAGUCAAUAGUAGCCGGUUAUUUCUCUUUUACCACGUCAACAGCCGCUACAAACCCAACAAAUGUUAGCCCUUAGCAUCCUGAAUAGCCACAAAACCAAAAUUCGCGCCUCUUUAUUUACAAAUUCUAACGGUUUCCUCUCUGUAAACAAAUCACAGCCAUAUCAUUAAUUGCAAGAGCACAACAGAAGAGAAAAGCGAGUGAUCGAUCCAAACUAGAGAGAAAGAAAGAAGGAAAGACAAUGACGAUGGAGACAGUAGCUGUAGCACCAACUCCAACACCAACGCCAACAACACAUCAAACCAUGAACAACGAUACAACAACGACGCUCGCACAGCAAAAGAAUAACAGGAUUCAAGUCUCUAACACCAAGAAACCUCUCUUCUUUUAUGUCAAUCUGGCUAAGGUUCCACUUUUUCCAUACUGGGUCUUUCUUCUUCUUUUUCUUCUUUUUUUGUAAUGAUGUUUUGGGUAGUAGAAAUUUUGAUAUUUCCUUGUGUCAUUUGAUAGUUUCUAUGUUUACAAGUUCGUACUUUUUUGAAAGUUUUUUUUAUAGGAUCUUUGGAAGUUAAUUAGUUUUUAAUUGCUAUAUAUAGAGUUGUUUUUUUCUUUUCUUGCAGGAAUUAUUGCUAUUGCUCUCUGGUCACAGAUCUCUUUAAUUAUAUGAAAGAAGGGUGUUACAUUCUCUUUAAGUAGAGCUAAAACUUUCCCUUCUUUGGUAGGUUAGGAUUAAUUUUGUGGUCAUUAUGUAUCUGGUACAUCUCUUUGAAAUGGGAUAGUAGACAUCCAUUAAAUACUAGAUUUUUUCUAUGAAUUAAAAUGAUAUUUAUGUGUCAUUAUUUCCCUUUUCUUCUUUGAUGUGGAAUUAAUGUACAUUGAUCUUACAAGAAAAUCGUGCGUACAAUGUGAUUAGAAGGAAAUUUUAAGGUUUGCUAAUGAUGUGAUCAUUAUAACGAUGAGACUCGUAUAUGUGCUUCUGCAGAUUGCACAGCACCUGGAUCUGUGUCCAUGAUUUUUUUAUCUUGAUCAUGCUUUGCCCUUUUCUUUCAGAGAUAUAUGCAGCAGUAUAACGAGGUUGAGCUUUCUGCCUUGGGCAUGGGUAUGUUCUACAAAGCCACAUCUCAUAAUUUUGUUUUAUUAUUUACUUGUCUAUGGAGUGGUAGCUUUGUCUUACUGGUGGAGUUUCUGCCAGCAGUAAGCUACUGACGGUCUGCGGAAAGGCAGGAGCUGGUAUUGAGAAAUUGCUGCUGUACGAUGUAGAACAUCAUUGAGACAUGGCUAUAACACGACCAAAGAAGAAAUUGCCAAAAUGGUUCUCUAAAUUUUGUUUUACCAGGACCAUACAAAUGUAGAACAUUUUUAAUUAGCAGUUGAAAAUGGUUCUGCAAAAUGCGUUCAUAAUCAUGAUAGUACUGUUUUUGGUUUUAAACAACAAUCGAUUCUGUAGAGUGAGGAAAAUAUUUAUAAGAGAUGAAAGGAAACAAUAAUGCUUUUGUACUGUGGUUAUCAUGCUUGUUAAAAUUUAUUUUACAUUUUGUUACAGCAAUCACCACUGUUGUUACAAUUGCUGAGAUUUUGAAGAACAAUGGAUUGGCUACUGAGAAGAGUAAGAAUUAUCUCCUUCUAACAUUCACAUUCUUGUAUUCAUGAUGAGGAUAUCUGAUUUGUAAUCUUUUCUAUGGAACCAAACAGAAGUUCUGACAUCUACAGUAUGCAUGAAAGAUGAGAACAAAGGACGGCAGGUUCAGAAGGCUAAGGUAUGUUUAACUUCGUUAUAAAUCUUAAUUUGAUCCAUUAUCAUCUCAUUAUGACAAUUAAUAAGGCAUUUUUCUCUUAAUCCUUCUCGUUGUUGCUACUGUUUGAUUGUUUUUCCUUGACUUCUAGAUUGAGAUUGUGUUGGGGAAGUCGGAGAAAUUUGACAGUCUGAUGAAUGCUGCCAAUGCAGCUCCAGAGGAGGAGGCAGCCAAAGAGAAGGAUGAUGAGAAAUAGCGAAGCAACUUUGAUGUUUUCUUUUUGUAGUUCUGUAUCCACAUUUUUAUUUUCUGUCUGCUUAAUAGCAUAGGGAUUACUAUGGAUAACAUAGUGAGAGUAGAGAGACAGUGGCAUAAUGGGACAUUGCAGUUGUAUAUAUGCCUCUCUUUACUCUGAUUAUAGACUUGUAGAGAUCAUAAAUGCUAUUAUACUGUUUCUUUGUUGACAUUUACUCUUUCUGCAAAUCUAGAGCAUCUUAUACCUGCAAGAUUUACUUGUAAAAUCUAUUCUAUGUAGAAGCAUUGUAGGAACAAUAGAUCUGAAAGGACUCGAAACUAGAGGCGACGCGCCCACAACGUUCACUUUGCAUCUGUUGGUAAGAAAUAAAAUGUUUCUUGUGGUCAGGACCUGACCAUCUUAAUUCUACCUGACAAUGCCAUCUAUGCCAUACAUGGAUACUUAAUGACUGGAAUCACAUCUGUCAUUCAUGCUUAAACAGGCAUAUCGGCUGACGUAUAAAGUUAAUUGGAAAGCCUUUUCUUGCCCUUGAAUUAGAUUUUGCUAGGAAUUUGUCAGGUAUAGUGUCUGGAAACUGCUCUGCCUCCAUUGUGAUUCUGUUCAGGGUUUUAACAAGCCUUUCCUAUCUAUCAGUCCAUCAGAUGGAAGUUUCGUGAUCAAUGAUGACUUUUGAGGAUUUCAUUCGGUAUGCCUGGAUCUUAAUGCUGAAAAUGAUUUGGAAAUCAACAAUAAUUCCUUUUCUUCAUUUUUUUUUUGUUCGAAGUUCUGCAUGCUUCAAGUUGCAAACAUCUUGUAAUUAUUUCUACCAACCCAAAAUUCACAGCUGUUGUGAUGAUCUGACAGAAUCAUCUCCAAGCAUGCAUACAGCUUACUUCAUCUAUUCUUGGUGAACUAUAAGGGAUAGUUCCUCCCAUUACUUUGCAAAUUUACAGAUUGUCAUCAUAUAUUUUUCAUGUCAAAAUUUUAACACUGUUUCGUGAUAAAUUUAACUCGCACUCACCUGGAGUGAUUCUUGAGGGAUAAAUAUUUUGCAAUAUGAACAUGUUUGUCAUAUUCAACUAAUACAGUCGCUGAUUCGCAGUGUAGAGUGUAAUCCUGAUAGGCAAACAAUCAUCUGCCUUUCUUUCCUUUAUAGAGAAGCUCAAGUUUGCAGCAGUUUUGUCUGCAUUUACACAACACAACUUUAGACAGUAUCUUCAGGUCUGGAUGCCUUAAUGACCACGGAGGCUUGGACAUUGACGGUGGACUAUCCUAUCAAUAACCAGUCCGAGUCUUCUUCAUGAGUCAAGGUGUUAGAUUCCAUUGAAAUGUAGUUGAUAAAGCUUGUCAAAGAUUCAGGUUUCGAAGAAAUUUAUAUGCAGGUAACCUAGUUUUUAAACUAUAGAAUCUUGGAGAUUGACAGAGGAGUAGGACUAUUAUUAACUUAACAAGAAACCCAAAAGGAGAGGGGAUUUUACUGUCUUCACAAAACACUUCUAGUGUUUAUUUUUUCUUUAUUUUGUUUUUAAUUUCUUUAUUUAAUAUUAGUUUUUUUUUGAAAGUGUGUUCAUAAUUUUAUUUUUUUAUAAAGUUAUUUUAAUCUCAUGAUUAAGACUACAAGUUUAACGAUUUAACUCAUAUAACUUGAGUUUUAUUUUUUUUAAUUGAUUUUUUUUUCAGUUUCCUCUUUUAACAUUGAGUUGAUUGAAAAAUUAACUUCAUGUUUUGUUUUGAUUUUUUUUCUACGAGAUUAUUUCUAUUUUAUGACUCAGGUCAUGAGUUUGGCGGGUUAACCUAGAUUGACCUGAAUCCAUUUUUUGUAAUUUUUUUAAUCGAUUUUUUUUUCAAUUUUAUCUUUUCAAUAUUAGAUUGAUUGGAAAUUCAACAUCAUAAUUUGUUUCAAUUUUUUUUAUUGGGUUAUCUCGAUCUUAUGACUUGAGUCGCAAGUUUGACAAGUUAACUUAGGUUGACCCGGAUCAUUUUUUUGGGUUAUUUUUUUAAUUGAUUUUUUUUUGAAUUUUAUCAUUCAACACUGAGUUUAUUGAAAAUUAAAUUUAUUGAAAAUUGAGUUUCAUAAUUUAUUUUGAUUUUCUUUUUAUAGGGUUAUCAUAGUUUCAUGACUCGAGAUACAGAUUGAUAGGUUAAUCUAGGUUGAUUCAAAUCAAAUCAAUAUAUUAUUGUUUUAACAAUUAUAUAAAAAAUAUUAUCUUGAAUAUUUAUUUUGACUUAAACUAUAUUUUUAUAGAUCAUUUGAGUUGUCUUUAAACUCGCUAAAUCAAUUGAGUCUUUUCAAGUUAGGCACCACACAAUUUAAAACUUUUUUUUGCUAAAAUAAAUCAAUAAUAUCUAAAUAUAUUUUUAUAUUUUUUUUUAAUCCAACUUGCACCUCGUUAAUGCUCUUAUCUAGAAACUUAUGGACAAGACAUUUCUUGCAAAUAUAUAUAGUUUUUAUUUGAAGCAUUUUCUUUCAGGAUAAAUUGAAUGGCAGGUCAUUUGCAAAACAGAAUUUUAGGCUUAUUGCUUCCAAAUUUUCACCUUUCAAUUUGCGUUUAAUUAAUCUCUCAACACAAAAAAAUAUAUAUACAAAAAAGAUAAAGGUUUUUUUUUUAGGAGACAAAAAUAAGUACAUCUCUAAGCAAUUUAGGAGAGAAGUAUUUCAAAUACAGAACUUUUUUUAAUUAAAAAACAAAAAUAUAAAAUAAAUAUUUCUCCACACUCUAAAAUCACCGAGUAGUUACACUUUACUUUUUCUUUAACAGUGUACUUCAGUGGACGAGCCCAUUAUAAGUCAUAACCCAACCCAACCCAGAUAGGGUUAUUUUCGUCAUCUUGUCAAAACAAGGACCACAUUGCAAAAUCGAGAUUCUUAUCUGGGCCACAAAAACAAAACCCAACAAAUCUCCUUAAAACUGAAACUCAUGUUGUAAACGCGCACACACCUCGUACCCAGCCGCGCGCUCUCCAUAUCUGCUGCAAAAUUUUCCGUUCUUGAAAGACCUAAAACCUAAAAAAUCAACCAAAUCUUUAUUUAACACCCACCUCCUUACAAAACCCAGAUUUUCUACUUGUCUCUUAAUGUAAGUUCUUGCUAAAAUUCGUCGUCUUGGUUCUUUAUUACAGUACUUCUUUUGGGUUUUAGGUGAUGGUUCUUGGAUUACUGUUGUUGGGUUUUUCUUUACUGCUUUGUUUUUGAGUUAUUUAGGUUGUUUGACUACGACCCUUUAAUGUGUUUUUGUUAAUUAGCGAUUCUUUACUCGUUUUUGUUCUCAAGAAGGGUUUUUUUUAGAUUGUGAAAUUAGGGUUUGCUGUUUUUUUGUUUAAUGUGGAUGGAUAUGAAAUAUAAUAUAGUGCAUGAUAUUUAUAUGGGCGUGCUUUCCGUGGAUUGACAUGUUCUUGUUUUGUUUAUGUUUGUAUUUUGGUGAGGGGUUACUGGGAUUGAGUUUUUUAUUGAUUUCUUUUUUAAGAAUUCAUUGAUUCCUGACUAUGAAAUCUUUAUCUUUAAUAAAUGAAGAAGAAACUAGGAGAUUGUUUUGGUAAUUUUAGUAGAUUGUUGCUAAUUUGAGGUGUGCAUUGUUGCUAAUUUUAGUAGAUUGUUUUGGUAACAUUCUGUCUCUACUGGAAAUUGAAGCCUCAAGUGUUGAUAGUUAAUUAAUUUAAGGAUUUCUAUGCUUUUAUUUGUUCCAUAUAACCUGGAUAGUUGGAUUUUAUAAAUGAUCUUUCUUUCUUACAGUGCCUUACUCAUGGCUGAAGUUGAUCAAGGCUUUGGUGAGCAUGAAAUUGAUCAUGGCGUGGACCUUUCUGCUGAUCAAGGUGUUGGUCAUCCUGUAGACCAUGACUUGGAUAAUGCCACUGAUCAUGGCUUAGAUCAUGCAGUAGAUCAUAGCUUGGGUCAUUCUGUGGAUCAUGGUUUGGAUCAUGCCACAGAUCCUGGAUUGGCAGUAGAGCAUGACAUUGAUCACCCUAUAGAUCAUCAUGUGGAUCCGUCUAUAGACCAUGAUGUGGAUCACCCUGUAAACCAUGACAUAGACCAUGCUAUUGAUCAAGUGCCUGAGAAUUUUGAGGCUUCAAAGCAAGGACAAGAUGAGGAUACAGUCUCUGGAGGAGGUAGUGAGAAGAGGUGGCCUGGAUGGCCUGGAGAGAGUGUGUUUCGGAUGUUGGUUCCUGCACAAAAAGUUGGCAGUAUCAUUGGCCGCAAAGGGGAGUUCAUUAAAAAGAUAGUCGAAGAGACAAGAGCUCGCAUCAAGAUACUUGAUGGUCCUCCAGGGACGACAGAAAGAGCUGUAAGUUUUUCUUUUCCUCCGUCUCUUAUUUGUGCAACUAGUUUAUCUGGAAAAUGUAGAACUAGGAUGGUGGGAAGAAUAUGUAGAUGCAAAGUGUUUGAUGGAGACCUCCCAUGAAUGAAUUCAUGUAUCAACUGAUUCUACUAUAGCAUGCUUUUGUUUUGUCUUUUCUUUUCUUUUCCUGCUUUCCUUUUCCUCUAAGAAAUUGAUAAUUUGAAAUAUAUAAGCAAUUUUCAGGCAUUGCAGAAUAUUUUCAUGGUGUUAGCUUAGAUAUGCUGCUGGAUUACAAGUUUGGUCAUCUAUCUAUAACAUGUCUGGUAUUUUUCCUAGGAAUUUGGAUUGGUUGCUAUUUAAAUUUCUUUGCGGACACACCAUCGGUCAAUCUUUGCUUUGAGCUAUAUUGAUAUAACAAUGCAUAUAAAAAGGCAGAGAAUUGACUUAACAUCAAUUACAAAGAAAGUUAGUCUAUGGAAGAGAGGUUGAUAGGUCAAGCUUAAUUUUAUGAAUCGACUUAACUUCAUAACAAAGAAUCUAGCUUAUUAAAGAUAUUGAUAAAGGAAAACUUUUAGAUUACUCCUUAGCUGUAAAUAUAACUUUUAUUAAGAAGAAAGAGUUUUCUAAUUGUCACCAAAACAUCAAAGAAAAUGGAACUGAUCAUUAAAACACACAUCACCAGUCGAAGCUGUAAAACUCUUUUAUAUCAUUUGUAAACUGAAACAAUUUUUUUGCAAAUGAUACAUAAUUAUUUAAAAUUCUUGGAGAAAGAUCUGUAAUUGCUGUUGGAUAUCUGAUUCAACUGUUUCCCAUCCAAUCCUUUGGGUUUUUUUCUACUUACCAGUUUUUUCUUGGAAGUCAUUUGUUUCUAUGAAUAUCCGAGCAAUGUAUCUAUCUGUACCUUUGCAAUGAUAUUCAAAGGGAGAAUUCUUGGUAAUGUCACUCACUAUCCUGUCACCCUUUGUAAGCAUUAUUAUUUCCUAAAGCUAUAACUGGGAAUUAAGAUAUCAAUCUUGAAGAGAGAACCUAAGAUAUGAUCAUUUAACUUCAAAUGAACCAUUAUUGUAAAAGAAUGCGUAAUUGAAAAGAAGACAAAAAACCUCAUCAGAAGAAAUCGAGAAGAUAUAACAGAAUUGCUUUUAUUGCAAUAACAAAAUGAAUCUGUGCAGGUUCUGUCCGCAAAUUUUUAAGCAACGAAUCAACCAUCAUUAGGACCCCAAAUUUGAAGAACCAAAGAUCCAGAUUGCUGGGAACAGCAUUGUGCAUUGCAAAGUUCUGAAAAGUUGAUUUGAAUAUACAGACAUAUUGUACGAACAACCGUACCAAGAAGCUCUGCAAUCUUUCUGGUAACUUCAGAAACUGCAUGGUUGAUUUCUGCCGCAGCUUGUGAACACCACAAGGAACCUGUUUUAAUCAGCACAAGAGGAUGCAGAAGAUGUUAAUACCAAUGUGCUAAUCAAAAUUUUCCAUAAUAUACUUAAAAGAAUUAAGCAUUAAAAGCAGUAAAAAAUGUUGGUCAACUUUACUAAAUAAUUCACUGAAACUUGUCAAUCCAUGUGUUUUUCUGUUAUUUUCUUGAUAAAAAAAACUCUCUUGGUAGGGAUGAUGAUAACUCGGUCAUCAAAAACAUGAUUCAAGAACCAGAUCUAAGUUUGAAGUGUAAUAGUAACCAGUCAUUAACUCUUGGUCAGAAGUUUACGUGGAGAAAAAGAUUAAAUGUUAUGCAUGAGGAAGUUGUGAUGAAAUUUUUAUGUGACAGCUGCAUUAGAUUUGACAUCACGGUAAAUAGAUAACCAGGCAAUGAAUUUAUCGUGCAUGCAAGUUGUUGAAUUUUGAAAAAAAAAUGGAGGAUUCAUUAUCCGUAGAGGAGGAGAAUAGGGCAAUAAUAGCCAAUGCUUGUGUUUAAACUCUAAUUUAGUAAUAAAAUAUAAUAUAAUAGGUUACCUUCUAGUUUGAAAUGUUAUUUAGAAAGAGUUGCUUCAUUGUCUUUUAUUUUAUAAUUAUCUCGUGUUGCUCCAUCCAAUUUUUUUCUCUUCCCUUAACUCUCUUGGACUUGAAUCAUAUAAUAAUUUUUCCUCAGCUUCUUAUACAAACAUUGUUAUAUAGGUAAUGGUAUCUGCCAAGGAGGAGCCUGAUUCUUCUCUUCCUCCUGCCAUGGAUGGCCUACUGAGGGUUCACAAACGCAUUAUUGAUGGUUUGGAGGGUGAUUCUUCUCAUGCUCCACCAAGCAGUGGAGCUAAGGUUUCAACAAGGCUGCUAGUACCAGCCUCACAAGCUGGAAGUUUGAUAGGAAAACAAGGGGGAACUGUUAAAUCCAUCCAAGAGGCAUCAGCUUGCAUAGUUAGAGUUCUUGGUGCAGGUUAUCCCCUUUCACUUCUGAGUUAGAAAUGCUAUAGAAUUCAUUUUGUUAUCCGUGUUCUCAAAUUUAGUUAUUUUUGUUUGUCUUAGUGAAGCUAUAUGGUUGAUUUGGCAUUUUUAGAAAAUCAUAUUUUGUCAAUUAUGUUUGCUGGUUGCUAUGGGUUUGUUUUUCCUCAAUUGUUAUAAUUGCAUUUUAUUCUGUAGUGACAAAUUAACCGAGUUCUUUGUAAAUAGAAAUUAUCUUAAAUAUGGAGUUGUCAUACUCUAAUCUUACUAAUUAAGUUUCUGAGUAAUGGUGGAGAGGUGAACCAAGGGCAUUACUGCAUUACUUUUCUUUACCUCUGUAAUACGUGCCUUUAUUUUUGCUGCUAAUUUGUUUAUAUUCCUUAACCACACCAUUGCCGACAAUGCCUCUGGCUCUGCUAUUUUCUCCACUGCCGCCAUCAGUCUACCACUGUUGGUUAUUUAUAGUGGCGCCAUUAUGAUGUUGGUUGUAAUAUCUAAUCAAUGACCAUCACAAGCAAUUUUUAUUAUUGAGGUUCAGGAUUACAUAAUUUAUUGUUGGGGCUCAUGAUUACAUAAUUCUGAAUCCUAAGAUUAGUAACACCCAUCUGACCACUACAAACCUUUUUCGCUUAAAAAAUUUUGGGCGAAAUUAUUUAAGGAUGAGGGAAAAAUUAUUUAAGGAUACUCAUUUAGUAGACCUUGUUGCCCUCGCCCCUCUCCUGCCCUUGCUUUAUUAUGAAACUCAUCAUAAUAAUUGGUAAUAUUAAUGCCUCUUGUUCCUUGAUAUGGGUGUCUUAUAUGCACAUUUUGUUUUGCUAGUCUUCAUGCUCUGGAUUCAGAUACUGCUUGAUUUACUGCUGAAUUUUAUCAGUACAUCUGAACUCUUUAUUUGUUGGAUCAAACUGGUGCAGAAGACCUUCCAGUUUUUUCUCUUCAAGAUGAUAGGGUGGUUGAAGUAUUAGGGGAAGCAGUUGGAGUGCACAAAGCAGUGGAGUUAAUUGCAUCUCAGCUCAGGAAGUUUCUAGUUGACCGAAGUAUAAUUCCAUUGUUUGAAAUGCAGGUAAGCUGCUCUUCAUUAUGAUUGGAACGACUUUAUCUAUUAUGGCUUGAAUAGCCUUAUGGAAUGAUUUAUAUAAUUUACCAGAUGCAAAUGGCGAAUCCUCCAAUGGAACAGAUGCCACCACAUCAAUCAUGGGGUGGACCUCAAUCCCUUCCUCUGAAUCCUGUUGGAGGACCUGGUUAUGGCCAAAAUCCCCAAUAUAUGCAACCUCCACGGCAACACGACAAUUACUAUCCUCCAUCUGACAUGCCACCUCCAAUGGAAAAACAACCUCACCAGGGUAUAUCUGCAUAUGGUAGACAAACUCCCAUGGGUGGUCAUGCAUCAUCAAAUGCCCAAGCAGCACCAUCAAUGAUCACACAGGUUAUGUUAUUCUCUUUUGUUUUCACCCCCUCUCUCAUCGAGGGAAAUUUAAGAUGCUAUUUUCUUGUUGGGGAAUGAUUAGGAUGUGGGAUGACUUGCUGAUUUGUGAAGCAGAAAGGAAAAAAAAACUAGAUUUUAUGUGCUAUAUAAACAUGUUCUUUUCUUUUCUUCCCCCUCAUUUGUUAAGGAACGUCAAUCAUUGUGUAAAGUAAUUGUCAUUCUUUUUAGAAUAGACCUUGGUUGUCUGGGUCCAUGCUUUGGAAAAUGUUGUUGAUUGAACGUGAUAGAGAUUGAUGAUGGGUUAUUGACACAGAUUUCUUGGGGUUGGCAAGGGUGGUGUAGUGCUUAUGGGAAGCUUUGCAUAAUGCUAUAGUUUUCCAUAAAAGAGUUCAUAUAGUAGUUUUACGGUCCAGAUUACAUAGUGGAAUGAGAGACCUGCUAAAACAAAUCACGUACAAUCAUUUUUUCUCAGUCUCAUGUUGUAUUUUUUUUGGUUGGGAUGGGUCUGUAAAUUUUCUUAGGCUUUGAAAUGAGAGUAUAAUCUUUAGCUUGGUUAACUAACUGUUUCUGCCAUUGCAAAUGAAACAGUUCUAUUUAUUAUUUUCCAAACCAAAUAACCUCAUCCUGUAUUUCUUGCUGGCACUGGUCAGCACUUUUUGAGGUUUCAAAAUGAUUGAUGGGUUUCGGGGUUCUUGUGCAGAUUACACAACAAAUGCAAAUUCCAUUAUCUUAUGCUGAUGCUGUUAUUGGGACAGCUGGUGCAAGUAUAAGCUACAUUCGACGUGCUAGUGGGGCAACUGUUACUAUACAAGAAACUAGAGGUGUUCCCGAGGCAAUGACAGUUGAAAUCAGUGGAACUGCUUCUCAAGUCCAAACAGCUCAGCAGCUGAUACAGGCAAUAUUCUGUGCUUUAUCUCUUUAACUAAAAUUGAUCUUCCCCUCUCUUUUCUGGAUAUAUCCUAUUUGGACUACAUGUUUUUCAUACUGCUGAUUUUAUCUGAAUGGGAAUUUGCUUGCAAGCAUUGUUUAAAUGGGAUUUUGACUAGGCUUGCAUCUAUUUAUCAUGUGUAGUGGUUUACUAACUCGAGAUAAAUAUUGUCAAAUGGACCUUGCAAUAGGAGGUUGGAUAUUGUGGUGUCUGCUAGGAAUGUCAUAAAAUAUUUGUUGAGGUUUAUGACAUCUAUUAUGUAGAGUGUCUGUACAUGCAUGCAUGCAAUAUUGGGAAAAGUGAAAUUGGUGAAGGAAGGUUUAUGUCAGUAAAUACAAACAUAUUUUGUAUAAUAGAAAGAGCCUAUUAAACAUUUUUUUUUUAAAAAUCCAUGUGCACUAGGUGUAAUUUUAAUUAGGUCUCCUUGAUUUGAAUUGGAGGUCGUGGAAAAGAUUAUGUAGCUUACUAGCUAGCAAUUGUUGUGGCUUGUAGUUUCAAACAUAGUUAUAAGAUCUGGUUUGGCCUAUGACCCAGCCCAAGACUUGGGUUGUUGGUUGGGAGGUUUAACCUGUAGGUUGGCGAGUUGGCCUGUUUCUAUUGUUUUUUUUAUUGAAAGAUGUUUCAGAUUUUUUUUUUAAAAAAAACUAAAACAUUGUUGUUUUGGAUAAAAAAAAGAAUCGUUCAUCGCUUGGGUUUUGACUGGGUCGCGUGUUGACCUGCAAGGCCACCUAAUCAACAAGUUUGACCAAGUCAACUUCCCAAACAGUUCGAAAGCAAACCUAGCUUGGGCAAGUCCCAGGUCGACGGGUUGACUUGCCAGGCCAGGUUUGAUAACUAUGGCUUCAUAGUGUGAUGCUGCCCAGUAAAUUUCUUGCUUAGAAUGACAUCAAUAAAAGAAGAUAGUGUGGGGAAGAAGAUUUGUAGUUUUGAUGGAUGAUUCUUAUAGUGUAUGUGUGGUUGGCCUAGUUCAUGUGGUUGAACGCAAUCCUAACUGAAUUGUUCUUUUGAUGUAAUGACUGGCCUGAGUAAUCUUUUACUAGAUGGAAAUUGCUGAUGUUAUUCGUAUUCUCAUUUAUGUAAAGAAAUUGUUCUGUUUUUUUAAUGAGAUGGACUUCCAACAUUUGAUUUAAUAGUUUGGCUAAAUAUGGUAGUUGGAGAUCCCAGCUGUUGAUUUGCAUGAAUAAUAGUGCAUGUGCAUUUCAUUGGAUUGCACCAGUUCUGAUGUGGCUCUUCUGUUGCAGAAUUUCAUGGCUGAAGCUGGAGCACCAGCACAGCCUCAAACAGGUGGGCCUGCUGACCAGGGGUAUAAUCCUUAUUCUCACAGUUCAGUGUAUGCUUCUCCACCAUCCAAUCCAGAACACACAGGCCAUACAGGGGGUUAUAGCUCCAUGUAUGGUGCAAGCUUUGGGUACUAAGCAGCUCCUAGCCGGUUUGCUCAUGAUGAGACUUGUAAUGAUUGUGAACUUAGAUGAUAAAUUCAACAAAUAAUCUGUUAAGCCUGCUGUAGGUUGUACUUUGCAUCUAUAGAUUAUUGGUUAGACAAAAUUACAUGUUAGAUCCAUUGUCUGCAUAGGCUUGACCAUGGGGUUGCCCGUACAAUGUUUUAAUUUUUUGUGCAACCUUAGCCAUGCUCAACUCUUCCACGAUGGCUUCGUUUGUGGACGAAAAUUUGUCACCAUUAGGGUACUUUUGCUUCCAGUAAUUCAUCUUAAUGUUCUGCGUUUGUUCAUCCCUUGUGGAGUGUGUGUACUUUGUAGAGAGAUUUGUGUGAAUGGCGAGGCAUGACCAGCUUGUUAAUUUUCUACCUGCUUACUCAUCACAUCUGGUUCCUGAUCUCUGUUUGUAUGGCUGGCUAACUGGUUAGUUUUGAGCUUUGUUUGGUCGUGUGAAGGCUAAUGUGUCUACGAGAAGUUGAUUCAGUCUCUUUAGGUGUGCUGUACCUAUGUUGAUGGGUAUGCUCUCGCCUAGUGUUCAUUUUGUUUGUUUGUUCGAAGGGUCAUAAAAUGCAAUUUGCAUAGAAUCUGUGUUGCAAGAGUUUCCAGUCUGAACUGAUGGACCAAUCAAUCUAAAGAAAAUGGUUCUGGUCGUUCAAGGCAAGGCAUUUUGGAAUAGAAGUUUCAUCCAUCACGGUUUUUUCCAACAGUUAAAAUGCAAACGCCAACAUAUAUUUUACGACUAAUUGUUGAUAACAGAAGAAGGUUGUAGUUUGUCUUUGAAUGUUUGUCCCGAAUGAGUUUCUCAAAAAACCCCUCAUUCUCAAAAACACGUGCUACUUGAUGGCAGUAUUAGGACCCAAUUGCUUGUAUCAGAGAUCCAUUAGUGUUAAUCAAGAGGGAGUAUCGGGAUAACUUAACCGUCCAGGAUACCUUAUUCGGGGAGGAACAACAUUAAUCCUUUAGAAAGAGGGAGUAUCGGGGCUCAAUUGUUUGUAUCAGAGAUCGAUGGCGCCUUUGCUGUAGGCUUCACAACAGGUUACGUGCCAAAGUCUACCGACGGUUAUCUUGCUGACAGAAGCUGUCUUGCAGAAAGUUGCGAAGUCCUCACACUUGUUAGAUAUGAGGUUGUACGUGCCAAAACCAUCUUCCAGCUUUUCUUUUGCAGUCUCAACAACUUCACUAGCUGUUUUCGAUUUCUUAGUGGUGCUGGUAUCGCAGAGGACAUGAGAGCCGAGUUGAAGUUCCCGCAUGCUCAUCCCAUAACGAUAAACAUGGAGGAAUCCUCCAGAGAGGAAGCAAUCGAGGCAGGUUAAUUUCCACCACUCCAUGAUGCAUUUUUCUUGUAAAGCACAUUUUUCUUCCAGCCUUCAUGGGACCUUUGGCUUUUGGGCCUAUAAAGGGAAUGACUCUUUAAUUCUUUGGAUGCCAUAUAUAGCACAUCUUCUCCAAUUUAUGGAUUUUUUGAUGAAAAAUGGAGAUUUCAAUGACAAGUUUGGAAUAGAAUCCCAUUAUAAGACCCGCACUUGAAAACGAGAACCUACGAGGUUCGAAAAUAACUAUCAUGAGCUUUUUGCUCAUCUUGCUAGAACCUCAUACCUUUCGUAUGAUUAUUUCUCUUUGACUAUACGACUCAUUGGAAUAUUUAUCAAAUAGAUGUGAAAUUUGCUUUUUGAAUGGUCUGUUUGAGGAAGAGAUGUGUUUUGAACAACCUGAAAGCUUUACUGGAGGGACGGAAAGGGUCUACUGGUCAAAAAAGAUUUUGGAUGGUCUAAAACAAGCACUUAAGCAUGAUGUACUCGCAUUGUUUCGUAUUUUCUUGAGAGUAACUUUUAUCCUGUGGUUAUAUGUGGAUGAUUUUAGCUUUUUAUUGUCAACAACUUGAGCUGGUAACGAAGCCAAGUGAUUGCAACUUACUUUCCGAUAUUAAGUUUAUAGGAUGAUACAUUUUUUUCCUCGUAAAAAAAGUAUUCCAAGUGAUGUCUUGAAGAAAUUUGUCCAGGUGCAUGGAAGAGAGAUUAAUGCUUGUGAAAGAUGAGAGAGGUGAUGAUUUUGUUAAUUAAUUCAACUAAUUUUAAGAGAUUCGAGGGGAGCUUGGGCACUUGACUGCUAUAUCAUGUCCAAUGUUUGAGUAGAUCUAUGGAGAGUCUAUGCCAAUCUGAUUUACAACCCGGAGAAUGCAUCCCGAGAUAAGGCAAAGGAAUGCAAAACGUACGAUGUAAUUUUUUUUUUUGUUGUCAUUGAGAUAUAAUAUGGAGCUUUCUAAAUAUAAAGAUAUUGGAUUGCUGAUAUAGGAAGAAAAAAGAAAAGAAAAUACUUCGAUUUAUGUUUUACAUCAUACUUAUCGUGAAGAAUGCUUAAUAAAUUGUAACAAUAUCAUCAAGACUAGCCAUAAAUUUUUUGUUUUAUUCUUUAAACUUGCAAUUAUGAGCAUGACCAAACUCCAUGCAUGCUUUGUUUUGGGAUCGUUAGCUAGCAGUAUUACACGACAUAUAUAUUCGUUGGUUACAACUCGAUAGCAACCUUAUUCUUGAAAGAGAGAACAUAGACAGAGACAGAGACAGACAGACACUUGCAUAUUGAUAUGAUCCCAAGACCGAGCCCAGCACGAGAUAGACUUGAAGUUUUCUCUGCAUAUUAAUUAUGGUAGAUCGAUAUUGCUAUAUAUUGCAGAAACAUAUACAGACUGAGUGCAGGCAGGACUCAAUUACUCGGAAGCCGUGUGCACACAUUCUGGUCAGCUGCUUUGCACUAGCUGCUUCAGAAUGGGGUACCCAACUCUACCAAACAAUAAUUCAGAUUGGGUACAAAAGGCAGUUCCUGUCUUGCAUAAUGUUGCAAAAUCCUCACAGUUGUUAAAGAAAAAGCCAUAGCGUGUGCCACCUUGCUUUUUUGAUUCUAACAUCUCUUUUGCUUUGGCCACAACUUCAUCGGCCGGUUUAGAUUGCUUUGGACUGCAAUAGGUACGUAAACGGAUCUCACACUCCAACUUGGGUACUCCAUAGAGAAAAAGAUAGAGUUUUGUGCCUGUAAGGAAUCCUGAUGUAGCUCGAAAGCAUUCCACGCAGGUUUCCACCAGCACACCUCUUCCAUCCUUGAGCUGUUGAGCCUUAGGCGCAUAUAAACAUAAAAUAAAAACUAUAAAUACACGCAAGCUGACCGGUCACCCACAUUAAACUAAAAAAAAAUAAAUAUAAAUAUAAGUCUUAAAGUAAAAGGAACAGACCAUGACGAGUGUAAACGAAGCCUAGCUUCCUCCCGCAAUAGAUAUGAUCGCCAGCUUUUAGUUCACUAACCUCGAUCUCUCGGAAGAAUGGUGAUCUUACCAUAUCAGCAACAUCGUCUAGGAAACCAGCCAUCUCUUAAUUUCUCUCAAGCUUAAUGGUCAGGAUGUGGCCUUUUGUGCUCGAUAUCAGUAGCUUUUAUAGACCUCCCUCUCGACAGUACUGUUAUGACUCAACGUAUAUAGGUUCUAUUAAUUUCUAUUCGAAAUUUGUUCUCUAUCCAUUAAUUCUCUAACAUUUUCUCUAUUUAUCAACAAAAUACUUCUAUCCAUGUGAAAAAAUGAAAAUCGAAGAGGAUAAAAUAAAAGAUACAUGCAGCAUUGAUUCUAAUAAUUAAUGACCUGGUCAAUGGAGCACAAUCAUAUUUCUGUCCAUUCAUGUUUAGUUAGAACCACGUUAUACGAUAAAGAGUAGUCAUAAAAAUUAAAAAAAACUCUCUAACAUAUUCUCAAACUUUAAGGUUACGAAUCUAAAUUGUAGGAAAAUUCAGAGAAAAGUCUCUAUUAUUUUAUUAAAUGUUAAUAUUUUUAAAAUAAAUUAGAUAUUUUUAUUUAUAUUGAUUAUAGACUAAAAAACAUCCUUUAUAAAAAAUAAUUUCUAAUUAAAACUUACAUAACUAAUAUAAUUUAUCUAAUAUCGUCAUGACUCCUAACUAGUAAAAUACUAAUUAAAUUAAAAGUUUUAAUCUAAAUAAAAAAAUAAUCAAAAUACAACAAUAUAAAUAAAAACAAUCCUGCAUAAUAACUUCUGAGAUUUAUUUGAAGGCAUUACCGAUCUUAGAAUCAUGAAAUUUUAACCUAAUAAAAUUAGGCUCUUUACAAUCUUUUGUUAAAAUUUCUAUUCGAUCCAAUAAUUAGAUUAAAAAUUAUGCUUGAUUUAUCAAAUUGCAUCUUUGACUCUUCUUGGACUAUGUUUGUUUUGCAUUUCAAAAGUGCUUUUGAAAAAUAUUUAUUUUGUUUACUUCAAAUUAAUUUUUUUUGGCGUUUCCAGAUCGUUUUGAUGUACUUAUGUUAAAAAUGAUUUUUUUAAAAUAAAAAAAUAAUUUUGAUGUAUUUCUAAGCAAAAAAUAAUUUUAAAAGUAACCGUUACCACACUCCCAAACAUCCCUCUAAAUUCCUAAAAACCUAUAAAUCUUAACCAUUAAUAAAAUAAUAUAAUAAACAUUAUUAUACCAAAAAUAUUUAAUAAAUAUCCCCACGUGAGAUGUGUGGUCUUGGAACUAUAUUCUUUCCACACGACAGUGGCAUUUUCUUGGAUGCUAUUGCAAAAGUGCAUUUUUCAAUCAAAAUUGUAGAAGUUAAUUUGUUAUAAGAAUCUAAUACGUGAUCAUAUGAGGCUGUGCAUGAUACAUUACAUAAUAAUUUAAGAAAGAUUGCAAGUAGAUCUAACGACAGCAUUAAUAGUUGCAAAUAUAUAUAUAUAUAUAUAUAUAUAUAUACACACACACACACUACAAGUACACAGAGAGAACACUACACACACAAGUACACAGAGAUAGAGAGAUUAAAAAAGACAAUUAUACUUUUGGACUCGUUCUUGGAGCUUACAAGCAAGUUCCAUAUAUAUAGGAAAAACCUUCGUCAACAAGAAGGAAAAAUGGCAAAAAUUAGAUUGCUCUCUGCAAGCGUAAUUCAAGCCACUGCCAACAAGGUGACAAUUGAGAGGGCUGAGUUGACUCAAUCUGAUCUAAAGCUUCUUCCGCUAGGUGCUUCUCUUCCUCAAACCCAAAUCAUCAGAAGAUCAAGACUUGUUCAUCCAACAGUUGAAAAUUAACGUCACUUUCUCGGACACUAGAUUUCUUCACCCCUCUCGUGUUGGAAGUUAAAACCGGUCUGGUAUGGGAUCAACUCAGUAAUUAAUACAAGAUAAAAAAAACUCAAGAACAAAGCUAAACAAACAUGAAGAAGAAUGAGAGGAAGGUUGUCUAGCCACUGUAGAACAUGAUGAUAACACAGUCUCCAGUUUUAUUGACUGCAACAAUGCAGGAGCCCAGUUUGUGUUAGGACUAAGUCAGUCAAUAAUAUCCUAGCUAAUAGGAUCAAAGGAUUAGAUUUGAUUUAUUCUUUGUUUGUUAACCACGUUUGUAGGAGAGUCAAACGUGGGUUGCUUAUUUUUCUGAUUUCUGUUGUAAUGGUUUGAUUAUAUAAACCAGCUUUCAUUCAAUAAAGUAGAAUGAUCUUUCUCUUCAUUGUGAACUGCUAACCAAUUACUUAGAAACAACAAUUGGUAUCAGGAGUGUGAGAAAUCAGUGAGUGGAGUGGUAAAAAAAAAGGUGUGUGCCAUCUGAAACACAGAGAGGAGUGAAAUCAAAGCAAUCAGUGAGUGGAGUGGUAAAAAAAAAGGUGUGUGCCAUCUGAAACACAGAGAGGAGUGAAAUCAAAGCCAAAGUCAUGGCAGAGGGAAACUUUGUUCAACCAGCGAUCCCCAGAUUUGAUGGUCACUAUGACCAUUGGGCUAUGUUAAUGGAAAAUCUGCUAUGUUCCAAAGAUUACUGGAGUUUAAUAGAGAGUGGAAUUCCUGCAAGCACAACUGAAGCAGAACACACGGAGGUCCAACAGAAACACAUGGAGGAGAUGAGAUUGAAAGAUUUAAAAGUGAAAAUUAUCUUUUUCAAUCCAUUGAUCGCACUAUCAUGGAAACAAUCCUGGAUAGAGACUCUGCAAAAGGAAUAUGGGAUUCAAUGCGUCAGAAAUAUCAAGGGUCCACUAAGGUGAAAAGAGCACAACUACAAGCGCUGCGGAGAGAAUUUGAACUACUUGGAAUGAAGGAUGGUGAGAGUGUUGAUGAGUACUUUGGGAGAACUCUUACCAUUGCCAACAAAAUGAAAACACAUGGUGAAAGAAUGGAGCAAAUUGUUAUUAUUGAGAAAAUUUUGAGAUCUAUGACGACAAAAUUUGACUAUGUCGUAUGCUCCAUCGAAGAAUCAAAUAACCUUGCUGAAAUGACUAUUGAUGAACUUCAAAGUAGUUUGCUCGUACAUAAGCAAAGGAUGAAGGGGCACAAAGAGGAAGAGCAAGUUCUUAAGGUCAUGUCUGAAGCAAGAGAAGAUGUUCGAUUUGGAGGAAGGGGUAGAAACCGUGGAGGAUUCAGAGGAAAUUUCAGAGGCAGAGGCAGGAGCUGGGGAAGACAAUCUUUCAAUAAAGCUAUUAUUGAAUGCUUUCGAUGUCAUAAACUAGGACAUUUCUCUUAUGAAUGUCCUGGUUAUGAAAAAACAGCAAAUUAUGCAAAAUUGGAUUGCGAAGAAGAAAUGUUGUUGAUGUCACAUGUGGAACUUCAUAACUCAACUAGAGAAGAGGUAUGGUUUUUGGACUCCGGUUGCAGCAAUCAUAUGAGUGGGAAUAAACUGUGGUUUACAGAAUUAGAUGAAAAAUUUAGACAUUCAGUCAAGCUUGGCAACAAUUCGAGAAUGGCAGUAAUGGGCAAGGGAUGUGUAAAAUUGAAAGUAGCUGGUGCAAUAUAAAAGAUUGAUAAAGUUUAUUACAUUCCGGAGCUGAGAAAUAAUUUACUCAGCAUAGGGCAACUACAUGAGAAAUGAUUAGCAAUACUGAUUAAAAAUAAUACAUGCAAGCUAUUUCAUCCAACUAGAGGCCUCAUCAUGGAGAUAGCCAUGACAGUCAACAGAAUGUUCAUAAUGCUUGCAACAAUACCUCCAAAAGAAUCAGUGGCUUUCUUUCAAACCAGUGAAGAAAGUGAAGCACAAUUAUGACAUAACAGAUUUGCUCAUCUCAUCUUCAAAGGUUUGAGGAUGCUGUAUUACAACAAGAUGGUUAACGGGCUGCCACUACUUAAAGCUCCUACCAAAGUAUGUGCAGAUUGCUUAAUCGACAAACAACACAGAGACAACAUUUCAAAGAAAAGUCACUGGAGAGCAACACACAAAUUACAACUCAUACACUCAGACAUCUGUGGACCUGUGAAUCCAGAAUCCAAAAGUGGCAAGAGGUAUCUAAUCACUUUCAUUGAUGACUUUAGUAGAAAGUGUUGGGUUUAUUUCAUUUCAGAAAAAUCAGAUGCUCUUAAUAUGUUAAAAAAAUUCAAGACUCUAGUUGAAAAAGAAGCUGGUUCCUUGGUGGAAUGUUUACGCACAGAUAGAGGUGGUGAAUUUACUUCGAAAGAGUUUAAUGAAUACUGCAGUAUGAAUGGGAUCAAGAGACAAUUAACGACUGCAUAUACUCCUCAGCAAAACGGUGUUGCUGAGAGGAGGAAUUGGACAAUAAUGAAUCUAGUUAGAAGCAUAUUGUCUGAAAAACACAUUCCCAGAGAAUUCUGGCCAGAAGCCGUAAAUUGGUGUAUACAUACACUAAAUAGGAGUCCUACUACAGUAGUAAAAGAAGUCACACCUGAAGAAGCAUGGAGUGGAGUCAAACCCUCAGUGGGGUAUUUUCGAGUGUUUGGUUGCAUUGACCAUGUACAUGUACCACAUGAGAAAAGAACAAAGCUGGAUUCAAGGAGCACAAAAUGUGUACUGUUGGGAGUCAGUGAAGAAACAAAAGGUUACAGAAUGUUUAAUCCUCUCACAAAGAAGUUGAUAAUUAGUCGUGAUGUCAUCUUUGAAGAAAAUGCAACUUGGAACUGGGCAGAAGACAACACUAGUAUACUGCUACGCUGGGGAGAUAAUGAUGACAGUAUACAUGAAGAAGAAUUAGAAGAAGAUGAGGAGCAGACACAAGAACAGAUUAGGGAAAUUGGAGAUGAAGCAGGUACUGGAGAUGCUGAAAUUGGAGAUGAAGCAGGUACUGGAGAUGCUGUUGAAGAACCUGAAGCAGAAGAACAAAAUGAGCAUAUUCAAGCUGCAGGUGUCAGAAAUCGAAGAGCACCACACUGGAUGGAGGAUUAUGUUAUGGGAGCAGGUUUGUCUGAAGAUUAUGUCAUGGGAGCAAGCUUAUCUGAAGAAGAGGAAACACAAAAUAUGGUGUUAUACACUACUACUAGAGAUCCACACACCUAUGAAGAAGCUAAAAAAAAUCACCAAUGGAGAGAAGCCAUGGACAAUGAAAUUGUUGCGAUAGAAAGGAAUGACUCAUGGGAACUAACUGUGCUGCCGAAUAAUUCAAGGAAGAUUGGGGGUGAAAUGGAUAUACAAGACAAAGCUUAAUGAAAAAGGUGAAGUUGACAAAUACAAGGCCAGACUUGUAGCAAAGGGAUAUGCACAACAACAUGGAAUUGACUACACUGAGGUAUUCGCACCAGUAGCAAGAUGGGACACAAUUCAGAUGGUUCUAGCAAUAGCAGCACAAAGAAAAUGGAAGGUGUAUUAACUGGAUGUAAAGAGUGCAUUUCUUCAUGGGAAAUUAGACGAAGAUGUAUACGUAGAGCAACCUCUCGGCUAUGAAAAAAAAAGAGAAGAACACAAAGUCCUCAAGUUGAAGAAAGCAUUAUAUGGUUUGAAGCAGGCACCAAGGGCUUGGUUUAGCAGGAUUGAAACAUAUUUCGUGAAGGAAGGUUUUGCUCGAUGUCCAAGUGAGCAUACUCUGUUUGUUAAAAUUCAAGAAGACAAGAAAAUUCUGAUAGUAUGCAUAUACGUAGAUGAUUUGGUGUUCACUGGAAGUGAUGAGGGGAUGUUUGCUGUUUUCAAAGCUUCGAUGAAACGAGAGUUUGAUAUGACUGAUUUAGGAAAAAUGAAGUUCUUCCUUGGAGUAGAAGUUGUGCAGAAUGAUGAAGGAAUUUAUCUAAGCCAAAGAAAAUAUGCACUUGAAGUACUAGAGAGGUUUGGCUUAGAAAAGGCAAAUUCAGUUCGCAAUCCAAUGAUACCAGGUAUGAAGCUGAUGAGAAAUGAAGAUGGCGAGCAAGUGGAUGUGACUCAAUACAAACAAAUGGUUGGAAGUCUCAUGUAUUUAUCAGUAAUCAGGCCAGAUCUCAUGUUUGGGAUUGGUCUGAUUAGUAGAUACAUGGAGAGACCUACAACUCUACAUAUACAGGCUAUUAAGAGAAUUUUGAGAUAUGUGAAGGGAUCUGUGAACUUGGGCAUCCAUUAUAGAAGAGAAGCUGCAAGUGAUGAAAGAUUAAUGGCCUACUCUGAUAGUGACUAUGCCGGGGAUCAAGAUGAUCGUAGGAGUACUUUGGGAUAUGUUUUUAUGCUAAGUGAAGGAGCAGUUGCUUGGAGCUCCAAGAAACAACCGGUAGUCUCUUUAUCAACAAUUGAGGCAGAAUUUAUAUCUGCAGCUCAUUGUGCGUGUCAAGCAGUAUGGAUGAGAAGAGUACUUGAAAGGAUAGAUUGCAAGUAAGGGACAUAUACUAUCAUACACUGUGAUAAUAUGUCUUCAAUUAAAUUAGCAAAGAAUCUAAUUAUGCAUGGCAGAAGCAAACAUAUAGAUGUUAGAUUUCAUUUUCUACAUGAGCUGUGCAAGGAAGGAGUAAUUGAGCUGAAGCACUGCAAUACGCAAGAUCAAAUUGCUGAUAUUAUGACAAAAGCUUUGAAGAUGGAUGCAUUUGAGAAACUAAGAAGCUUACUGGGUGUUUGUGAGGUACCAAACGAAUAAACUGCUUACUGACAGCAAUGCAGUUUAAGGGAGGGAUUGUUAGGACUAAGUCAGUCAAUAAUAUCCUAGCUAAUAGGAUCAAAGGAUUAGAUUUGAUUUAUUCUUUGUUUGUUAACCACGUUUGUAGGAGAGUCAAACGUGGGUUGCUUAUUUUUCUGAUUUCUGUUGUAAUGGUUUGAUUAUAUAAACCAGCUUCCAUUCAAUAAAGUAGAAUGAUCUUUCUCUUCAUUGUGAACUGCUAACCAAUUACUUAGAAACAACAGUUUGUUCAUGCCAUGGCCGAUGGGGUAACCAUGGCUGACAUCCUCCAGCCAGUUUAUGUUCCUCCAAUUGUCCACUCUUUCUUUCCAUUGAAUGGGGUCUUAAACUACGGGGCUACUGAUGUCUCCAAGCCAUUGCAUGCCUGCAGUUCAAGUCACUGAACUUGUUGGUGGCAUCUUUAAUGGCUGUUUAUACCAUGAACCAUAUAGUUGUUGAUGGCACAUCGUUUUGAAAUUUCUUCAACUCUUGGUCUGAAAUCCAUCGUGGGUUGGAUCACAUCUCCAAGCCUCCUGUUCUUGAAACGUUGGUCACUUCCCAAUCGUAGCUGCAGCUGCCUGAUCCAAAAGCAAUAAGCCGUUGCCUGCAUGCUUGAACCUUUUUUUCUCCAAAAAAAUGGGUGUUUAAUGGGUAGUUUUUCCAGGCGUAAGACACGUCAUCCACUAGUAUAUUUCCCAGUAUUUUCAGUCCUAUAAAUGCAAGGUUUGAUUUACUAUAUCCCCAAAGCUUGAUUUUUAAGUAAUUUUUACCUGAAAACAUUCAAGAAAUUUAAUAAAUCUUUUUUCAACCCAAAAUUACUCUCUAAUCACUUUAAAAACUGAAAAUCAAACCAAAUAAAAAAAACAUUACAAGCCUUAAUCUAUUAUAUAUAUAUAUAUAUAUAUAGAAAGAGUGCAAUCUACAUUUAAGAGGGAAAGUUCUUGCUCUUUUAUUUAUAUUGAUUAUUCACAUUUAGCGAAGAUUUGUUUUUAAAAAAUUCAUGUUUGCAUGACUCUCUAAAAUUCCCUACACAAGUUCGAUUUUUCUUUUCUUUCAAUUAGAUUUUUUUUUCUAUUUUCACUUUAAUCAUAUAUAUAGAGUCAGGUUGAGCAUCAUAUAUAUUGCACAAUAUUACUCUUCUUAAUGAAAAUAGGACGAGACUUGGCUAUUAUUUUCUCUAUUAACAAGCUUUAAUAACGUAAUUAUAAUGUAUGUUAAUGAUUGAAUUAUAUUUAAUCGAAUUGUCUAAAUGCAAUGAAUGUAACAUUAAAUUGACUAAAUUCUUUUCAUAAGGGUUUAUUUACUUAUUUAACCAUAAUUUUAAAACAUAAUCCAACAAUUAAUUUGGAUAAGUCUAAGGUCACGAGUCAAUUUAUUUUUUAUUUUAUAAAAAAUAAAAAAAAUAUUAUUUAAAAAUAAAAAAAACAAUAAGUUUUGAUCGAGUUUUUCUUGGGUUGACCAAGUUGCUAAUCAAGCCAGGUUUUUUAUAAGUUAUACUAAGUUAAAUCUCCUUCUAUUUAUAUUAAAACCGACCUAAUCUAGAUCUCAAGUCAUAAUUCAACCUUUUAUGGUGUGUUUAGGUGAGAGGUGUUGUGAUUUUUUUUCAAAAAUACAAUUAUUUUAAAGCACAAAUUACACCUCUAAAAACUAAAAUACAUGUUUUUAUGUGAGUCCAAAAAAAAAACUAAAGUUAUUUUCAAAUUAAACACUUUCUUAGUCUGUUUAGAUUUUAAAUUAAUGGAUUUAACACAAAAUGAGAGAGCUAAGUGGUUAUGUUUAGAUGUUUGAGAGUGAAUUUCAAUUAUUUUUUUAUUAAAAUUUGAAAUUUUUAAAAUUAUUUUUGUAGUAUUUUUUGAUUAUUUUAAUGUGUUGAUGUUAUAAAUAAAUUUUAAAAUAUAUAAAAAAUAUUUUUUUUAUUUAAAAAAAAACGUUAAAAAAUAAUCAGUUAAAUACUUUUUUAAUUUUAUGAAAUAACCCCCCUCUCUCUCUGUAUUUUCAUUAAAACCCCCCUUUAAGCUUACCAAAACCUUAGAGCUAAAAACAAGAAAGGAAAAAAGUAAAAAAAAAUGGCUCCAGCCAAGAAAGGAAAAGCGAAGGCAAACGCGGCCGUGUCAACUCAGUCAAAACCCACAGCCCCAAGUCCCCAAAACAAUUUCCCAUCUUGCAUACGUGCAGUCCCUCCUUCCUCCGUCGCCAUCACAAUCCACGCCAAACCCGGUUCCAAAUCCGCCUCCAUCACUGGUGGGUCUAUGCACACAUGCAAAAGGACUGUUUUGAUUCUUGUUUAGGUUAAAAAAUUAAACCUUUAAUGUUUUUUUUUCUUCCUGAUAUUGUAUGUAGAUUUGAGUGAUGAAGCGGUGGGAGUGCAAAUAGAUGCACCUGCUAAAGAUGGUGAAGCUAAUGCUGCUCUUCUUGAUUACAUUAGCUCUGUAAGUUUUUUUUUUUUUUUUUUAAUUUCCCUUACGUUAUAAGUUGGUUAUUCGUUUUUAAUGUUUUGUGAUAGAGGAUUAUUGGCUUAAUUUUCGAGAAUUUUACAGGCAUGUGUGAUGUUAAUCAAUGCCUGUCAAAUUUUUUGAUGUUUCGGUACUACGCAUAUGGAGAGAAAUAUUUUGAGUUGGUACAGUUUUGUCUGAAUUUUCUAGAGGAAAGGAGACUUGUAGUAUGAGGGCGGGGGACGAAAGUGGCCCUUUUUUUUCGUGGAGAGAAAUGGUAGAACGGAGUCUUACGGUUCAUCAAAUUUUACAGGCAUGUGUGAUGUUAAUCAAUGCCUGUCAAUUUUUUUGAUGUUUUGGUACUACGCAUAUGGAGAGAAAUAUUUUGAGUUGGUACAGUUUUGGCUGAAUUUUCUAGAGGAAAGGAGACUUGUAGUAUGAGGGCGGGGGAUGAAAGUGGCCUUUUUUAUUUUUAUUUUUCUGGAGAGAAACAGUAGAACGGACUCUUACGGCUCAUCAAAUUUUACAGGCAUGUGUGAUGUUAAUCAAUGCCUGUCAAUUUUUUUGAUGUUUUGGUACUACGCAUAUGGAGAGAUAUAUUUUGAGUUGGUACAGAUUUGGCUGAAUUUUCUAGAGGAAAGGAGAAUUGUAGUAUGAGGGCGGGGGAUGAAAGUGGCCUUUUUUAUAUAUUUUUGGAGAGAAACGGUAGAACAGAUUCUUACGGUUCAUGAAUUAAUUAGAGAGGGUUUUAUUUUUGUCUUUGGGCUUGCAUGCAAAAGGAAUGGUGAAUCUAUAGUCCUUAUAUUUAGCCUAUCAGUAUUUUGAUGAUGGAUUUGCUGGAUUCUAGACAUGCACAAUGAGUUGGAAAACAGCAUCAAUGUGCUUAAUGUAUUGAGUAUUUGGAAGCAGUCAAAUAUUGAUGCUUUUUUUGGGAUCAUGGCACGUGUCCUUGAGAUUAUUUUGAAAGAGGGUUAUGCUGGCACUUUGUUAACUUCUUUUGGGAGUUUUUAUUAUGAUAGUGUAUCUGGCAUUUUCCUAUUUCAUCAAGUUGGUGUAAAUAUUUGAUGCAAGUUGAGGAUUGAGUUAAUUUUGAAUGCAAAUGGUAAUAAUAAUUUUUUUACUGACCUUUUGAAACCAUGAAUUGCUAGGAAGAGUUUGAAACUGAAAGAGGAUGAAAGACUAAAUGCAUUAAGAGAGAGGAUGUGAUUUCAUGAGUGAUAUAAUCAACUGGGAUCCCUGGCUUAGCCCAAUAGUAGAUGAAAAGCUUCUCUCUUCCAUAGCGAUAAGUGUGAUUUAGAGCAUUUAAUCUUCUGAAAAAAUAAUAAUGAGGUUCAAUCACAACUGUAAACAUGGUUGAAUAACUGAAGAGUUAUUUAUGAAAAUUAACAAUUUCUUGUCAUGAUAUCUUGCAUUUAUGUAGAGAACCUCUGUUUUAGUACAACAAAGGUUCACAAGUUUUGUUCUCUCAACCAACAGGUGUUGGGGGUGAAGCGGAGGCAGGUAUCCAUAGGCUCUGGUUCUAAAUCGAGAGACAAGGUGGUGAUUGUGGAGGAGGUAACUCUACAAAAUGUUUUUGAUGCUUUGGAGAAAGCGUCCAAAUGCUGCUGAUUAAAAAAAAAGAAGAGAGGUUCAGUGUGCUUUCGUUACAUGAUCUUAUACUGAACACAAGGUAUUUGGAUAGGACAACAUUCCUAGUCCACGCUGAUGUUUAAAAUACUUUGGUCUGUAGUUUUGUUUCUUCCAUCUCACACUGAAACAAUAAUCUUUUUAUUUAAAACUGUAAGUACAGAAGCUGUAGUGUUACUUAUGAAUAUAAUGACUGAUGUUCCAUGAAUAUUCAAGUUAGAUGCUAAUUUAUUCAUCUUCACCAUGGUUCUUCUAGUUCUCAUUUUUCUUUAUGAUUUCUUCCCCCUUUUUUCUUAUGGAAUUUCACUAAGAGAUCAUUAUAGCUAUACUUUUGCACGACAGGCUUGCUAAUACCUAGCGACAUGCUGUGAAAACUAUCUUAUUUUGUCCUCCAGCUUUUGAUUAUUCUGGCUGUUUAUGCCAUUAAUAAUGCUAGAUUGAAGGUUAUGGUCCGCUGUUGUUAUUACCUGAUUUUUGUGUAAUUCGCCUGUAAAUGAAAUUACUCUCUAGUGAUAAAAGGAAUGAAGUGCAGAUAUUGUGUCCUGAACAAAAGGCUAGUAUUUGUUUAUUGCAGGAGAAAGAGAAGUCUCGGCUCAUACUUGGCCAGGAAAACAUUUAUCUUAUUCACUACUGUAUAAGCAUUUUGUCAUGCACCAACUGAUCUGUUGGUUGUUCUAUUCCUCUGGAUUAUGGGAGGGAGAGGGGGAGGCUAUGUUCCUAUGUGUAGGAAGAUCUGAUGGAGAUAGUGAAACAAAGGAAGAAAUUUUUCUUUUUAACAAAAACAUAUUUAGUGGAGUAAUCUUAUUGAUUAAGAAUCAUCUAUCAGAAGUGGAGUAUCCUCAAUACAAGUUGUUGCAACUCUGAAGAAUAUAUUGCUAGUAUUUGUUGAGACUUGAGAAUAACAUUACCCAUCUAGAAACCUGGCCAGAAUAUAGGUUUCAGUUUUCCAGCCAUAAUCCCGACACAUGAGAUAAGGUGGGAAACAACUUUACAGGCAUUAACAUUAGAAGAAAAAUCAACAGGAAGCUCCCAAAUGCUGCGUAAACAUAAAGGAACUCAAUACUAAAUAGCAAUUUUAUAAAGAAAAGGAAUACAUGACCUGAAAAAUAAAAUACAAUACUGUGCAGAUGAAUCUCUUAUUCUGAACCACAAAACGCAGCUUUAUAUAGCAGUAAAAAAAGAAGUAGGACUUGGAGGGAUUGGGAUUUCGACUGUCCCCUCCAACAUCAGGAGGACCUUUUUCAUUGAAGGGCGGAGGGAUGGCUCAUCAAGAGUGCACCAAAUUCCCACUUUAACCAUCCUAUCCAACUGUUUCUUUUCGGCGACUUCUUCACCCACGAGUUUGUCCAUAUCACCGUCCUGAAAACAUUGGUAAACCCAUUGUUCGAGAACAGCUUCAUCCUCUGGAAGACUCCAAUCCACAUUCUUUCGACAACAUGUGAUCUCCAACAACAUAACUCCAAAGCUAUAAACAUCUGCUUUAACUGUCACCGGCAUAUUCCUGUGCCAUUCUGGUGCUACAUAUCCCCUCGUCCCUCUAAUUCCGGUGAAGGUUUUAGUUUGGUCUGACUUCAGCAACUUUGCCAAUCCAAAGUCAGAAACUUUGGGGCACCUGCUUUCAUCUAUUAGUAUAUUCUGAGGUUUUAUAUCACAGUGGAUGAUCUGAGUCUCGCACUCUUCAUGUAGAUAAACAAUACCCCUUGCAAUGUUGCGAGCAAUUUCCAACCUUUCAGGGAAGCAAGGUCGUUUUUCAAGUGAGAAGAGUAUGUCAGCAAGGGAGCCAUUGCUCAUGUACUCGUAUACCAGGAGCCUGUGAUGUCCAUCAUGGCAAUAGCCGAGCAGACGGACUAGGUUUCUGUGAUGUGUUUUCCCAAUGACUUUCAUCUCAUUCUGAAAUUCUCUUUCCCCUUCAGCUAGAACUUUCUCCAGUCUCUUGACAGCAACAACCUUCUGAUUACUUGAUAUUAUCCCUUUAUAUACUGUCCCAAAUGAUCCCCUGCCAAUUUCUUCCUUGAAACCACCAGUAACAUUUUCUAGCUCUGCAUAAGUGAAAGCUCGAGGAGCAAAUUCCUCAUUCAAUCCUGUACUAUCAUUACUGGGCACCUUUUUAUAUGCCAAUACAUGAUAUCUGUAAAUGAUGAUUCCGCAAAUCGCCACCAUAGCUAGCCCAAAAGCAACAAAUGAACAACUUAUUAUUAGGAUUUUCCUGCCCGUGCCAAGGUUCUUCUCGGUUAUAGGCUCUUUUCUGUCCAUGGUGGAUAUGGGUCUGCCCACCUUGACGACAGCCAAGUUCGAACUUUCUAAGUUUCUCCUCCCAAAUCUCAAAGGAAGCCUUUGCUUUCUGCAGUACUGCCCAUCAGUGAAUAAUGCUGCUUCACAGUUACAGUCUUCCAAACAGGCUUGCUUACAAUUGUCUUUAGUUGUUGAUGACAAAACGGAGUAUGAAGCAUCUUCCCACUCAGUAUUAGACAGCUCUUCCAUGGUGUAUGUGCUACUUCCAUUCUUGUCUUUGCAACUUUCAGCAUUGAAAUCCCUCUCACAGCUAGAAGUCCAAUUUCCCUGGGUAACAAACUCAAAUCCAGGAAGACAAAUACAUUCAGCUUCCUGAUCCUUCAUAACACAAUAUCCAUUAAGACCGCAUGAUCCCUUGGGUUGACACUUAUUGCUUGUGGAAGACCACACAGCUGACCAGUUUCCAUUCCGUGUCAGAUUUUGUGAAUAUAAUCUUAAAAUCCCAUCAGCAUCAAGUUUCAUCAUAUUAAUUGUUUCUUUCGUGGGAUAUCCUCCAUCUGUAAUGUUGAAUAUGUUGAAACCUGUGGAAUUGAGCAGGUAGAGAUGGCCAUCCGGAUCAAGAUUUAGGGUCACAUUAUUUCCCUCCCUAUAAGUAGGAGUUGCAAAAUAAGCAUAUGGAGCUGUAUCUGGAGUAUUGACAGGAUACUGCACAAGGUUGCCAUCAUUUUGCAUCUUGAGUCGGUAAAUACCAGUUGAGAGUUCAGUUUGUGAAACAGGAGAAAACAGCUCUGCCCCUGCUUUGAGCUGUUGAGUUGGCAAAAGGGUAUCUGUUGGGUGGUCAAAACUCUGCCAUAUAAUCUCGCGAUCAGAAUUAUAUAGCACAAAGUUGCCUGAAUCAGACAUAGAAGCUAAAGAAGCUGGCUGGGAAGCAGAAACUAUCAAAGUCUCACCCCCUUGUGCUGAUGUCAGGACAAGCCUGCCAUCACUGGUGAAGAGCAAGGUCGAAUUACUGGGGACUGGGUCAUCAUCCCUUCUAGCAGCCCACACAACAGUCUUUAGUGAAAUCCCGGAUAGAAAAACCCCUAUAGAAUAGCCGUUGCGUUGUCGGAAAAAUCCAAAAGCAUAAAGACCGGAAGGCGACAACCAUGAGGAGUUUGUGAUAGGUGUUAGAGAAGAUCCUAGGGUUAUAUUGGUCUGUAUUUGAGCUGAAGCUGUAAAAGAUAAGGCGAGAAGAAGAAAAAAGAUGAUAGAAGCCAUGGAUAGGGAUUUAGCUCUUGUGUGGUAUAGGAGUGUCAAUAUAAAGAUGUCCAUUGUUCCAGCACUCCAGUCUCUUUCUUUGGUUUCCAGCAGUCAAGCCAGGCACUCAAAACAUAAAAGUCUAGCCAUAAAAUCCACCGCGUUCCCGUACCAAUUGGUGGAAAUCCUUGCUGUUACUUUUCUGCUUUCAAAGUCAAUGCAGUCAAGUCACUGAAAAAACUCGGGAAUUACUUGGCGCUGGUCCACUUUUUCCAUCAUACUAUCCCCCAUUUGAACAGCCAUUUGCUAAUUUCAGCAGGAUUAUUCUUAGUACUAGUUUUCCGCGGCAGAUUCUUUGUCAUUUGCCAUGUACCAUUCAAUACGCUUUGAAGACACAAUCUUUAGCUUCCUGCAGACAGGUUCAACUAGUUAAGAAAUAUCGAUUGUGGUGCCAAUGCUAAUACCCUGGCAUAAUACUAGGGCAAGACAGAACAGCUUGCUUGCUUAUACUAAUGUCCCUCAUAUGCUAAAGCCUAGCUAGCAACCUCAGUUUCUAACGAAAGAGCAUCUCUACAUGUUGCGUAACUAACAUACUCGUCGUGUUAUGGAUGUUUGAAGAUGGAUUUACUCUCAAUAUGUAAAUCCUAGCUAGGUAAAUAAAUAAUCCCUUGAUCAUUAAAACUGAAAAGUGGAACUCAUUGGACCGUUGAUUUUAUGAUCAAUUCCACUGUACGACUUUAUUCAGAGUACAAUUGAGGUGGUCACGGCAAGGACUGAGUCAAGGGACAACCUAGCAUUUGCUGACCUGCUCUUCUCAGCAAAAGCUUCUUCUCUCACCAGCUUCAUGCCAUGGUUGCUGAUUGGAGGGGGUUUAUAAUUUAUUUUUUACAAAUGUGCUAUGAAAAAGAAAAAAAAUGCUAUAAUAUUAAAAAAAACGAAUUUCCUCAUAGCUAUGAUAUUUAUAAUAUUAAUGAUGUUACACUUGUGAUGAAGAUGAUGGUGAUGUAAUGGUAAUGAUGAUUAAAGUGAUUGAAAAAUAUUAUUAGUAAUAUUUCACCAUGAGUUAAUAGUUUUAUGAUGGAAAAAAGUAUUUUUUUCUAUUUCGGAUAAUUAGAAAGAAAAAUAUUUUUCUAUUGAUAAUUUAUUAGUAUAUAUAUUUCAAAUGUUUAAGAUAUAUUUCAAAUAAAUGUACCUUAACUAUGAUAAAUGAUAUAUUCUCCGUUUGUUUGCAAUUUGAUUGUAAAGGAUUCCUUUUAACAUAAUUCUGCUUGAUAUACUCCAUGUAAUUACAAACUAAUUAGCUCAUUCUGGUCUUCUCACUUCUGGCAAUUAGCCAGUUUGAUGGCGACUUGCAACAAUGUACUGUCACCAACCGUUGUGUUGGACUUCGAUUCACCAAUAAUGCCCUGCAACUGAGCUUGAGCGAAGGAAUGGACAUUUGCAUUUUAGGCAAGGAAUUGCCUUGUAGAAUAGAAGAAGAAGAAGAAGGGGAAAAAACAAGCAAAGAUCCUUGUCUCAUUAAUUCUACUCUUCGUAAAGAGCACGUUGUUUAUACUUAAGAACACAUGAAGCUUUCAUGCUAACAUUUUCUUUUCUCCUCUUUAUAUAAUUAUAUACUUUUUUUUUUUUUUUUAAUAUCUAAGAUACUGUGGGAAACAACUUUACAGGCAUUAACACUAGAAGAAAAAUCAACAGGAAGCUCCUAAAUGCUGCGUAAACAUAUAGCAAUUUUAUAAAGAAAAGGAAUACAUGACCUGAAAAAUAAAAUACAGUACUGUGCAGAUGAAUCUCUUAUUCUGAACCACAAAACGCAGCUUUAUAUAGCAGUAAUAAAAGAAGUAGGACUUGGAGGGAUUGGGAUUUCGACUGUCCCCUCCAACAUCAGGAGGACCUUUUUCAUUGAAGGGCGGAGGGAUGGCUCAUCAAGAGUGCACCAAAUUCCCACUUUAACCAUCCUAUCUAACUGUUUCUUUUCGGCGACUUCUUCACCCACGAGUUUGUCCAUAUCACCGUCCUGAAAACAUUGGUAAACCCAUUGUUCGAGAACAGCUUCAUCCUCUGGAAGACUCCAAUCCACAUUCUUUCGACAACAUGUUAUCUCCAACAACAUAACUCCAAAGCUAUAAACAUCUGCUUUAACUGUCACCGGCAUAUUCCGGUGCCAUUCUGGUGCUACAUAUCCCCUCGUCCCUCUAAUUCCUGUGAAGGUUUUAGUUUGGUCUGACUUCAGCAACUUUGCCAAUCCAAAGUCAGAAACUUUGGGGCACCUGCUUUCAUCUAUUAGUAUAUUCUGAGGUUUUAUAUCACAGUGGAUGAUCUGAGUCUCGCACUCUUCAUGUAGAUAAACAAUACCCCUUGCAAUGUUGCGAGCAAUUUCCAACCUUUCAGGGAAGCAAGGUCGUUUUUCAAGUGAGAAGAGUAUGUCAGCGAGGGAGCCAUUGCUCAUGUACUCGUAUACCAGGAGCCUGUGAUGUCCAUCAUGGCAAUAGCCGAGGAGACGGACUAGGUUUCUGUGAUGUGUUUUCCCAAUGACUUUCAUCUCAUUCUGAAAUUCUCUUUCCCCUUCAGCUAGAACUUUCUCCAGUCUCUUGACAGCAACAACCUUCUGAUUACUUGAUAUUAUCCCUUUAUAUACUGUCCCAAAUGAUCCCCUGCCAAUUUCUUCCUUGAAACCACCAGUAACAUUUUCUAGCUCUGCAUAAGUGAAAGCUCGAGGAGCAAAUUCCUCAUUCAAUCCUGUACUAUCAUUACUGGGCACCUUUUUAUAUGCCAAUACAUGAUAUCUGUAAAUGAUGAUUCCGCAAAUCGGGACCAUAGCAAGCCCAAAAGCAACAAAUGAACAACUUAUUAUUAGGAUUGUCCUGCCCGUGCCAAGGUUCUUCUUCUCGGUUAUAGGCUCUUUUGAGUCUUUUCUGUCCAUGAUGGAUAUGGGUCUGCCCACCUUGACGACAGCCAAGUUCGUACUUCCCAAUUUUCUCCUCCCAAAUCUCAAAGGAAGCCUUUGCUUUCUGCAGUACUGUCCAUCAGUGAAUAAUGCUGCUUCACAGUUACAGUCUUCCAAACAGGCUUGCUUACAAUUGUCUUUAGUUGUUGAUGACAAAACGGAGUAUGAAGCAUCUUCCCACUCAGUAUUAGACAGCUCUUCCAUGGUGUAUGUGCUACUUCCAUUCUUGUCUUUGCAACUUUCAGCAUCGAAAUCCCUCUCACAGCCAGAAGUCCAAUUUCCCUGGCUAACAAACUCAAAUCCAGGAAGACAAGUACAUUCAGCUUCCUUAUCCUUCAUAACACAAUAUCCAUUAAGACCGCAUGAUCCUUUGGGGUCACACUUGUUGCUUGUGGACGACCACACAUCUGACCUGUUUCCAUUCCGUGUCAGAUUUUGUGAAUAUAAUCUGAAAAUCCCAUCAGCAUCAAGUUUCAUCAUAUUAAUUGUUUCUUUCGUGGGAUAUUCUCUAGCUGUAAUGUUUUUGAUGUUGAAACCUGUGGAAUUGAGCAGGUAGAGAUGGCCAUCCGGAUCAAGAUUUAGGGUCACAUUAUCUCCCUUCCCAUCAGUAAAAGAUGAAAAAUAAGAAUAUGGAGCUGUAUCUGGAGUAUUAACAGGAUACUGCACAAGGUUGCCAUCAUUUUGCAUCUUGAGUCGGUAAAUACCAGUUGAGAGGUCAGUUUCUGAAACAGGAGAAAACAGCUCUGCCCCUGCUUUGAGCUGUUGAGUUGGCAAAAGGGUAUCUGUUGGGUGGUCAAAACUCUGCCAUAUAAUCUCGCGAUCAGAAUUAUAUAGCACAAAGUUGCCUGAAUCAGACAUAGAAGCUAAAGAAGCUGGCUGGGAAGCAGAAACUAUCAAAGUAUCACCCCCUUGUGCUGAUGUCAGGACAAGCCUGCCAUCACUGGUGAAGAGCAAGGUCGCAUUACUGGGGACUGGGGCAUCAUCCCUUCUAGCAGCCCACACAACAGUCUUUAGUGAAAUCCCGGAUAGAAAAACCCCUAUAGAAUAGCCGUUGCGUUGUCGGAAAAAUCCAAAAGCAUAAAGACCGGAAGGCGACAACCAUGAGGAGUUUGUGAUAGGUGUUAGAGAAGAUCCUAGGGUUAUAUUGGUCUGUCUUUGAGCUGAAGCUGUAAAAGAUAAGGCGAGAAGAAGAAAAAAGAUGAUAGAAGCCAUGGAUAGGGAUUUAGCUCUUGUGUGGUAUAGGAGUGUCAAUAUAAAGAUGUCUAUUGUUCCAGCACUCCAGUCUCUUUCUUUGGUUUCCAGCAGUCAAGCCAGGCACUCAAAACAUAAAAGUCUAGCCAUAAAAUCCACCGCGUUUCCCUACCAAUUGGUGGAAAUCCUUGCUCUUACUUUUCUGCUUUCAAAGUCAAUGCAGUCAAGUCACUGAAAAAACUCGGGAAUUACCUGGGUGAGGUCCCCCUUUUCCAUCAUACAAUCCCCCAUUUGAACAGCCAUUUGAAUUUAAGAGAUUUUUUUCGUAAAUACACUUGUUUGGAUAUGAAUGGCCUGCGUGAAACUUAGCUUCUUUGGAAGUGUGACAUGUUCCUUUUAAAGUAUUUUUUAUUAAAAAAUAUUUUUUUAUUUUUUAAAAUUAUUUUUGAUACUGAUAUAUCAAAAUGAUUUAAAAAAUAUUAAUUUAAAAUAAAAAAAAUAAAAAAUUUUAAAAAUACUUUUAAAAUGCAAAACAAACAGGAGAAAAUUACAGCUAAAUGAAGAAUCUUAAAACUGAAAAUUGGAACUCAAUGGACCGUUGAUUCUAUGGUUAAUUCCACACGUAUUUUGCAGGAAAAAAGAAGAAAUGUAUCUCUUGUCCUUGGCUGAAGUCAGUUUUUUUUUUUAAUGUGUUUGAAAUUAUGAUAAUAAUAACGAUUUAAAAUAUUUUUUGUUUAGAAAUAUAUUAAGAUCGGAUAUCAUCAUAUAAAGAAAAAUAAAAAAUUUACAAAACUCAAGGUCCAAUAACCUAAUAUUAAAGGCUAAAAUUAAAAAAAAAACAUUAAAGAAAAAAACUUGAAUCAACUCACCAUCUGGGAUAUAAGACUAGAACAAAAAAAUAUUUUUUUUAAAAAAAUACUUAGAAAAACUCAUUAGCAUUGUGAAUUGAAUUUAAAAAUGUUGUUGAAAGUCAUGUUUAUUGUAGCACAAGACUCGAUACAUUAUGGAUUGAAACAACACAUGGAUGACUUUGUUCUUCUUAAAAAAAAAAAAUCAUUAGCUUUGGUCUUGGGGUAAUACGGUUUUUUUAUCGGGUAUAUUUAGAGAUAAUUCAAUCUUUUUAUAUUUUUAAAACAUACUGGAAUAACUCAAUUAUCCUUUUUGGAUAAAAAAAAAAUUAAAAGUUUUUUUAUAUUUUCAUAAAGGUUUACUUUAUUUUUUUUCUUUUUUUAUUUCAUCAUUUAAAAUUAGUUUUUUUUUUAAAGGCUUUGUGGUUUUUUUUUAUUUUCAUUUUAAUCGAGUUAUCUUGAUUUCUUAAUUUGAGUCACGAGUUUGAUAGAUUAAUUCAAGUUGAUUUGACUUUUUUUACGGGGUCACUUUUAUUUUAAAAGGAAUUUUACUCUCUUUUUUUUAACAUUAUUAUUAUUAUUAUUAUUAUUAUUUAAAAAAAAAAACAAGAAAGUUCAUCCCUAUGGCGCAGCGCGCAGGUGCACAUCUAGUCUCUUGCUAUAGCUGCUAAAUGUUUUGCAAUCUGAUUUGCUUCUCUAAAUACAUGACUGAAACUGACUAAUUUAAAGGAUUUAAUUACUUGGCAUAAAUAUAUAUAGAAUUAAACAAACUCUAGAGAAUCCCAUACAUACCAAAUCGAUUGAACGCGAAAUUGAUGCAUUUAAAUGUAAAGUGAAAACCGUAAAUUAGGACUCCUAAAUUUCUAGUUUUUGCUUUGCAAUGAAAAAAGAAGAAUUAUCUCGCAUAGAUAAUAAACACAACAAAUUAAAACAAAAUAAAACUAAGUUUGUUUACAUGUUGGUCGUUUAAGAUUAAAAUCCUAUUUUACAAGAUUAAAAUUUAUGGUUAAUUAGAAAAAAAAAGUUUACUAUAUUUCAUAUGUCAAAUAUUUUUCAUAAAAUAAAUACAACUUAACUUUGAUAAAUGAUACCUCUAGAAAUGUGGAAUCCAUUUAUAAUUGAAUUAAAAUUAUAUUGAAAUGCUUCUUAUUAGAACAAAAAAAAAACUAUUGAAAUGGGCCUACCGAAUACAACAUUAAAUUUUUUCACCAUAAGAAAAUUAACAACUAGCAAUCAAAUUACUGACAAAAAAUAUUCCAUUGAUAAUAUCCGAUGAAAAUAACAACAAAACAUAUUUGUUGAACAUUAAAAUGGAAUAUGUGCAAUCAAUAAUUGUCAAUGGAAUUGCCAAUGAAAUAAAAAUAAUUAGAAAAUAAAUAAAUAUUGUGUUGGCAAUUCCAUCGGCAGUAUGACAUAUUAUUAUUUACUGAUGAAAAUAUUUCAUCACUAGUUCUCAUCGGAAAUUCUAUCGAUAAAUUUAUUAGUGUUGCAACCAACAACAACCCCACCUCUAUCCAUUUCUACUUCUUAUUUUUUUUUUUUCAUAUAAGAAAAUAGCAACCCUCCUUAUUUUGCCACAAAUCUAGCUCCUGUUUCUAUAAAUUUGACCACCGUAACACUCAAUCGUGUUAGCAUCAUUGUCUCGGUUUUUUCUAAAUACUCACGACACCAAGUAAGCAAACCUACAUAUUUAUGUUUUAGGUUAAUUUAUUAAUAUUUUUGUAGUAUUUUUUAGUUUACUUAUAUAUUCAAGUGUUUUACAGCUUUUUCCUUGAGAAUUUUGAUGUAUUAAAGAAUAAUUUGUUGGUUAGGGAUUUUUGGGAUUUGAAGAAAAUUGAAUUUUUUUUUAUUUGAUGAAUUUAAAUUUGAUUUUGUAAUUUAGGUGUGUUAUAAUAAAAGAAAUGGUAAGUUAUUUAAUGAGUACUAAUCAUAUUUUAUUGAUUUUAUUAUUAAGUUGUUAUACAAUCCAAGAUAUAAGGGCAGACUGUACGAGCUGUAGUGCACCUCGAAGUAAAGUAUGGAGAACGAAUUGUAGAAAGCAAUGAGAGCAUAUUAUAGCAUACCUGUCGACUUAUUAUCCUUCCACUCAAAGACCUUCAGGAAAUACUCAUUCCUCUCCACCUCUACCUCCACAUGCAGCUCCAACAUUAGUUAGUUAGGAGUUUUUUCAAUGUAUUAAGAUAUUUGUAAUUGAUUUUAUGAUUAAACUAAUGAUAUAAAAUGUAUUCUUUAAUUUAAUAUAAAUUAAUAUUGUUUAAUAUCAACUUGUUUAAUCCAAAUAAAUAUGUUAAAAAAAAAAUAACCAACGAACAUAAAAAUCAUGUUGAUGAUUUUGUCAGUUAUAUUAGUCUAUUUUCAUCCAAAAAUUACAUAAAGUUGUUUAUUUUUCUGGCACUGUUGAUAGAAUCACUGACAUAAUUUCUAUGUUGACGAUUUCAUAAGGGAAUCCGUCAGAAAUACAUGAUCAAUUACCGACUAGUAUAUAUUCUGUCGUUUAUCGUUUAUGCCUAGCAACUGUACUUGUGUGGAGGUAUGGGCAACUGCAUUUUAGGCAAGAAACUGCGUUGUGGAAUAGGAGAAGAAGGGGCAAAAACAAGCAAAAAUCCUACUCUCAUCCUAUUCUUCAUAAAGAGCUCACUCUUGAGAUAACAUCAGACCAACAAACGUUAUUUAUACUCACAUGAAGCUUUCAUGCCAACAAUUCUUUUUCUCCUCGUUAUAUACCUAUGCUCCACGGAAAAAUCUUAAUCUGCACAAUUUAACACAACAAAAGGCUCCACUCUUUACACCAACUCCACCCCAAACUUCUGGCCUUCUCCUUCUGGUCAUUUCGCUUUCGGGUUUUAUCCUAGCUGCAAUGGCUUCAAGGCGGGGACUUGGCUCAUUGGUAGGCCAAGAAACACAGUUGUAUGGACCGCACUGUGAAAUGAACCUGCAGUCUUAAUUAUCAAGAGCAAGCCUCGUUUUUGUUGGUGAGGAUUGUAUCCUCUUCCUUGAGGCUAAAUUGCCUGUCGAUAUGGGCAAACGAUUUCAGUGCAACUUGCUUUCCACGAUUUCAGCAACAGUACUUUGAAAAGAUGCACAUUCAAUCAAGGUUUAUGAGUUAAAAUAUCUACUCAAAUUUUCUCUCUACAACAACAUAUCCUAAAGCAUUUGUGAAGGUUAGAUUAACCCACACAACUUGAUUUAUGAAGGUUAGAUCAACCCAUCCAAAUAAGAUCAUCACAAAGAAGAUUGGCAAGGAACUCCUAAGUACUGGUGUGGUUUUGAUUGCCUUUUCUUUGGUGGUCUUUGCAUCAUCUGACUUGAUGGUCAUGAUGACACGCCAAGCUUGUCCACCAGAUGUCACUGAAGGUAUUAAUCUGCACCAUUUAGCUACGAUCAACUUGCGGUGGCCACUAUGAUUUAAGGAAGAAAUCGGUAAAGGGGCAUGAUCAGGAGGGUCUGUAGAGGCUCGUUAGCAAAGAAUGAUGGGAAAGAGAUAGCAGUGGAGAGUCUAGAGAAGUUGGUGGAAGAUGGAGAAGGGGAGUUCCGAAACGAGGUGAAGAUAACUGAGAGGACUCAUAACAAUAACUUGGUACGUUUGAUUGGCUUUUGCAGUGAAGGAUCAAAUAGGCUUCUUGUGCAUGAGUUCAAGAUCAUUCAUUGUAACAUUAAACCUCAUAAUGUACUCAUGGAUAAAUCUUGGUCUGCAAAAAUAUCAGAUUUUGGACUGUCCAGGCUCUAAAAACCUGACUAAACAAGAACAUACACAAUUCCAAGAGGCACGAGUCGCUAUGAAGCUCCUGAGUGGCACAAAAACAAAACAACUAUCACAACCAGAGCUGAUGUCUAUAGCUUUGGCAUCAUAUUGCUUGGGAUUGUGUGUUGGAGGAAGAACAUGGACUUGUCAGUUCCUGAUGAAGAAGUAAUACUGAUGGUGGGUUCACGGGUGCUCUGAAGCUGGAGAGCUGAAGAAAGUGAUUGGUGAAGUAGAAGUGAACUCGGAAGAAUUGGAGAAAUGGUUGAGAUUGGAUUGUGGUAUGGGAAAAUAGAGAAAGAUUUAAGGCCACCAACGAUGCAAGUGAAUUUGAUGGUGGAUGGGGCUAUAGUCACACCACCACCACCUACUCCACCGAAUUCCUCUCUAAAUUAUCGGAUCUAAUUUAGUGUUGCUGCCAUGAAAGUUGCAGUAUAUCAAGGUUCAAGUAUAUAUAUAAUCAACAGUUCAAUAUAUAAUUUUUCUUUCCUUUUCUUUAUUUUUUUAUGGUCCAAUCAUAUUUUCAUACUACAAAUUCACGAGAAUUUUACUUCUCAAUCUAUGUUAUCAAUUGAUUAUCGAUUCUUUCAAAAAAAAAAAAAUCAAAUUCCUUAAAUUUAUCUAAAUUCUCACCUUAAUAAUAAAAUUAAUAAAAUAUAAAACAUACACAUUAAAUAACUCAUUAUUUAUUUCAUUAUAAAUUAAACACCUAAAUUACAAAAUAAAACUCAAUUUUAUUAAAUGACAAGCAAAUAUAAUUUUUUAAAAUCUUAAACAAACCCUAACAUUUAAAAAUCAUAUAUUCAUAUAAUAAAUUUUUAAAGGAAAAGGCUAUAAAAUAAGUAAACACACAAAAAAAACUACAUAUACUACAUUAAAUUGUCAAAAAAUUGACAUAAAAAAUGGGUUUAAAAAAAUUAUAGUUUUGCUUACUUGAUGUGAUGAAUCUUCAAAAAAAGAAAAGAAUAUAACAUGGAUAUUGAUAGACUGAAUGUUGAGAUAGACGGAUUUGUGAUGAUGGGAGCUUAAUUUAUGACAAAAUGAUGGAGGUUCUAUGUAUAGGUACAUGAGAGGAUACAUACGUUUUUUUUUCUUCUCGGUGUCCUUGUUGCAGACCUUCUAGUUAGUUUUAUAUUUGAUGAACAACCAAAACAUGUAGAAGCAUAUCUCAGUAAAUAUGAUCGUUUUGGGGCUCUGAAAAUCAGUUAUCUAUUUUAAAAUCAAACCAGAGAAAUAUGAUCUGAAUCAAUCCAAGGAUGGAGAUAAGGUUCAAAAAAUAUGUUUACAUAUAUAAUUUUUGCAAAAUCAGAUAUCAUCCAUUAAUGUAUUUCAAAAAAAAAAAAAAAGUAUGAGAUGCAUGCACGUGCCAAAGAUUAUCUGAUACGUUGCGAGAUAUAUCCUAAUUAUCGUAGCUGCGAUUUGUAUGGUUUUAUUUAAAUUAGAAAACAAAUAAUAAAUAAAAUAACUUUUAAUUAUCUAGCGUAAAAAAAAAAAAAAAACUUACGAAACAAGAAGAUAAAUGCAUUACAUUUUUCUUCGUUCUUCUUACUUGUAAAAUAUUUUAGACUUGAAACUAGGAGCAUUGGUCUAAACGGUUCAAUUUUAGUAAAAUAAAAAAUCCAGCCAAACCUGCCCACCCCGAAAUCAUGAACCAGGCCAAAUAAUCAAAUCCAGUUUGGUUUAAUUCAACUUUAUGUUUUUGAAAAUUAGAUAAGUUUAAUUUAAUUAAUAGAUCUUUAAAUUGAAUUUUUUUAUAUAAAAUUUGAUUUAAUAAACCUUUAGUUUAUAAUAAAAUUUGAUGUAAUGGUAAUGAUGAUUAAAGUGAUUGAAAAAUAUUAUUAGCAACAUUUCACCAUGAGUUAAUAGUUUUAUGAUGGAAAAAGUAUAUUUUUCUAUUUCGGAUCAUAAUUAGAAAGAAAAAUAUUUUCUAUUGAUAAUUUAUUAGGAUAUAUAUUUCAAAUGUUUAAGAUAUUUUUCAAAUAAAUGUACCUUAACUAUGAUAAAUGAUACAUUCUCCGUUUGUUUGCAAUUUGAUUGUAAAGGCUUCCUUUUAACAUAAUUCUGCUUGAUAUACUCCAUGUAAUUACAAACUAAUUAGCUCAUUCUGGUCUUCUCACUUCUGGCAAUUAGCCAGUUUGAUGGCGACUUGCAACAAUGUACAGUCACCAACCGUUGUAUUGGACUUCGAUUCACCAAUAAUGCCCUGCAACUGUACUUGAGCGAAGGAAUGGACAUUUGCACUUUAGGCAAGGAAUUGCCUUGUAGAAUAGAAGAAGACGAAGAAGGGGAAAAAACAAGCAAAGAUCCUAGUCUCAUUAAUUCUAUUCUUCGUAAAGAUCUCGCUCUUGAGAUAACAUAAGACCAACAAAUGUUGUUUAUACUAAGAACACAUGAAGCUUUCAUGCUAACGUUUUCUUUUCUCCUCUUUAUAUACCCUUUUUUUUUAAUAUCUAAGAUACGGUGGGAAACAACUUUACAGGCAUUAACACUGGAAGAAAAAUCAACAGGAAUGCUGCGGAAACAUAUAGCAAUUUUAUAAAGAAAAGGAAUAAAUGACCUGAAAAAUAAAAACACUACUCUGCAGAUGAAUCCCUUAUUCUGAACCACAAAACGCAGCUCAUAUAGCAGUAAAAAAAGAAGUAGGACUUGGAGGGAUUGGGAUUUCGACUGUCCCCUCCAACAUCAGGAGGACCUUUUUCAUUGAAGGGCGGAGGGAUGGCUCAUCAAGAGUGCACCAAAGUCCCACUUUAACCAUCCUAUCUAACUCUUUCUUGUCGACGAUUUCAUCACCCACGAGUUUGUCCAUAUCACCGUCCUGAAAACAUUGAUAAACCCACUGUUCGAGAACAGCUUCAUCCUCUGGAAGAAGCCAAUCCACAUUCUUUCGACAACAUGUGAUCUCCAACAACAUAACUCCAAAGCUAUAAACAUCUGCUUUAACUGUCACCGGCAUAUUCCGGUGCCAUUCUGGGGCUACAUAUCCCCUCGUCCCUCUAAUUCCGGUGAAGGUUUUAGUUUGGUCUGACUUCAGCAACUUUGCCAAUCCAAAGUCAGAAACUUUGGGGCACCUGCUUUCAUCUAUUAGUAUAUUCUGAGGUUUUAUAUCACAGUGGAUGAUCUGAGUCUCGCACUCNNNNNNNNNNNNNNNNNNNNNNNNNNNNNNNNNNNNNNNNNNNNNNNNNNNNNNNNNNNNNNNNNNNNNNNNNNNNNNNNNNNNNNNNNNNNNNNNNNNNNNNNNNNNNNNNNNNNNNNNNNNNNNNNNNNNNNNNNNNNNNNNNNNNNNNNNNNNNNNNNNNNNNNNNNNNNNNNNNNNNNNNNNNNNNNNNNNNNNNNNNNNNNNNNNNNNNNNNNNNNNNNNNNNNNNNNNNNNNNNNNNNNNNNNNNNNNNNNNNNNNNNNNNNNNNNNNNNNNNNNNNNNNNNNNNNNNNNNNNNNNNNNNNNNNNNNNNNNNNNNNNNNNNNNNNNNNNNNNNNNNNNNNNNNNNNNNNNNNNNNNNNNNNNNNNNNNNNNNNNNNNNNNNNNNNNNNNNNNNNNNNNNNNNNNNNNNNNNNNNNNNNNNNNNNNNNNNNNNNNNNNNNNNNNNNNNNNNNNNNNNNNNNNNNNNNNNNNNNNNNNNNNNNNNNNNNNNNNNNNNNNNNNNNNNNNNNNNNNNNNNNNNNNNNNNNNNNNNNNNNNNNNNNNNNNNNNNNNNNNNNNNNNNNNNNNNNNNNNNNNNNNNNNNNNNNNNNNNNNNNNNNNNNNNNNNNNNNNNNNNNNNNNNNNNNNNNNNNNNNNNNNNNNNNNNNNNNNNNNNNNNNNNNNNNNNNNNNNNNNNNNNNNNNNNNNNNNNNNNNNNNNNNNNNNNNNNNNNNNNNNNNNNNNNNNNNNNNNNNNNNNNNNNNNNNNNNNNNNNNNNNNNNNNNNNNNNNNNNNNNNNNNNNNNNNNNNNNNNNNNNNNNNNNNNNNNNNNNNNNNNNNNNNNNNNNNNNNNNCAACUUUCAGCAUCGAAAUCCCUCUCACAGCCAGAAGUCCCAUUUCCCUGGCUAACAAACUCAAAUCCAGGAAGACAAGUACAUUCAGCUUCCUUAUCCUUCAUAACACAAUAUCCAUUAAGACCGCAUGAUCCCUUGGGGUCACACUUGUUGCUUGUGGAUGACCACACAUCUAACCUGUUUCCAUUCCGUGUCAGAUUUUGUGAAUAUAAUCUGAAAAUCCCAUCAGUAUCAAGUUUCAUCAUAUUAAUUGCUUCUUUCGUGGGAUAUCCUCCAGCUGUAAUGUUUUUUAUGUUGAAACCUGUGGAAUUGAGCAGGUAGAGACGGCCAUCCGGAUCAAGAUUUAGGGUCACAUUAUCUCCCGCCCCAUCAGUACCAGAAGCAAAAUAAGCAUAUGAACCUGUAUCUGGAGUAUUAACCGGAUACUGCACAAGGUUGCCAUCAUUUUGCAUCUUGAGUCGGUAAAUACCAGUUGAGAGUUCAGUUUCUGAAACAGGAGAAAACAGCUCUGCCCCUGCUUUGAGCUGUUGAGUUGGCAAAAGGGUAUCUGUUGGGUGGUCAAAACUCUGCCAUAUAAUCUCGCGAUCAGAAUUAUAUAGCACAAAGUUGCCUGAAUCAGACAUAGAAGCUAAAGAAGCUGGCUGGGAAGCAGAAACUAUCAAAGUCUCACCCCCUUGUGCUGAUGUCAGGACAACCCUGCCAUCACUGGUGAAGAGCAAGGUCGCAUUACCGGGGACUGGGGCAUCAUCCCUUCUAGCAGCCCACACAACAGUCUUUAGUGAAAUCCCGGAUAGAAAAACCCCUAAAGAAUAGCCGUUGCGUUGUCGGAAAAAUCCAAAAGCAUAAAGACCGGAAGGCGACAACCAUGAGGAGUUUGUGAUGGGUGUUAGAGAAGAUCCUAGGGUUAUAUUGGUCUGUCUUUGAGCUGAAGCUGUAAAAGAUAAGGCGAGAAGAAGAAACAAGAUGAUAGGAGCCAUGGAUAGGGAUUUAGCUCUUGUGUGGCAUGGGAGUGUCAAUUUAAGGAUGUCUAUUGUUCCAGCACUCCAGUCUCUUUCUUUGGUAUCCAGCAGUCAAGCCAGGCAACUCAAAACAUCAAAGUCUAGCCAUAAAAUCCACCGCGUUUCCCUUCCAAUUGUUGGAAAUCCUUGCUGUCACUUUUAUGCUUUCAAAGUCAAUGCAGCCAUGUCACUGAAAAAACUUGGCAAUUACUUGGCGCUGGUCCACUUUUUCCAUCAUACUAUCCCCCAUUUGAACAGCCAUUUACUAAUUUCCCAUGGACUAUUCUUGGUUCUAAUUUUCUGCAGCAGAUUCUUUUUUAUUUGUCAAGUACCAUCAAUAGGCUUUGAUAACACAAUCUUUAGCUUCCUGCAGACAGCUUGAACUGCUUGAGAGAUGCCAAUUGUGGCGCUAAUGCUAAUACCCCGCCAUAAUACUAGGGCAAGGCAGAACAACUUGAUUAUAUUAAUGUCCCUCGAUGCAAAAGGCUAGAUAGCAACCUCACUCUCUAACAAAAGAUCAUGUUAUAAUUUAUAUGUGAAAAGUAGGGAUUUUGAAUUCGGGUAAGCUCAACAAGGUUGUACUUUUCUUUCUCGUGUUCAACUUUUCUCUCCCUUUGUUCUCAUGUUUAGCUUCCUGCAAGAACAUUCCUUCCAAGGCACAUUUUUCCUGAAAUUAUACUAAUUAUGGGAACUUUCAAGUUUUGUUUGAAAUAAAACUUUUAUUUGCUUCCUCACGAUUUCAUUUUAGUCUCGAAUUUAAGAGAUUUUUUUCGUAAAUACACUAGUUUGGAUUUGAAUGGCAUGCGUGAAACUUCAUAGAAGAUGGAUUUACUCUCAGCUAGCUAAAUGAAUAAUCUUUAAACUGAAAAUUGGAACUCAAUGGACCGUUGAUUCUAUGGUUAUUUCUACACGUUUUUUUGCAGGAACAGCAAGUGGACGUAUGAGUAAAGUAAUGUAUCUCUUGUCCUUGGCUGGAACCGGUCUUUCUUUAUUGUAUUAACCGGUCUUUCUUUAUUGUAUCGGUCUUUCUUUAUUGUAUUAACCGGUCUUUCUUUAUUGUAUUAACCGGUCUUUCUUUAUUGUAUCGGUCUUUCUUUAUUGUAUUAACCGUUAAUAAGGUGAGUUCGAUUGAGGGUGCAUGUACUGUAUGACUUAAUUCAGAGUAUAAUUAAGGUGGUCGCAACAGGGACUGAAUCAAUGUACAACCGAGCACUUGCCGGCACUCUUCUCAGCAAAAAUGUCUUCUCUGACUAGCUUCAAAGCCAUGGGUGCUGUGAAAAAGUAACUAUGUAAAUCUUCAUGGGAGAUCUCUAACAGAUGCAUUCUACAUUUUUUNNNNNNNNNNNNNNNNNNNNNNNNNNNNNNNNNNNNNNNNNNNNNNNNNNNNNNNNNNNNNNNNNNNNNNNNNNNNNNNNNNNNNNNNNNNNNNNNNNNNCAGACUAAUUUAAAAGGAUUUACUUGGCAUAAAUAUAGAAUUAAACAAACUCUAGAGAAUUAGGACUCCUAAAUUUCUAGUUUUUAGGGUUCAGCUUUCUAUCAGUUAGGUUGGAAAUUUUAUUAUGUGUGUUAUACAACCCAAUAUGUAAGGGCGGGCUGCAAUGUCUUGACCGUGAACACUUCACAAUCCAAACAUAAGACAACCAUCACUGGUUAUUGAGGAGUUGAUUCAAAAACAAAUUAUUGUUGCAGAGGCUGAUUUUAAGGCUAAACUGGAGAUAGAGUAUGAAGAAUGAAGUAGAAAGCAAUGAGAGUAUAUGAUAGCAUACUUGUCGAUUUAUUAUCCUUUCCAUUUAAGGAAAUAUCCAUCCCCUUCCACCUCUACCUCCACAUGUAGCUGAUCCAACUUGAGUUAGUCAGGAGUUUUUUUAAUGUAUUGAGAUAUUUUUUAAUUGAUUUUAUGAUUAAAUUAAUGAUAUAUAAUAUGUUUUUUAAUUUAAUAUUAUUUAAUAUCAACUUAUUUAAUCCAAAUAAACAUGUAUUAAAAAAACAUAAAAAAUUAUGUUUAUAUCAGUUCAUUAGUUUAUUUUCAUCUAAAAAUUACGUAAAGUUGUUUAUUUUUUUUUGCAUCGUUGAUACAAUCACUGACAUGAUUUAAUCCAUCCGUCAUCGAUACAGGAUCAAUUACCGAGUGGUAUUCCUGUCGUUUAUCGUUUAUGCCUUGCAACUGUACUUGUGUGUGUAUGUAUGGACAAUUGCAUUUUAGGCAAGAAACUGCGUUGUGGAAUAGGAGAAGAAGGGGCAAAAACAAGCAAAGAUCCUACUCUCAUCCUAUUCUUCAUGAAGAGCUCACUCUUGAGAUAACAUCAGACCAACAAACGUUAUUUAUACUCACAUGAAGCUUUCAUGCCAACAAUUCCUUUUCUCCUCGUUAUAUACCUAUGCUCCACGGAAAAAUCUUAAUCUGCACAAUUUAACACAACAAAAGGCUCCACUCUUUACACCAACUCCACUCCAAACUUCUGGCCUUCUCCUUCUGGUCAUUUCGCUUUCGGGUUUUAUCCUGGCGGCAAUGGCUUCAAGGCGGGGACUUGGCUCAUUGGUAGGCAAAGAAACACAGUUGUAUGGAUCGCACUGUGAAAUGAACCUGCAGUCUUAAUUAUCAAGAGCAAGCCUCGUUUUUGUUGGUGAGGAUUGUAUCCUCUUCCUUAAUGCUAAAUUGCCUGUCGAUAUGGGCAAACGAUUUCAGUACAACUUGCUUUCCACGAUUUCAGCACAGUACUUUGAAAAGAUGCACAUUCAAUCAAGGUUUAUGAGUUAAAAUAUCUACUCAAAUUUUCUCUCUACAACAACAUAUCCUAAAGCAUUUGUGAAGGUUAGAUUAACCCACACAACUUGAUUUAUGAAGUUUAGAUCAACCCAUCCAAAUAAGAUCAUCACAAAGAAGAUUGGCAAGGAACUUCCAAGUACUGAUGUGGUUUUGAUUGCCUUUUCUUUGGUGGUCUUUGCAUCAUCUGACUUGAUGGUCAUGAUGACACGCCAAGCUUGUCCACCAGAUGUCACUGAAGGUAUUAAUCUGCACCAUUUAGCUACGAUCAACUUUCGGUGGCCACGAUGAUUUAAGGAAGAGAUCGGUAAAGGGGCAUCAGGAGGGUCUAUAGAGGCUCGUUAGCAAAGAAUGACGGGAAAGAAAUAGCAGUGGAGAGUCUAGAGAAGUUGGUGGAAGAUGGAGAAGGGGAGUUCCGAAACGAGGUGAAGAUAAGUGAGAGGACUCAUAACAAUAACUUGGUAUGUUUGAUUGGCUUUUGCAGUGAAGGAUCAAAUAGGCUUCUUGUGUAUGAGUUCAUGAAAAAUAGUUCAUUAGGGGACCUUAUCUUCAAGGCCAAGAGACGACGAAGUUUAAGAGUUCGAACCAAUAUUCCUUUGGGGGUAGCAAACGACCAAGAUCAUUCAUUGUAACAUUAAACCUCAUAUUAAUGUACUCAUGGAUGAAUCUUGGUCUGCAAAAAUAUCAGAUUUUGGACUGUCCAAGCUCUAAAAACCUGACUAAACAAGAACAUACACAAUUCCAAGAGGCACGAGUCGCUAUGAAGCUCCUGAGUGGCACAAAUACAAAACAACUAUCACAACCAAAGCUGAUGUCUAUAGCUUUGGCAUCUUAUUGUCAAGAUAUCAAAGGCUCUGCUUCAGCCACCUCUGCUUCAGCCACCUGUCAAAGAGAAUAGAGAAUAUAAUAGUUAGCAAGUUUGUUAAUAUGGUUAGACAGUUAAUGAAUUCUAUUACUAUUGAGUAGAAUACGUAACCAAGCUUCUCACCUUCUGUUGAUAUAAAAUGAAUGUAAUGGUGUUGGGAAUGUAAGCAGAGAAUAAUACACAGAAACAUUUUCUUCUUCCUCUGCAUUGCAGCAUCUUUCUCUAAUUCUGUUCGCUUCUUGUUCAUCUCUGUAACAAUUCUUGCUAGCUUAUCAUGGUAUCAGAGCUUAGGAUUGUUAAUAUCUUGUGAUCCUGUGAUUUCUCUGCUUCUAAUAUCUUGCUAAUCUCUGUUUCUGGCAUUAUUAUCGCCUGAUUAAACCAAUUCUUUCAUAAUAAUCAAUCUGUUUAUCAUCUGUUUGAUAUAUUGUCAAACUGAAAAAUUCUUCUUCAACUCUCUUCUCAAAUCUGUGAUUCUUUUUGAUAUAUUGUCAAACUGAAAAAUUCUUCUUCAACUCUCUUCUCAAAUCUGUGAUUCUCUUCCUCUCUGUCUCUUGAACUCUAAAAAUGGUGACUACUUCUCAACUUCAAAGCUUCUAAUAUCUUGCUAAUCUCUGUUUGCUUCCAACAGUUUCUACUACCAUGACAGUCAAGCAUGUCUCUUCUGCAGUUCCUUCUGAUCCCGCUGCCUCCGUCUUUCUUCCUCUUUCUCCUAGCAUAAUAUGGUGUUCUCUUCAAGCAUAGAAAGAAGGUGGAUACCAUCAUAUAAGAAUUCAGUGCCUCUCUUGCUUUCCCAUGUCAUGGUUUUGGAAGCCAAAGCCUCCACCAUACCUGGCAUUUUAUUAACCAAAUUGCGAGCUUUCUUAGUACGCUUGAGAGUCAGAUGAGCACCUCUCCCAGCAUUGUAUCGAUUGUCAUCCCUUUUAUAUUCCUUAAGCCAACUCUCCUCUUCACAUUCAGUCAACCAUUUCUCAACCUUUUCAAGUAUUUCUUUCCUGCUAAAAGAUUCCUCCUUAACAUUAGCAAUUUGAAGCUCAAUCUGCUCAAGUAUACUGGCAGGGUCCAUGUUUCCAGAUUCUAUGGCUUCAACAGCAUAUUCUUCUACUGAUCAGUUUGCUUAUAUUCUCACUAAAGGCCUUUCCACUCCUUUAUUUCGGCGUCUCUGUUCCAAUCUUAUGCUUGGUUCCUCCAAGCAUAUGAUUGCGGGGGAAUGUCAAGAUAUCAAAGGCUCUGCUUCAGCCACCUCUGCUUCAGCCACCUGUCAAAGAGAAUAGAGAAUAUAAUAGUUAGCAAGUUUGUUAAUAUGGUUAGACAGUUAAUGAAUUCUGUUACUAUUGAGUAGAAUACGUAACCAAGCUUCUCACCUUCUGUUGAUAUAAAAUGAAUGUAAUGGUGUUGGGAAUGUAAGCAGAGAAUAAUACACAGAAACAUUUUCUUCUUCCUCUGCAUUGCAGCAUCUUUCUCUAAUUCUGUUCGCUUCUUGUUCAUCUCUGUAACAAUUCUUGCUAGCUUAUCACUUAUUGCUUGGGAUUGUGUGUUGGAGGAAGAACAUGGACUUGUCAGUUCCUGAUGAAGAAGUAAUACUAAUGGUGGGUUCACGGGUGCUCUGAAGCUGGAGAGCUGAAGAAAGUGGUUGGUUAAGUAGAAGUGAACUUCGAAGAAUCGGAGAAAUGGUUAAGAUUGGAUUGUGCUAUGGGAAAAUAGAGAGAGAUUUAAGGCCAACAAUGAAGCAAGUGAAUUUGAUGAUGGAUGGGGCUAUAGUCACACCCCCACGGAAUUCGACUCUAAUUUAUCGGAUCUAAUUUAGUGUUGCUGCCAUGAAAGUUGCAGUAUAUCAAGGUUCAAGUAUAUAUAUAAUAAUAAUAAUAAAAAAGUAUAUAUAUAAUCAACAGUUCAAUAUAUAAUUUUUCUUUCCUUUUCUUUAUUUUUUUAUGGUCCAAUCAUAUUUUCAUACUACAAAUUUACGAGGAUUUUACUUCUCAAUCUAUGUUAUCAAUUGAUUAUCAAUUCUUUAAAAAAAAAUUCAAAUUCCUUAAAUUUAUGUAAAUUCUCAACUUAAUAAUAAAAUUGAAAAAAAUGUGAAACGUACACAUCAACUAAUCUAUUAUUUAAUUAUUUCGUUAUAAAACACCUAAAUUACAAAAUAAAUUUUAAUUUUAUUGAAUGACAAGCAAAUAUAAUUUUUUAAAAUCUCAAACAAGCCCUAACAUUUACAAAUCAUAUAUUCAUACAAUAAAUUUAUAUAGAAAAAAACUAUAAAACAAGUAAAUAUACAAACAAACUACAUAUACCAUAUAAAAAUAUCAAAACAUUGACAUAAAAAUGGGUUAUAAAAAAAAUUAUAGUUUUGCUUAUUUAACGUGGUGAAUCUUCAAAAAAAUAAAAAAAAACUAUAACAUGGAUACUAAUAGACUGAAUGUUGGGGUAGCCGGAUUUGUGAUAAUGAGAACUUGAUUUGUGACAGAAUGAGGGGGGGUGGGGUGUUGUUUUCUACAGGAAAAAAAAAAGAAAGAAGAAGAAAAAGAAAAAGAAAUAGGGGUAGAUAAAAAAGCGGUUGUCUGAUAGGUUAUAACUUAAAUAUUAUUGAUGGAUUUAUUGACGAAAAUUAGCGAUGAUUAUUCUUUAUCGGUAAUUUCAUUAGUAAUAUUGAUAUGUCAUAUUUCUAUUUUUUUUUUUUUUUUAUUUCCAAAUAUAUAUAAUUCCCUUGAUAUUCACCCAUGAAAAUGUUUCGUUUGUGCAUACCAACGAGAACAACGAUGUCAUUUUCUAUCAGUAAAUAUAACUAUAAUUUUCUAAUAAUAUUUAUUUUGUUAGUAUUUUUAUUUUUAUCUCAUAAUUUUUUAACGGUGUAAUUAUAUUAUUUUAACCAUUAGAUUGAUCAAAGAUUUGAAUGCAUUAAUUCCACCAUUAGGUCGACUCAUCCGUCAAGACACAAAGCUAACCUAUUAACAAAGUUAUUAAAGCGACUCAAUUCAUGACUUGGUUCAAAUUAUAGGUUACAGGUAGGGUAGGUUAACUAAGAUUGAUCUAAGUCAAUAAAAAAAAUUGUGUCAUUUCAAGAUACUUUUAAGUUAAAUGUUUAUUUUAAAAAAAUAAAAUAAAAAGAUAAAUCGUGUAGUAUUGACUUGUCAAAUUAACUGAAUCAAAUUUUACAUGAUUUAAUUAAAAACCAAGCCUAAACAAAGUUCUAGAUUAGCAAAUCACCGGGUUGAUCUCGUGGGCUGCAGCAGGUUUAAUUACUAACCAUGUACAGGUACAUGAGAGGAUACAUACGUUUUGUUUUUUUCCAAGUGUCCUUGCCGUGGACCUCUAGCCAGUUUUAUAUUUGAUGAACAACCAAAACAGGCAGAAGCAUAUCCCAGUAAAUAUGAUCGUUUUGGGACUCUGAUGAUCGGUUAUUUAUUUCAAAACCAAACCAGAGAAAUAUUAUCUGAAUCAAUCCAAGGAUGGAGAUAAGGUUUAAAAAAUAUGUUUACAUAUAUAAUUUUUGCAAAAUGAGAUAUCAUCCAUUAAUGUAUUUCUAAAAUAAAUAAAUAAAUGUAUGAGAUGCAUGCACGUGCCAAAGAUUAUCUGAUUCGUUGCGAGAUAUAUCUUAAUUAUUGUAGCUGCGAUUUGUAUGGUUUUAUUUAAAUUAGAAAACAAAUAAUAAAUAAAAUAACUUUUAAUUAUCCAGAGAAAAUAAAACUUACGAAACAAGAAGAUAAAUGCAUUACAUUUUUCUUCGGUCUUCUAACUUGUAAAAUAUUUUGGACUUGAAACUAGAAGCAUUGGUCUAAACGGUUCAAUUUUAGUAAAAUAAAAAAUUCGGCCAAACCUGCCCACCCCAAAAUCUUGAACCAGGCCGAAUAAUCAAAUCCAGUUUGGUUUAAUAAUUUUAAUCAACCUCUAUUUAAAUCGUAAGAGAGCUUGAACUAUAUAAACUAUAUAGGAUUCUAGUUCACAACUUGAUAACAAUAAUCAAAUAAAUUUAUAAGAAAUUUUAAUUCAUUGAGAAGUAUAUUUUUUGAAUAACAACUAGUUUUUAUUUUAAAAAUUAAAAAAACUAUUUACUCCACAUAUUAAUUAAAGAAUUAAACAUUAUAUCACAACAUAAAAUCUAAAAUAUUGCACCACAUUACUAUACCUACAUAAUUUGCCAAACUUACCUAAUUUAAAAAUACAAAAAAAGAAUAUAGUACAAUUAAAGAUACUAAUUUCAGUAAUUUGUGUGUGUGUCACGUCAAAAGAUAAUUUAUUGGUUUUUGAAUCCUAAUUAGAAUCUGUUGAUGAAAAUAUAACCGUAACAACAAUUUAAUUUAAAUUCUAUAUAUUUGUGUGUUGGUGGGGAACGUCGAAAGAUAAUUUAAUUUAAUUAACACUUAUGUAUGAAUAUAGAAUUUAAAUUAAAUUGUUGUUAGGAUUAUAUUUUCAUCAACAGAUUCUGAUUAGGAUCCAAAAACUAAUACAUUAUCUUUUGACGUCCCUCACCGACUAAUCUAUAUAUAAAUAUAAAAAUUAAAUUAAAUUGUUGUUAGGAUUAUAAUUUCAUGGAUAGAUUCUGAUUAGAAUAUGAAAACAAUACAUUAUCUUUUUACCCUUCAUAUAGAAUUUAAAUUAAAUUGUUGUAGGAUUAUAUUUUCAAUCAAAAAUUCUGAUUAUGAUCCGAAAAUCAAUACAUAAUCUUUUGAGGUCAUGGAUACACCUCAAACUCAAUCAGUCAGGAAACUCCACGUCGUGGAUACACCCCAAACUCAACCAAUAACUGAACUCCAUAUGUUUAAUGGUUUCAUGGGAAAAAUCACAGGCAGUAAACCUUAACAAAACCAAAAAAAAUAUUUUAUUUUAAUUAGAAAUGUUAAAUAGAUAAGUAUAAAUAUACAUUCUUUAUCACCUGCCAAGCUUUCGCUAUUUUUUUUUCAUAGAACAUUUUGAUUAGAAAAGAGGUUGAUUUAUUAAUUUUUUCAUCAAAACAAUAAUUGUUUCAACUAGGGUUAGGUUUUAUUCUGUUUUAAAUAUCACCCGGUUUAAGAAAAAAAAUCUUUUUUUUUAAUUUUUUGUUGGUUUUUAUCAAGCAUAGGAGGCAAAGAAGGAGAAUUUGGUGUGAUUUCUCAAUUCAGGUAAAAACCCAGAAGCUCAAUUUUGAUAUCUGAAUCUGGGUUGUGUUUAUUUUUGUGUAAUUUUGUCAAUUUAUUAUGUGGGUUUUUUAAAAAAAUUUGAUGUUUAAUUUUGAUUUUUGGAUUUUGGGUAAUGAAUAUUUUUAGCUUAAAAAUCGUGGGCCUUGAUUAUCUUGUGAAGUUAUGGUAUCAUGUCUGUGCUCAUUGUUGAAUGAAUGUAGGUUUUGAUUUUCUUUUCUAUUUUUGAUGAUUUAUGCUUUUAUGGAAAGCGUAAGGGAGUUUAAUUUGGAUUUAUGUAUUAAAUUACGGUUGAGAAUUUAAUUAUGAAUGAAUGUAGGUAUUGGGCUGUUCUUGGCUUAUUUUAUGCUUUAGUAGAAGCUCAUUAGAGUUUAAUUUGAUUUGUUUUAUGAAUCACUAAUAUUGGGAAUCUGGGUUUGGUGGGUUUUUCUUUUUUUUUUUAAAAAAAAAAAAACUUUCGAUUUUAGAGUUGUUAGAAUUGUAAGGCUUGCUGAUAUGGAAAGUUCAGAAGAUGGCGGUUCGCAUUCGGAACCUCCCGAUCCGGAUGUUCUUGAGAUUGAUCCAACUUGUCGGUACAUUCGGGUAAUGUUUUGGUUUUCUUGUUUUGUUAUUUGGCUAUAUAGUCUUAUGUUUGUUUUUGUUUUAAAUGAGAAGUGACAGGUUACUUUUUAUUUUAAGAGAUCUCUUAUAUUACUGAAGUCUAUAUGGGUAGCUCACGAUUAGAAUCUGUAGCUUAUUAGUUUGGCUGAUCUUUUAACGUUUAUGAAAUUGAAUGUCUGUGUGGUUUGGUUUCUGUUCUAUUAUUUGUUAACCGAUAGCAUGUUGGGUUUGAACAGUACAAGGAGGUGCUAGGGAAGGGUGCUUUCAAGACAGUGUAUCCUUUUAUUUUGUUUCAGUGAACUGGUUGCUAUUUAAUUGUUUAUUAGUUAAUUCUUUUUAUAUUAACUGAUGAAAUCUAACUGAGGAGCAUUUUAGCAUAAUUACUUUUGGAAUAUCAAAACCUCUUUGUGAUACAAAUUUUUCUCCAUCUUUUGAUUUGGAUUAUAUCCUUAUUUUUUACUACCGGUUUAGCUACAAGGCAUUUGAUGAAGUUAAUGGAAUUGAAGUUGCAUGGAACCAAGUUAGGAUUGAUGAGGUGUUGCAGUCGCCUGAUGACUUGGAGAGGCUAUAUUCUGAAAUGCAUCUCCUGAAAACAUUGAAACACAGUAAUAUUGUAAGGUUUUACAAUUCAUGGAUUGACGAUAAAAAGAAGACUGUUAAUAUUAUAACCGAGCUAUUCACUUCGGGUAGCCUGAGACAGUAAGUCCAAUUUCUUUCUUAAUUAUCCAUUGUGACUUGAUUUCUUUCUUUCUUUUUGGUGAAAUUAGCCCUGUGGUAGUUGAUUUAAUAUGUGUUGCAGAUACUGUAAGAAACACAGAAAGAUUGAAAUGAAGGCUGUGAAGGGUUGGGCAAGACAGAUUUUGAAUGGUUUGAACUAUCUUCACAAUCAUGAUCCACCGAUUAUACAUAGAGAUCUAAAGUGUGACAACAUAUUUAUCAAUGGUAAUCAAGGAGAAGUUAAAAUCGGAGAUCUUGGUUUGGCAACUGUCAUGGAGCAGGCUAAUGCGAAAAGUGUAAUAGGUAUUUCUUUUGUGUCUGUUCCUUGAUAUGGCUUGUACAUGACGUAGACUUGGUGCAUCAUCAUACUUUAUCAGAUAUUCUAUCUAACCAGAAUCAUUCUCAUUUUGAUAGGUCCUUUGGAGUUUUUUCUUUAUUUCCAUAAUUGUAUUCUUACAUGGUUCACCUUUUCCUAAAUUGAUGUGGACCUAUUGAAUGGGUUUGUCAAUGAUUGUUAUUAGGAACCCCUGAAUUUAUGGCACCUGAGCUGUAUGACGAGAACUACAAUGAGUUAGCUGAUAUAUAUUCCUUUGGAAUGUGCAUGCUGGAGAUGGUCACUUUUGAAUAUCCUUACAGUGAAUGUAGGAACUCAGCUCAGAUAUAUAAGAAAGUUUCAUCUGUAAGUGCAAUGGAUAACAUGCUUUUGUUUCAUUUAACUGUAAAUUCUGUUUCUUACAAGGUUUGCCAGUUAUCUCAUUCCUGAGUUUUUUGUAGGGAAUAAAGCCUGCUUCCCUAUCAAAGGUUAAAGAUCCAGAUUUAAAACAAUUUAUUGAAAAGUGUUUACUACCAGCAUCUGAAAGACUGCCAGCGAAGGAGCUUCUGAUGGACCCUUUUCUUGAUGUGAAUGGAUUUGCAAGGAAUUCUUCCAUGUCUCGUUCUGAUAUUCUUAUGUCGAAGAUGACAGCUAUUGGAGAUCGUUGUUUGAUGUCAGAAGGACCUGCAACUGCACGGAAUAAGCCCCCCUCCAUGGAUUUGAGUCAUGAUCCUGAGAUGCCCACUAUCACUUCUUUUAACAAUUCUGUUGAUGAGGAUACCCAUUCUCUAUGCUUGGAGGUUCGAAGGGCAAAGAGAGGCAAUGUUUUCCUGUUAAGAGGUGAAGGAAAUGAUGAAAACUCUGUAUCAUUAAUACUUCGAAUGGCUGAUCAGAAUGGUAAGUAUAUUCUUAUUGUAACUAAUUCCCAAUCUCAUCUUCUCCAUUGUUUUUUCAUAAGAACAGAACUCCAUAUUUGUUCCUUAAAUACAGGUGCUCGUGUAAGGAAUAUUCAUUUCCUAUUCUACCUUGAUGGUGAUACUGCGCUAUCAGUUUCAAGUGAAAUGGUUGAGCAAUUGGAACUCGAAGUUGAAAAUGUUAAAUUCAUAGCAGAGUUGAUUGAUUUGUUGUUGUUGAAAUUAAUACCCAAUUGGAAACCUGGUGUUCACAUUGAGCAUCUAGUGCCGCCAAGUAGAGAACAAACCCCUAGGGUCCAGUCGAAGGACUUCCAUUCAUUGGGAAAUGGAAAGAUGGCUGUGGCUCCUUUCCAAAAUGCUCAUGAUGCUGCCAAUCAUUCGAGAUGUUCAAGUCGCCACAAUUCUCUUGGUGGAUUGAUUCCAACAGUAGGAGAAAGCCCCGUUACAGUGAAACUUGAUGAUUUGAUGUCCAAUCUUGAUGAUUUUGAUAGCCAGAAUCCACCUGCAGCCGAAGAUCGGCAUUCUGAAAUGUCAUAUGUUUCAGCAAACUCGAGUGAAUUGAAUGAUAGAAAGCUCUCCUUUACUUCAUACAUGUCCACAGAUUCAGGACCUGUGAACUUUGAUGGGAAUGGCUUGAGAGGUAUCUUGCGGGAUUUUUUAACUGAAAGGGAAAUCCUUACAUCAAUUGAUGACAGGGGCAAAUUUUUCGACGCUGGUAUGAAUGGCUUCAUCUCUUCUGGAUACGCAUCUGAUGUUUCCUCUUCAUCUUGCAAGGAUGACAAUGAGGAGUUGAGAAGAGAACUGGGGAAGAUUGAACUGCAGUAUCAGGAAGCAAUGAAAGAAAUAUCCAAAAGAAGGCAUGAAGCUAUCCAGGAGACAACAAAAAGUUUGUCUCAGAAGAGUGUACAGUCGUUUCACUAGUCUCUACUUCAAGUUUGCUUCAGUUCUUUUUCCUUUCAAUCUUUGUUGAAAGUUCAGAUACUUUCUUUUGGAGGAGAAAAAUCAAGUGUAAAUGGAACAUCUCUUUCCUUUUCUUUUCCCCCCACACCGGAGGUCCAACUUGAAAUAGUCAGGUCAAUUCCAUUUUUCACCCCUCGAGCAUAUUUAAAGAGGUCGAGGUGAAUGGAAGAAUGGAUUGGUUAAUCAUUACUGCAUAGCAAUUUUUAAUGCAAAACACACUCUUUUUAUGAUGUACAUUUUAUUUCUUGCUUAAGCUCAAUUAGUCAAGGAAUCUACGACGAAGACCAUUUUUACUGAGGUAUUUCUUCUUCAAUUGCAGUUAAGUGGGCAAGCAAAGCAGAUAUUUCUGCAUAUGGAUUUCUGGUGGACAAACAGAUACAUAGCUCAAAAGCUGAAGUGUAUUGUUUCCCUUGUGAAGUAGAUUGCUAAUUGCGUUAUGCUUUGGCAGUGUUUAUCAACAGUUGCUUCCAAAUGUGCUACCAGUUCCUGGAAUCGCAAUAACAACGAAUGGAGAAAACUCAAACCAUUGGAAUAUUUCUGUCUUUAUUGAUAAUAACAAUCUAAGUAGCAGAGAAAUAGCAUUCUGUAAAAAAGAAUUAAUAGGUUAUCAAGCAAAACGUAUAGACAUUGGUCUAACAUCUGGAGACAUUGGUGCAUCCUUUGAACUUGGUUUAUCAUCACUGAGCUGGUAAAUAUUAUAUGCUCCAACCAUUGUUAAAACAUGAAAAAAAAAAUGGUAUUUUAAUAUAUUACACAUUAAAAAAUGGUAUUUUUAUACCACUGUACAGCUUGAAUUUAGAGCAAUAUUGCUGAUGCGCUAAAAGCAGGCUCGGUCUUGGCAAAACUAUCUAUAGGUACCCUUUAAUUGGCUUAAUUAGUGAAUAAUAUUCUUCAGUCUAGUUCAUAUCUAUUGUUUACUGGAUUGUUGCUUGAACAGGUUGUGUUAACCCUAUAUCUGGAAAUGCUAUCGUUAAUCUGCUGCUCAAACUUGCCAUCUGGAAAACGUUUAUAUCAACACAGCAAAAUAUUGUGAAGUAUUUUUCAUCUAUAUAUCUCUACUUGUGUUACAAGUGUGAUCCAGCUUCUGAAUAAGGACUCGCACUCUUGAAUUUCCAAUUUUAAUGCCAGAUUCCAGUUUUAUUUCUCUGUAACUACGCAUGAUCCUGAGAGCGCUAGCAUGGGUGCUUGUUAGUUCGUAAAAUCCUUGAUAACAAUUCGUUGGUGUCUCAUAAGUAAUAAAAACAGGAAAAAAAAAAACAUGUUUCUUGUAUUUCGUGUCUUAAAAAUAUAGAAAUUUGCUCUAAAACUGUUAGUUUUUACCAUCAUUUCAUUUGAAUAAAAACUCAUUCUAAAUAAAUUAGAAAAAAUCGGGUAGCAGAUGGAAUGGAUGAGAUUAUCAUUUCUAUUUCUACUUGAAGAAGGAUGGUCACCCCUAAUUAAGAGAUCAUUCGAAUGGUUGAUGUGCUGGUCCAUGCCAUAAUCUUUUGGAGCAAUGAUGACAAAUUUCCAUCCCAUGCAUUAACCCCCUUAUAAAUUAAGCUGUAAAUAUUUUUUCUCCGAAAGGCUGGCAUAAUCUAAUUAUCUCCCGUUUAUGCACCAAAUUAGAGAGCGACAAGGAUGAUCAUCUCUGGUUAAAUCCAAAAUCUAAUAGAUCAGUUCUUUUUUUAAAAAAAAAAACUUGAGAUAGCAUUCGCAUCGAAUCUUUAUUUAUGGGAAUUAAAUGGGGGCACGAAGAAAAUAAAAUCUAUAAUACAAAGUGUUUGAUGCAUGUUACAGCAGAUCAAGGAAGAAUGUUGGUUAGAAUCUUAAUUGCAAUCUGUCAUGUUAUAUAUAUUUCUGAUAGGUCAAAUUAUUAAGGACACGUUUGGUUGUGUAAUAAUUGAAUUGAGCUCUUGUCAAUGAACAGGGAACAUGCUGUGUAUAAAAUACAAAAGCUUCAGUAUUCAGGAAGGGCCAUCCUCACUAAUCAUGCUUGGGAUCAUGGUCAACUAAUGGUAUUUAUCUGUGUGAUCUAUAUUCUUAAGCUCCAUUUCUCUCACAUGAUUUCUAUCAUUGCAUGUGAUUCUUUUUUUAUUUUUUAUUUUUUGAGUAUUUUAAGCAAUAAUUCCAUCUCCAUUAAGAAUAUUGUGCUGUAAAUAAUGCUUUGUUGCACGUUAUUGCAGCAUCAUUUAGUAAAAUUGAUUGGCAAAUUAGGUGUCAUAUACAAUGCUUCUUCUUCAAGUUUUUAAACUUUAGGAAAUACUGCAAGAAGGAUGAAAUGAAAAGGAAAGUAAUUUUUGGAGUCAUAUUUCUACAUUAUAGCUAAUUAUGAGCCCAAAUUUCACUGUAAUUAUCAUAGUUUUUGAUCUACUUUCACUCUACUUCACUUUGCUUUAACAAAAUUUAAAAUAAAAUAAGAAAUGAAAACCACAAACUACCCUAUAUAUGUAGUUAUGCCAGAAAGAAAAAUAGAUAGAAAUAUAUUAACUUCAAGCCAUGCGUGAUAUAUCAUGCAUGGACAAAAAAACAUAGUUUACCCAAUUCUAUAUGAUAAUUAAUAUUUUUUAUAUGAUUAAAACCUUGAGUUUUGUAUUUUAAUUAGUAUCUUUUUUUUAGUUGGGGGUAAUGAAAAAAUAAUUUAAAUUGAUAGAAAUAUUUGAUUGAAUUCUAUAUUAUUUUGAUCAUGUACAUCUCUGCUGAUAAUUUCACUCCUCGCAACAUGACUUCAGAAUUAAACCCCAGAUGAUCACGGAGAAUGGAGGACACCUGUUCUUAUCAUUAGACUAAUGUCCCAAUGUUAGCUUAGUGAUUAGGAGGUAAAUCCGUACAAACAUGCAACUCCUUUAAUUAUUGGAUAUUUGGAUGGAGACUUCUUUUUUUAUAUAUAUAUUUUCUUCACCAUGUUAAACUACUAAUAGACCCUUUAUUUCUUUCUUUUUUUUCGAUUAACACCUUUUAUAUAUUUUUUAUUUUAAUAUAUGAGCUAUAAUUGGAGGCCCUUUUAUUAGGUUUCAUCCAAUAUCAACAACAAUACCACUAUUCAUCGUAUAAAAGUUUUGUAGAUGCAAGUUUAUUUGAACCAAUUUUAAAUCCAAUCGUCACCAGAUUUGACUAUUUUAAAGCUUGGAAAUUUUAAACUCAAAAUCUUGAAUUUAAUUUGUGUUUAAAAAUGGUUUUUUAUAUUAAAAUGUUAUUUACGAGGAUGAAAUAAUUAUUUUAUUGAUAUUUUAAGUUGAUUAAGAGGUUACAAAGGAAGAGUUUCAAUGGUGGUGACAAGAUGGGUUCUAAUCCAAACACAUCAUAGUUCAUGUAGUAAGGAAACAUAUAAAGGGUGUCAAUCUAAUAAAAGAAAAAUCAGGGGAAAUCCAUAUCGGCCUUAAAAAAAAUCAGGGGAAAAGAAUAAAAAAAAAAAAAUUCGAAAUGGGAUUAGGAUAUCCAUAUCGGCCUUAAAAAUGGGGCAAUUCUGGGUAUUGACAAGGAUUUUAAUGUGUAAGCAAUCAUUUUGUUCAUAUUAUAUAUCUCUGAUUAUGUGCUUUACACCACAGUAUUUCAAGUAUUAAUCAAAUUACUUAAUAGAUUAGGAUGCUCUUGUUUCUUUGGUAUUUUAAUUGAAUUGAACAAUUGCCUUUGAACAGGAGACAUGUUGACUGGUCAAUUCAAAGAAAAUCCAAGCAGAAAGCCAACCCCUUUUGUUCAUAUUCUUUUUCAUAUUUUAAGAAUAUAGUACAAGCAUCGCUUCAAUUAUUUUCAUAUCCCAAUAGUUUUUUUCCAUGAAGUCAAGAGAGAGAUAUCGCAGCCAUGAUGAUGAAGGAGCUGUGUAAAAUCAACCAAAAGAAGGGUCACAUUCAAUGUGAUGGGCUCUCUGAGGAAUAUUGGAACGUAGAAAGAAUCAGAAAUAAGAUUACAAAAACAACUUUUAUUGGUAAUGUAUUUCAAUCAAAACACUAUUCUUCGAAUCACCUAAUUAUGAUAAUUUUAGAUCAUUGUUAUGUGCAUUAUUGUUGUCAUCUGAUAUUACAAGUUGAAAGAGACUAAUUUCUAGUGGUUGAAGAUUUAGGAAAUUGGAGCUACAACAAGCUUUUUUUAAAUAAAAAAAAAUGGGAUGGAAGUUUGAAAAUGAGAGAAGAGCUAACUUUAAUUAUGUAAUUUUUAGCCUAAUCAUAUCAAACUUUCUAUUUGAUUUUGGGGGAAAAAGGGAUUAGAAUGAAUUAAUAUUUUUUAAAAAAAAAUAAAAUUAAUUGAUACAAUAAUACUAGAUGGUUGAAAGAAUCCUUUUCGAAUUAUUUUUUUUUAUUUUUAUUUUCAUGAAGAAAAUCCAUGGUAAUAAUUGCAAAACAUUCGUUGGACAAAUCAAAUAAUGAAGCAUGCGAGUAGAGCCAAUCUCACAAAGAUCACUCAUUCCUCACAAGUCUUAUCCUUCUUUUACAUUUUAGCAUAAUGAUUUCAAAUCAUGUACACUUGUCAAUUCUUAGUUUCAAUAAUUUCUUUAUAAAUUAAAAUCCUUUAUUAGAACGUCCUGGCUGUAAACCAACAAUGCUUCACAAGAUCAUUUUCGAUCGUUUCAUGUUUUUUGAUUCGAAAUAAUUAUAAAGUAAUAUCUCGUGCUUGUAAUUUCCUCUGUUAAAUCACUCAUUUCUACAACAUAUAAUACUUCAAAGCGACAAAACGUAAUUAGUUGUUCGUCCUUGUGCAAUAUAGUAAGUUUCCAAUUAUUUAAUUGUGAUAAUUUUUUUAUAUAUAUAACCUGGGAUGUCCGAGUCAGCUUACGCGCACCACGACUAAUUUUCGGACCCACUGAACACCCUGCAAGCCCAAUAAACAAUUAAAUGACCACAGAAAUGACAUGAAUACACAGAAAAAUAAAUUUAAUUGUGAUAAUUUGAACCUUAAAUACAUGUCAAGUUUCUUAUUCUUCGCAAAAACACUUGAUUAAAAUUAACAUAUACUCACUAGAAAAAUAAAUCUUUAUUUUACAUGAAACAUUUUGAUGAAAGGAUUAAUUGGACCUUUAUUUGAAGUUUAAAUUACCACAUUAGAGUAUAUAAAAAUUGAUUGGAUAUUUGCCUAUUUAUAUAAAGAUGAAUCAUUAACUCUUGUUCUUAUAUAUGUGCACCACCCAUUUUCCACAUUGAGAAUCUCACCCCUUUUUUUUUCUCAAAUAGGUAUCAGAUUUUGAUCAUUCUCGGUUUCCAAAGUGUAGCAAGAAAAUUUAUAGUAAGAAAUUAGGUCAAUGUUUUUGCCAGAAGAAAGUACAAUAAAAAAUCCAAAAUAAUAAUAUAAUAGAAACUUAUCCUUGAAAGGCAAAGGGACUAAUUGUUGCUAUUGGAAGCUGCUAUGGGCCCUGAUUAAAGCAAACAAAAUUACUGUAAUCAUGGUAAUUUAAUUGAGUCUGUUACAUCAAAUGGGCCUCCCUCUAAAUCUUUGCAAUGGAUUAACGAAAUGCAUGAUCACCCCCAAUGCAUCAGAUACUGCAUCAUCUUUGUAAAGUUCUUGGAAGAGAUGAAAGCUGAGGAUUUUUAGCAGAAAAUGCCCAUAAUUUGCCAUCCUUAAGCGACAAAACGUGGUAAAAGCAAGCGUCUUAGGUUCUGGGAUGGAAGCUAAUGAUUAGCAUGAUUUCUUGUAACACAUAAUUCAUGGGGGUUCUUCUGAACCAUUUUUCAAGUUGUUCAUGGGCCACGAUAUGUUGUUUUGGUGCAUUGCGCAUCAUUGUUCUUCUAACUCUUUGUUUAUUUGGAAAACUUUGUUGGGUCCUUUUAAAUUACUUUUUUCCAUGAAACAGGGAAAAGAAUUGAGUACUGUUCAAGCUAUAGUCAAAGGAGUUUUAAAGAUUUGUAAGAAACAUUAAGAAAAAUAUUAAUCAAGUCUUUAUUCACGAAAUAGCCAUGAUCAAGUCGUGAGCGUUUCUUAUUUUACUAGUAAAAUUAUUAGUCACUAAUCAAAAUAAAGUCGUGAGCGUUUCUUAUUUUACUAGUAAAAUUAUUAGUCACUAAUCAAAAUAAUGGAUCGUCGAAUUCUUAUUUAUCAAAAUUAUGAGGAUUAAAAGACUUAAUUGAUGUUGGACUACAUAGUAGGAAGUAAUCUUCUCCUUUUUCUCUUGAUAAGCAAUAGCUUGCUUUAAAUGCUAAAAAAAAGUGAAAAACAAACAAUAAAUGUAUCUACGCAAUCUAUUAGUUGAAAGAUUUAUCUAUUAGUUGAAAGAUAUAUGAACUAAUUAUUAGAAAGACAGUAUAGUUAAAUAAUUCAAUGUCAAAUAAUAAAAAUAAAAUAAAAUUAAAAUAAACCCUAAAAAAGAUCAAAAUGAUGAAAAGGAUUAAAAAAAAUAAUGACCAAAAUUAAAAAUGAAGUAAAAUUAAAUUAAACUUCCAAGGAAAAAAAUAAUGAAAAAAAUAAAAAAAAUUCAAUCAAAAAAAUGAGAAGUAGAUUGAAUAAAAAUAUCUAAUGAAAUUAAAUAAUGAGGAACGAAAUUAAAAAUAAAACAAAUUUAAAGAAACAUCAACUCUCAAGGAAAUUUUUUUUUUUUUGUGACAUACCUAAUUAAAAAUUCCUAAAGACGUUGUAGAAGACUUUAUUUUUGUAAUGCAUGCGUGUACAUGUAGAAUAUUUUUUUUCUAAUGUAAAAAUUAAAGUUAAAUCAAAGCGAUUGGCUUGCCGUCCGACAAGCAUAUUAACAAGUCUCUCCCUCGCAACCGACCAGCAAAAUUCAACGCAAAGCUCCCAUAUUUUCAAUGGAAAAAUGUGAUAGGUUAUCCAAUAUUAAUUGCAUGAAUUAUUUGGGUUGGCAGCAAGAAUUUUCAACUCCCACUUUUCAAACUUGGACGACUAACCGCAGCAAGUAUUUCAACUCCCACUUUCCAACACCUUAAUUUCACUAUAACUUGGUAACCACUAAUUAAACUGCAUAUAAUUUCCAAACCAUAUGUGCACGCAUGGGGAUAGCUCUAAUUCGUUCUUAAAUAACAUGAGAAUUUUACAGUUAUUGUGACUCGAAUGUAAACAUCCAUCCGGCUCCUUAGCGAAGUAAAGAAAGAGGGAUUAGGUCUUGAAUCGCUUUUCAUUUGCCAGAAAUAGACUUACGAUCCAGUCUUGGUGAUGGCGGGCAGAUAAGGGCUAGUAAAUACUUAAUAGCUAGCGGAACAAGAGAAGAAAUUAUUCGAUUGCGACACAAACAGGGGCUUAAUUGCCAUCAAAAGAAGAGUUUAGGAUCUAUUAUGUCACAUCACAAAUUGGAUCGAAUCCGGAACAGCCUGCACGAUGCAUAGUUCAUACCACUCACCUAUAAAGCCAAUGGUAAUUAGGGUUGAUUACAUCAAAUUAAUGGGACUUUUAAGCGUGAUCAUACAUUCAUAGCUAUAGGAGAAAAGCUUGGUAUAUCAUUCUCCACGUAUAAAUGCCCUCUCAUCGUUCCCAAAUUCAAUUUUUUUCGAUCGGAAUCCCAUUGAGUUGUGAAUAAUAACCAAACACGUGGAUCCAUCAAGACCCCCUCCCCUAUUCCCUUGGUUUGUCAUGAUCAAAGGGGAAGCAUUGAGUUGAUGGAGGCUUUUCAAGUCCUUUGCUAUUUGUUAUGAUAACAUGUUAUGAUAAAUCCCACAAAUACAGAAAAGCCUAUAAUUUCGCUUGUUCAUUCACUAUAUCCAUGAAAAACAAAUGGAUGGACAAUUCUCCAAAGUCCACUUCUCUCAUCAUUGCUUGAAAAUUGAGUUGAUUGAUGAUAGAUGCAUACGUACAUACGUACAUCGUGGAUAUAUGCGUACACGUUAAUGAUUUAUACUCCAUGCUGUCAAGACAGGAAGAUUUGAUGAAGUGAAUUACAUAGUGUAUGUCAUGGCAAACAAAAUACAAGUUCCAUAGUGGUAGAAGUCGUGUAGGUUUUUUGACUCGGUGUAGGAGACAUGUAAGCAUUGAUUUAUUCGUGCGUAUCAAAUCAAGGAAAGUACAGGCUAUUUCUUCAAAAAAGGAAAAAAAAGAGUACAAAUUAACAACUGCCUCACAUGGCACAUGAGAUUUCUUCUGCCUAAUAUUCAAUGGCAGUGAUCAAGAUUUGUUGAAGAAAAUAUCAAAUGAGGUUUACCAUUACGCUUUUUGUUGCCAGUGGUUAUUACUGAAAUCAAGAAAGUGUAAGAAACCUAAUGAUCCUAAGGCUAAACCCUACUCAACCCUAUUAAUUUGAGAAUACUUGUCUGCCAAGUUCAACUAUGAGACUUUCAUCUAUAUAAAAAAAUAAUAAUAAUAAAACCUUGAAGGAGCAGAUCUAAUUAAAGUUUGGUGGAAUUAGAAUUAUAGCCUUCAAAUGUUAUUAAAAUACUUUAAAUCCAUAAAUUGGUAUAUUUUUGAAUUUCUUUCUUCAUGAACAAUAAAGGAAUUAUCAAGUUCCAUAUGAGUACAUGAAAAUAAAGAAAUAAAUUAAUCUACAUGACUUCAGAAAAUUUCACCCUUAUGGAUGACGAAGAACAUUUAAUUAAUGAAGUAGUAGUUCAAGCUUUGGGUACUUAACCAAAAUAUAUAUACGUAACCCCAAAGAGAACUAUAACUUGUAUAUACGUACACGUACAUUUAUACAGAAACACGGGUCUAUAUGGCUCAGAAAUAUAAGCAAAUUGCAAGGAAGAAGGAGCUUUUCUUCAUCAACUGAUGAUAUUUUGGAUCUAGUAUUUUUUUUUAUCAGUAAUUAACCCAAAACGGAAAAUAUAUAAACAAAAAAAGAGUCUAAUAAUUAGACUUCUGUCAUCAAGCUAGCACUGUUUUUGUCUACAUUUGAUACACACCAAAAUUACCAACCAGUUCUCCUUGAGAGUAAAGGAGAAACAAUACAUAAUCAUUACAUUUUCUUUCAACAAACCUCCAAUUAAAAGAAGAAGAAUUAUGCUACCCAGCAACCCCAUAUACAGUACCCACCAACUCCUCAGUGUUUUCAAGAAAAAUGAAAUAAAAAUAGUCACCUUUUCUUCAAGAACCCUAUUUAAUCUUCAUGGUGAUCUCCAAUUUUGUAAGCCAAUGCCAUUGUGUCUCCGUGAAGGGCCAGAAGUUGGUAUAGGUAGAUGUCUUGGCAGGAAAUUCAAGAAAUGGCCUUUGUACUGAGUCUUUGGCUUGAAGUUAAAAACAUUGGUGGAUCUUGAACCAUGAGAGUAACCAACAAAGAAAAUGAAGAACAAGAAGAAGAGACAAAGAAGUAGAGUUAGAGGUCUUCUACAUGCAACCAUCAUGCAAAACUACAAGUGACAAAGAGAGAAAGAAAGAGAGAGAGAGAGAGAGAGAUGGAGAAGGUAACAAGGGGGUGGCGCUAGUUUUUUAGGGUAUAACUUUGAUGAGCAAAAGGUGUUGAGAGCAGGAAACAUGGGCAAUUCAAUGAAGAAUCGUGUGUAUUAUUAGAUUGAGACGUUGGCUGGCUAUAUGUGCGUUUGCGUGUGAAGUGUUGAGAGAGAGAGAGAUGAUUUUAAAAGACAGAAAUCAGAUGCUUCUACAAGUAGUGGUAGUGUUGGAGGCAGAAAGUUGAAAGAAAUGUAAAGGCUGGAUAAAAAGCUUUUGAAUGGGUCUUAUUGGGGCUGGGAGGGGUGUUAUUAAAAGAUGGGAAAAAAGGGUUUUCCUUUUGUGAUCAAACGCCAACAAAUGAAAAGGAAAGAAAAAAAGGAAUUGAGCAAAAAGGGGAGAAAGAUUAAAGAUUUUUAAAGUUAUGGGAAGGUUUUGUUGUGUCAUCUUUUCUUGGGGUUAGGUUGUGUUUGGUCCCACUUGUUAUAAAUGGCCGACUGUAAGCUGGAAUACCACCUGUAGUUUUAGGUCCUUGUAACAGCAAAACCUGUCCCUUACUUGUCACCCCACCCCUACAUUUGUAGGGCUUGCAUAUUUCUUAUAUUUCAUGCUAAUAAUGCAGCAUAUCUACACACACACACACACACACACACACCCGUGUGUGUG